rnacentral:lncRNA from 1 species
AGCGGGAGAGGGACUGGGCGCGGGUGGUGGGAGGCGGGGGACAGGGGGAGGCGCCGCCGCCGCCGCCGCCCGCCCCUUUCCGCUGGGGAGCAGCUGCAGCAGCAGGAGCAGAGCAGGAGCCGCGCAGCCGCCGCCGCCGCCGGGGGAUGUGGCCGGCGCCUGCCCCGAGCCGCGCUGCCUCCUGAGUACUCGCCGCCGUCGCCGUCGCCGCCAAGCCGUGCGGGGCCAGGCCGCGCCCUCCCUGGGCGCCCGCCGGCUCGCAUGCCGAGGGGCUCCGGGGCGUAGCUGCGCGCCCGGCGCCGCCUCCGGGCUCCUCCGGCCCCGCCAUGGGCUGCUGCAGCUCCGCCUCCUCCGCCGCGCAGGUGAGGGGCUCCCGCCUCCCGGCCGCCCGCCCGGAUGCCUCCCCCGCGCCGCGCCGCCAGCGGGUGCCCGCUCCCGGUGCUUCUCGCUCCCCCAGCCUCCCUUCAUCCACCGUGCACUCCAAAGACCCCUACCGCUCCUCUCCCUCCCGCGCGUCCCGCAGAUGCCUCUACGCUGGCUCCGGCAGCUGCCGACCCGCAGGCGCCUUUGCGCGGCCCCCGGUGCUCCCUCAGCUCUCCCCUGUCCCUUCCCGACUUGGCCUCCUUCUCCCGGUCACACCUGAGCGGCCCGUCCCGCCCGCCUGCAGGUAGAGGCUACACAGGCGCCUCCUGUCUGCCCCAGGUGGCAUCCCUUUCCUGGCCUUGCUCCUCGGUUCCCACCUCGGUGGAGUGUUCCCCUCCCAUACGCCGACUAUUUUCUGUGUUCCAAGGUGUACCCCCAGCUUGGGCUCUUCACCUCUUUGCUAUCUAAUUCCAGUUUCUGCUCCAUUAGAUAAUCUGUCCCUUUUCUCUUGCCCGCCGUCACCCGGCCGGGUUCAAGUGUUUCAUCGGGUCCCAGAGCCCUUCCACGGCCCUUUUCCCAGCUCCCACUCGCUCGUUUCCUACCCCAUCCCCCCUUAGUGCCUUGACCCCGGGCACCCGGGCCUCUCUGCACACCGAGGCCCCUGCGGGAGCGCCGGGACUGGGCUGGGAAGGAGAUUGGGCACCUGGUGGGUGACGGGAGCAAUACGGAAACUCCCUCUUUGUUGCCAGUGUAACAGGAGGAAGAGGUGCCGAAUUUAGUUUUUCUGUGGGCACUGGAUGAAUGUUGUCGCUGAGAUGCAGAGAUUUCUCCCAGCCUCUACCCUGCCCCCAUCCAAAUUUCGCUAACCUCCUUCCCUUCCAAUCCAAGCUCUUACCCUGGGUGGAAAUGUUUAGACAACUGUUUAAGGAUCAAAUGUAAUAGAACUUGACUGCUGGCCACUAAUAACUGAGAGGACCUGUUUGUAAAUUACCUAAUUUAGUGGAUUAGUGAGUGUAUUUACAAAUACGAUAAAAAGCAAUCAGGAAUACUGCAUCAAACUGUCUGGUGGUGUUGUAUGAAAAAUAGGCUCUGACAAUGCCUGGGAUGUAAUCUCCACAGUUUCAUUAGCGUAGAAUUUUAACAGUGCUCUGUGAUUUGCGUGUGUGUGUGUGUGGGGGGGGGUGAGAAACGGACUCUUGUUUUUAGAAAUAAAGGCUUUUUGGUUCUUGGAAAAGCAAAAUGCUAGUUUGGAGAAAAAAAUUCCUCCAGAAAUCUAGCAUCUGUGAUAAUGCCAGAAGUGUUUUGCUGCUGCUAAAUGACUAUAUAUAACUCAGUUUUAAAUAACCUGCAUUCUUGAUCUGGAAAUCUUGAGAUCUGUUAGAGAAAAUGCCUAGAAUUGCAGAUGCAUGGAGAACAUUUUAUGCUUUAUUAGGUAUCCAUCCUAUUUGUCCAGUUGUUAUGCUGAUGGGUUUAGUUAAACCUUCCCAUUCAGUUAGAAUAGCAAAGAAAAACUAUGUGUGAUGGUGUUAGGAUAGGUCAGGGUUUUCAUAUUAACAUAUAUAGGUGGAAAAUUAUACAGAUCUUUCAACUGCUUAGGGAUAUUUUGGGACAGGGCUUCUAGUUGGGUACUGUUCAUUUAAUAUUUACUUAAAUAUAACCUUCACCAAGAGGUGUCUUUCAUAUAUAUUGCCUUUCUUUUCAGAAUUGGGUUACUUUACUUUCUCUAUUGGUGAUAAAAUGCCUUUAAGACAGGAACGUAUUGAUACUUUAUUGAUAGUAUGUUCAGUGCAUGAACAGUUUAAUUUGGGAGGGAUGGAUUCAGCACUAGCUCUGUUCAGAUAGUGGAUCUUACAUUUGUCUGUCUCCACAUCAUACUUUUCAGAAUGCUGUCAAGUGCAUCUUUUUGCUUUUUCCUCCUCUUCACAGCUACUGUUUCCUUCAUGCUGUGUUCUACACACAAGAUGCAUGUCAUGCACCCAAGGGGGUAUUUUUUUCUGUGGAUUCCUAUAGCCAAUCAGCAACUGUCACAACCUUUGAGUUCAGCUUUGGGGACUUGUAGUGUUCAGUGGAGCAUGGAGGAGGCAGGUUUCGUGCCAAAGAGCUGGUCAUCUUUUUUUUUUUUUUUUCCUUAUUUGAGGUUUUUGGCAUCAUUUUUCAUUUGUGAAGUAUUUCCAAUCUGCUGGCAUUUUAAUGCUCCUUUGAGAAGCAUCACAUAUUUAGAAUUGUAUUGUAUCUAUCUAUAUGUGUAGUUGAAACAAAAUAGGGCUGCAACUUUAAAUCUUCUUUAUAUGUAAACCUUCAUAUCAUCCAGCCUCUCUUAGGGGUAUGGAAUGUACUUUCAGGCAGAAUAUGUUUGUUCCUACUGGAUUAUAAGCUUCUUGAGAAUAGCAGCUGCUUUUGUUUCCUUAUCUUUGUGUUUUCUGCAGUGCUUCACUGUACCUUGUACAUAAUAGUUGCUCAGCAGUAGUCAUUGAAUGGAAUCUAUACACACAAAUUUGAACAUCUAGCUGGCAACUGACAUUGAUUAUGAAUGCAACCCUGACCUAUGUUUCACUUCUAUAGGCUGGCUGGUUGACUAAUUCCACCAAGCCAUCCUCUUCUGAACUCAAACCUGAACUGUGUAAAUUAAAACUUUCAUCCUUUCCCCAUUUCUUUCUAUUCUGUCAUUGGUAUCAUUAGCUUGUAAAAUCGAGCAGAUUUUCUCUUGAUUCCCUGCUCAAUGUUUAUAUUUCAGUUGGAGCCAUGACUAUAAUAUCUUAAAAGAGCUUGUCUGCAAACUCUAAUGAUAACCUGCCUAGUACAUCAAAAUGAUAUUCUUUGAGGUAAACUGCAGUCCAGUGUAGCUUUUCUCAGGGGUAUUGUCAGCAACUUUGAAGCCCAGGUAGACUUUAUCAAUUGAAAUAUGUUGUCUUUUUGUAGUAGGAAUUCACUUUUGAAAUGUAUUGUGUUUUCCCUUGUAGCCUCUUGCCAUGUUUAAGAUACUCAUAAGAGUUUAUAGUGUUCCAAACUUUCAUCUCUUGUAAUUUGUCCUGCUAUUAUUUUCAUUAUUAUUUUCUUGCCAGUGUCUGGAUAUUAAUUUCCCAUCCAAAGAAUUAUCCUGAUUUAGGAUUUAAAUUUACCAGGUGUCACAUUCUAUACUAGUAUUUCAUUGCUGAAGGAGCAAAAUCUUGGCAAAAUAAUUUGUACUAUAUCAGGCAUCUAAGAAUCUUAACUGUCUUAGUCUGGGCUCUUACAGACUCUUAAUUAGGUCUGUCUGUCUUUCUUUUUUAUUAGUGACCAUUACAAGUUGUUUAGUAAUUACUGAAAACAAGCUGAUACAUGUUAGUCUUUGCCUAAGUCUCUUUGAAAAGAACAUAAAAGUAAGAUAGUCUUGGGUUUCUUUCUACAGCCCUAAUCCUCCCUAAGACUCUUAAAAUUUAUUCCCAUCUCUCCAUAAUUCGUUUCUUCCAUUAUAACCUGACAUAAUUUCUAUUCUUGUAGUGUUAAACUUCAAAGUUCACUUGUAAAUCUUCAGAUUUAUUAAAUGUUCUUUCCCAUUGACAAACCAGUUUAAAUGAAGGAGGCUUUUGAAAGAUUACUUAGCAAAUUGUCGUAAGUCUUUGUCGUUAAUGGCUAGAUCAUUAUUUCUCACAGCAGUGCUUUGGAGGCCAGGAGAUUUUUGCAAGUAUUCUGAAGUUCUGUGUCCUUCAAUUCUAACCUUAGAAAUUAAGAAUGGAAUAGAGGAGAAUCUUUCCGGUUGAACAAACGGCUCCUUAUCUGACUGAUUUUAGCAGAAUUUUGUCUACUAUCUUAUCCCAUGGUCUUAAAUUGAGGGCUAUAUAUUUAACUGUCUUAUUCUAGCUCUCGUAUCUUGUUUAAGAGUAAUGAAAAAAUAAUCAGAAGUGAUUCACAAAUACUGGUUAGUAUUUGAGUACCUUAACUGCCUUAAGAUAAUUCUGAUAGAAUUUAUAGUCUAUACCUGCUUUGUAGAGUUUGAAAUCAGGUGGAGAAAUAAAAUUUGAAGAAUAUAGUGGAAAUUACCAACAGAGACUAAGUUGUUCAAUUAAAAUAUGACCUGCAAAAUAAAUCUUGUUGAAAGUCAUGGCAUUAAGAUUUUUUUUUUUUUUUUGCCUUAAGAAUACUGUGCUGUUAGCAUAGAGGAUCAUAAUAAUUUUAAUGUGCCUGUUUUUUUCAUAUCCAUUUCCAUGUUUGAAUCUCUACAGUAACUCAGGUUCAUCUUACUUCCAUUUUACAGAUCAAGAAAUUGAGACUUGGAGAUCAGGAAACUUGGAUCAAGUUGCAGAGCCACUAAGUGAUAGAUAGCUUAUCUUCUGAAUAUGGAUUGUGUGCUUCUUCAUUUAUGUUCACAUACAUAAAUCGCAGCUCCUCCACUUUUUUUUUUCAUUUUUAGAGAAGGUCAAUUUUGGACUAAAGAGUUUCCAAGUUAAAUUUUAUGCCACUAUUUUGAACUUCCUGCAGGUACCACCUGAAGAGUAACAUUGUAUAAUAUAGCAAAGUUAGUACAAUUAGAAUGUUUCCAUGCUUACCAAAUUUUAUGGGAUGCCUCUAGAUGUGUUAACAACUCUGUCAUUUAAAAAUAUUGUAGAUUGGGCUGGGGUUGUGGCUCAGCAGUAGAGUGCUCACCUAGCACGUGUGGGGCCCUGGGUUCUAUCCUCAGCACCACAUAAAAAUAAAUAAGUAAAAGGUAUUGUGUCCGUCCACCACUAAAAAAUAAAAUAUUUUUUUAAAAAUGCUGUACAUCUGGGAAGAUAAAUAUGUUUAAAAAUAUAUUCUGAUACUGGUUAUUGUUUAAUAGCUGUUUUUCUAUGCAGCCUUUGUCCCCCAACUACCAACAAAGAAUGAAAUACUUUAACUUUAUAAGUUCUGGUUGGGUUUUGGGGACUCUGGGAGAUUACUAGAGAUGAACUGGUCUUACCUUCUCACUUUUCUGUAUAUUUAAACCGGACUUUAAAAACUGGGACCAGAACCUACUUAGUCUCAUAAUCUCUUGCUCUUACUGUUUGUUUGUUUGUUUUUGGUACUAAGGAUUGAACCCCUGAAUGCUUGCUGAGCUACAUCUCAGCCUAUUUGUUUAUUUAUUUAUCUAUCUAUUUAUUUAUUUAUUUUCCCAUUAUUUUUGGGGUGGGGGGCAUACCAGGGAUUAAAUCAGGGGCAGUCAACCACUGAGCUACAUCCCCAGCCCUUUUAGAGACAGGGUCUCACUGAGUUGCUUAGUGCCUCCUCGCUUUUGCUGAGGCUGGCUUUGAGAUCCUCCAGCCUCAGCCUCCCAAGCCACUGGGAUUACAGGUGUGUGCCACCAUGCACAGUUUACUGUUAAUUCUUAAUGUUUUAGUUCUUUACCUUCCCAAACUUUGCUACAUAUUACAAUCACUUGAAGUUCCACUGGUAAUUCUCAUAUGCCACCAAGGAACCACACUGUUCUUUACCUUUCCCUAGGUGGUUUCAUCUCUUCCAGUGAUUUCAGUUCUCAGUUACAACCUAUAUGCUGUUAAUUUCCAAGCUGAACUACGGAAUUGAAACAAACCUUUUCUUGGCAUCUAAUUGUCUGAAGCAGUUGAUUGACACCAGAACAUUGUAUAGGUAUCUCAAUUCAGCAUGUCUAAAACCAAAACUGGACUCAACACUUGUGAAUCUGUUCCUCACUUGCAUGUCUUUUUCCUUAUGUCUUAUUCACUGAAUGAGACCCAUGUCUUGAUUGUGGAAACUGGAAACCUGAGGGAGACCACCUUCCACUUUUCCAUUGUAGUCACCACAUCUUGUCUCACCUUUCAACUCCACUGCUAACACCUCUCUUGAAGCCUGUGUCUCCUCCAGUCAGGACCUUGGUUACAGGUUUCCCUAUAUUCAUUCAUACUGUCUUCUGAACUUUUUCUAUACUGCAGACUUUUUUUUUUUUUUUUUUUUUGUACCAGGGAUUGAAUCCAGGGAUGCUUUACCACUGAGCCACAUCCCAAUCCCCCUUUUUUAUAUUUUAUUUAGAGACAGGUUUUCAUUGAGUUUCUUAGGGCCUCACUAAGUUUCAUACUACACUGGCAAAGUUGAGUAGUUGAACUCAAGCUCCUCCUGCCUCAGCCUUCCCAGCCACUGGGAUCACAGGUGUGCCCACACACCCGACUUAUACUGUAGUCUUAAUGAUUUUUGAAAAUCCAAAGCUGACUGAUUGUGUUCCUCUCCUACUUACAACCCUUUGGCCUCUGAUUGCUCUUGGGACAAAGACCAGAAUCCCUGAGCCAGGCCAGCAUGACCCUGUGUGGACUGGUCUAUUCUCUGUGGCAUCCUCAUCUUAUUUGAGGCUUUUGUUUUUUUAAUUUUUUCCUGAUUCAGCCUCAUUGGUUUUCCAGCCAGUCAUGUUCAUUCCUCUGUAGGGCUUUUGCGCGUUCACUUUUAUAAAAGGGUCUUUGCUUCUCUCCCUGGCUGCCUUUGUCUGGUUACCUUGAGUUUCAGCCUCAAGUUCACUUCCUUAGAGAACGCUUUUCUGAUUCUUCAAACCAGGCCAUGUUUCUUUAUUAAACUCUCCAGACCUUUAUUUGUUUCCCUUUUGAGCACUUAAAGCAAUAAGUAAGUAAUUAUGCAGUUACUCUCAGUGUCUACACCAGUUGGAAAACUGUAGCCCAUGAACUAAAUCUGACUUGCUCACCUGUUUUUGUAUGACUUACAAGCUAAGAAUGGUAUUUGUAUCGUUAAAUAGUUGAAAUAAAUCGGAAGGUUAUUACUUAUUGAAAAUUAUAUGAAAUUUGAAUGUCAUUGUCCAUAAGGAAAGUGUUAUUGGGACACAGCCCAGGAAUUCAUUUACUUAUUGUCUAUAGCUACUUUCAUACUACACUGGCAGAGUUGAGUAGUUAAGACAGAGACCUCAUGGCCUGCAAAUGUUAAAUAUUUACUUUGUUACUCUUUACAGAAAAUGUUUGCUGACCAUUGUUCUAGGUUGGAUUGAUGAAGAGGCAACCUUAUCUACUUUGUUUAUUACUGUUAUUCUAUGUAUUUAGCUGUACUGGCACAUGGUAGGUAUUCAUGAAAUGUUUGUACAAUUGACAAAUAUUCCUUUUCCUACCAUCGACAGAUUUCUACUUUAGCAACUCUGGUACUUUAAAAUCUGAUGCAGAAGUCUUUUUGAAAAGAUUGAUUCUUUAGAAGAAGAUAGUCAAUAAAAAUGUCAGCAGUAUUCUGACUUGGCUUGUGGCUAAGUCUGAAUAAAGUUUUUAAUAUAGUAAUAUUUCUUUCCUUUUAAUACUUUGUUUUCUCAUUUAUUUGGAACAUGACAUAGCAUAAUGCUCCAAAUUUGUAUUUAUGUUUUAUAUUUCUCAUUUAUUUGGAACAUGACAUAGCAUAAUGCUCCAAAUUUGUAUUUAUGUUUUAUAUCAAAUUCAGUAUCUUUUUAAAAAGAUAUUUGCAUUUUUCAGUGUUUUAAUAUACUCAACAGAGGAGUGUCCAUUUUCCCCCUUUGCUGGGCUCCUUUCUGACUUCACAAUAUAGUAAUAGUUGUAUAAGAGGACUUAUUUAUUAACAAACAUUUAUUUGAUAAACUUGAAAUUUUUGUGUGUGUGCAUGUGUGAAAAUAACAUUACUUCCUCAUAGGUGCUCUCUAUAACAUCCCACAACCACUAUUUAGACAUUUAGAGAUACUCUAAAGAGUGAUUUUUAUUUCAAUUUUUAGGGUUGCCAGAUAUGUUGAAAAUUAUUAAACAAAAGUGUUUUAUUUCUGGAUACAUUUGUAUAAUGUCAAGUAAGGAAAACAGAAGAUGGGAAAAUGGAAAAGAGAUGAUUACUUCAAGAUACUUAAAUAGCAGGAAAUAUAUCUUGUAGCAUUGUGAUAAUAUGAUCAGGAUCUUUUAAGAUUUGUCAUUAUAAACCACUUAGGAUUUUCCAGCUGUAAGAAAUAAACAACUACAACAAAACACUCUUAAAUCCAAACAAUGCAAAUAUUAAGGAAGGUAUAUUAUUUAUUUUUACGUGGUGCUGAGGAUUGAACCCAGUGCCCCACGUGUGCGAGGCAAGCGCUAUCACUGAACCAUAACCCCAGCCCUCUUCUGUCAUUUUAAGGAAGGUAACUUCCUCUGAUCCAGAGAUGUCUAUGGCUUUUGCUGAGCCAACAAUCUCCACUGAUUUUCCUUUAAUAGGAAAUAGGGAAUACUGCAUAUUUAUUUCUAAACAAUGUCUAGCAAGGGAGAGGCAAAGGACCCAGUAAUUAGUUCAGUCCCACCAGGAUUUCCUUGAGUCUAGUGGGGUAGGUGGGGUGGGUGAAAUAACAUCACAAAAAAAGUAGGACUUAGCCAGCAAGGCAGAGGUGUGUGUGGUUGGGGGAAGUGGGAUCGUGUGGGAAAGAGCAGCUGGGUAAAGCAGUCACAGUAAUCUUACUCUGCCCCGACAGGGUUCUAGCCAUUGUGGAAAACUUGACUUUCUCCUUUGCUCGAUCUCACUGCCUUUCCCCAUCUGACCCAAGGAUAGUUCCAUGUGAAGAAGAGCUGCUGAGGCUGGAGUAAGGUGACAAAGCUAGUUGUUAUUCCUGCAAGCAGUGGUCCCUAAGGACGCCUUAGAGGUUUGAACCUCUUCUCUCAGUUUUUCUAAAUCCUCACUUUUGUCUGCAUUUAUCCAUUUGGUAUUCAUUUUUUCCCCUUUCCCUAAAAAUUUCAUUUUCCUUUCUUCCCACUACCAUUUGAGACACUUAAAGAACUAUAAUACAGAGUAGAAUAUAUUCAAAUACAAUAAAGAGGUAAAAAAAGAGUGCCUCUAUUUUAUUUACCUGCUUAAUUUCAUUUUUUUCUUAUAAGCCAUAAAAAACCCCUGAAAAUUCACAUUAUUAUUUGGGCUUCUCUGAUAUUAAAAAAAAAAAAGAAGAGCUUUUCAGCACGCCAGAUUCAUCUCUGCAAUAAAUAGAUAAUUAGAGACAGGGAAAUAAUGAAAUAAUAUGUAAAUGUUCAAUCUUGCUAUUCAGAUUAAAUCACACAGGCACCGUUUUACACUUGAAACUUUGGUAAAAGUUAACAAAAAAUAUUAAUUGCCUGUGUGGUUUUUGAUGCAAGUAUGCUUUUUUGAUUUCUGAGUAAAUUGGAAUGACCCUCGUGGGAUACUGCUUGACAACAUACAUUAAAAGACAUUUUAAAAAGUUGACAUCCUUUGUUUAGUAAUUCAAAAGCAAAGAAAUAUGCAGGAGUCUUUCUAUUGAAGCGUAUUUAUAAUAGCAAAAGAGCUCAGUAUUAAACAUUACAUUUCUGUUGUGAAACUUUGUUUUUUUAAUGCAAAAUUUAUUAAAAUGUAAUCUAUUACACAUCCCCAUCCCCAACUAGAUGAUCCUUUAGUGAGUAAGUGCCUUUUUGCCUUCUGCAUAGGAAAGCCUUUCUCCACUUCUCUCAAGGAAUAUUCAGAUCUAGAGGACUGAACACUGUUGUACACUAGCAGGAGUAUGGGCUCUAGCUAGAUAAUAGAAGUUUGAAUCUUGACUCUGUCCUCAUCUGGACUCUUCUUUGAUGUCCCAGUUUCACCAGGUGGAAAAUAAUAGAAACAGUAAAACCUGUCUCAUAGACUUGUCACGAACUGUACAAACCAUGAAAAUACUUCAGAAAUUACCAUAUUUAUGUAAACAAAAAUCUCUUAAAUGUUCUGAUAUCCACUAAUCCUUUACUUAAAAUAAAAUCUUGUUUGAGUUUUGGAAUAGAGACCUUGACUUCCAGAAAUGUUAACUUAUGUCAGGGAGGUGAGUGCUGAGAAUGAAACCAACAACAGUAAAAAGGAGAAGCCAAGUGGAGUGGUGGGGAGCUCAGGGAGUGGGGAAAUCAAGGAAGGGUGGAGAGUCAGAGAGUAGGCUUCCUGAAAGUACUCUUCAUCUGGCCUGGAAGACUGGGCUUGGAAAAUGAGGAAGAUGGACAGAUUUUAAUAGAAAGGGAGAAAGAACAUUCCAGUGGAAAGGCCAGCUGGAUCCAAGGCAAGGGACAUACAGUCAGAUGCUGUGUGGAAUUUACUGAGUUGUAGUGUGGAAAGGACACCUGACCCGAGAAGAGGAAGGAGAUGUUACCUGUAGGAAAGCAUUGGUAUUUGAAGGGGAAGGGAAAUGGGUAGCCAUGGAGGGUUUUUCCAGAGUGGUUUAACGAAGUCUAGGAGUAUGCUUGUGCCCGAAGUGGGAGAGAUGGAAAGCAGAGGCCACACAGGAAGCUGUCCGAUGACUCAGACCAAACAGUAUAAAUGGGAAACAGAUGUUAUGGAUUUUCCUGACUUCUGGAUGUGAGGGAUAAAGGAGCAUGUUAGGAUAGAGGUUCAGAAUGCCGUAUAAAGGGAGAAGGGAAUUGUAAGUGAUGAAAGUGGAAGUUGAGACCUGGGGUUGGAGGAAUGAUAGUAUGUGGGGAGGGUAAGGUGAAUUCCAUUUCUUAUGGACUGGAUUGAGGUGAUACUGUUGUUAAUGCCUUCAGCUAGUAUUUCUCGUAGUCAAUUGAAGACCCACAACAGGAUUUUAGAAAAACCUUUUAAGUCAUAAGUAUGGAGGUGAUGCUUUAAGGAUGAGCAAUACCCAAGAGGCAGGAAAGGGCCCUGAAUACCAGAGCUGGUAGAUCGCUAGGAGAUAAGCACAGGGAACAUCGAUGGUCAGUCAUCCUGGGGACUUAUUGUUUGAAGGGCUCUAGGCUAGAUAUCUUAUAUACACUUCCCAUUUUAUUCUCAUAACUCUGAGAUGGGUACCUCAGAUGGAACUGAGGGUCAAAAUGUUAGGUAGCUAGUCCAAGAUCAGCAGAUCAUGUGAAGUGUGGGUAUUUCCUGCUGCAGUAGGGUAGGCCUUCUUAAUGAGAACUAGUAACUCAGUGAUAUGUUGAAAGAACCUUAGUUCUGUCACUUUUGUCACUUAAAUUCAGAGAUUGUGCUAUCUAUUCUCUCUUUAAAUUAUAUGUAGGUUGGUUUUUAAAUCAGCACACCUCAAACUAGUGGUCAGGGUAUGACUAUUUGGGGGCAGAGUCCAUGUAAAUGGUUUUUCAUUGAACUUGAGACUCUAAGGGACUGUCAUUUUCUUUUAAGAGCUUUCACAAGUUUAUCAUGACUCACUGAUUCUUGGGUUUUUUGUUUUAUUUUUGGUACCAGGAUUGAACUCAGGGGUGCUUUAACACUCCAGCCCUUUUUAUAUUUUAUUUUGGGACAGGGCCUCACUAAGUUGCUGAGGCUGGUUUUGAACUCAUGAUCCUCCUGCCUCAGCCUCCCAAGCUGCUGGGAUUACAGGCAUGAGCCAUCCUGCCUGGUGUAUGACUCACUGAUUCUUGAGAAUAUAGUUUUCAGUGUAUAUAUUUAUAUGUUUAGUCAGCCUUUAUCAAAUCCUGGCCUCUGAAAGUGUUAAUGUAAUUGAUGCUCAUGUUAUUAAAUAUUGAGUUUCAACAAGGCUCUGGAGAGCUGUAAGAAAGGAAAGGGUGAAGAAAUGGCCACAGUGAAGUUGAUUUAUUAGCACAGAUUAUUAGAUGUACAUUAAGAUCAAAUUACAAAGGCAGAGAUUCUCACCACUAGGGCAAGAGAUGGAAUUGUUUUGUUUGUUUGGUUUUCACUGUACUUUAAAAACUCAGAAUAUUUAAAAGAGUGUUAUCCCUGCUUGCAAGGCCCAGAAGUUCUUCCAGAUCUGUUUUGCAUGUGAUUCUAUAUUUUUACAAUUCUAAAAGCAUCAAGUAUUAGAAAACAGCUUGAAGACAUUAAGUUUUAAAAUCCAGCAUAGUAAGUAUAUUUUCCUCAAGAAAAACAUUUUGGAAUGUACCCUGCUGGUUGAAGCAUAUUUCAGUUAUGAAGGUUUGGAAGUAAAACUUUAAUAAGAUAUUCCAUUUUAAAAGUGAACGCAAUUCCAGUUUUCUUUUAAAAAGUUUAUAGUUUAGUUUGAUCUGAGAACGUAACCAAGACCAAAUGGAAAUACAUGUUUCUCUUGAGGUAGUUACAAGCAAAAGGAAUAGAGAGUCUCCUGGGCCAGUCUCUAGGACCUGCUGCUUCUCAGUAGGUGUUUCACGUUCUGCCCCAUUUAAUGAUAAAAUGUUACUUCUGCAAGAAUACCUUAAUCAGGGUUUCCCCAAGUCUGUUCUUCCUAAGCACCAGGACUCCAAGAUGAUUCUCCAAAAAAGUGGUCUGAUGUCAGAAAAGUUUGGGAAGUUCUUGCUCACUCAAGUAAUUUAUAAUAUACUUGAGUGACUUGAAAUCUAUCAAGUUUGAGGUUUCCUUCGGUAAACCACUCUUCCUUCUCUAAUUUCCUUGGAGAUCUCAAACUACUCAUAGUACAAACAAUGGUCCACAAGAAAGGCUUUUAAUUUAUAAUAUACUUGAGUGACUUGAAAUCUAUUUACACUAUUUGGCCAGUAUUUCAAAGAACACAUUGAAGUUUGUGAUAUGUGUGGACUGAGUUUCAAAUCUCCGGAGUGGCAAGUUACCUGAUCCAACAACCUUCUUACUUUUGUGGCCAGGAGAAUGGGAAUUCUGAAACAACAUUUCAAGCAGUGAUUUUCCAAGGGUGCUCUGUAAUAUGCCAGUAGUUAAAAAUACAAUGAAAACAAAAUUUAAGGAGGGAUGAGUCCAAAGAAGGUCAGAUAGUCCAAGUUAAAGUGAUUUCCUGAAGGUAAAGAGGAGAAAUGACCCUUCACUACAUUAACAUGCACAAUGACUUUUUGAAUGGGGAGCAGGGUGGGGGAGGUGGUAUGGAGUGAGCAAGAACUUCCCAAACUUUUCUGACAUCAGACUGCUUUCUUGGAGAACCAUCUUGGAGUCCUGGUGCUUAGGAAGCACAUACUUGGGGAAACCCUGAUCAAAUGAUGACUUUUUUUUUUUUUUUUUUUUUGGUUGGAGAAAGAAUGGUGGAGAUGUUUGAUUUUAAAUGUGCCCAAGCAAAUAAUAAGUUCUCAAUAAAUGUUUAUUGAACAAAUGUGGAGGAGGAAUGGGAAUGGGUAUUUGGAGACUAAAAUUUUAGUUAGUGAUACUGUUAAACAGAACCUGUCAGUGGAGGGAAAUGGAAAUGAACCUAAAAAUGAAAACAGUUAACUAUUUAAAAUGUUGAAGUUAAUUCUGGUGGGCUUUUGAACCUGACCUUGCUAGCAUGUGUUCUUCUGUUAUAAUGAGGUCUCUGUGAGCACCUCACAGUCAAAGAAAAGAAAAAAGCCUCAUCAUAAUAGAUACCUCCGGGCUCAUCAACACUUAAGUAUGCCAGGUCAACUGCAUAGGUCAAUAGAUUUACAAGAAUAAGAGUUUCCUUCCCUUCUGUCCACUCCUGUCCCAGCCCAGACCUAUCCUUGUUACUGGCCCACAGUGCAGAAGAAAUGAUGAAAGCCCUUCUGGUCCAGCUCACUGCCUGCCUGGGAGCAGAGUAAGGAGAGCCACAGAUCCUACAAAAUUUGUUCAAAUUGCCACCUGGAGGGUGGAAGCAGCAGCUCUGCAAAAACCAGCCCUGCUGCUGAUGCGCACAGGAGAGAGGAAUCUCCAGGGCAGGGACAAGAUGCAGAAAAGAAAUCAAGAAUGUCAUUAGAAUUUUAAAAAUUCCAAGCUGGCCACACGUGUUGGUUCUGUUCUGCUCAAAGCUGCUCCGUACUGGGUUCAACAGAGAAUGAGACUUCUGCUCUGAAAGCAUGCAGUCUAUUAAGGAGACACUACAGAGGAGAGUUGCUGCUUUGUCAGGGUGCAGAGCCCAGCUGCAUCCUUUUUAAAUAGCCAAGUAUUACUCUGGUUUACAAGGUAAAGUACAGAUAAUUUCUAGGUAGAUUCCAAACUAAUUUUCAAAACUAAGAGCCAUAAUUACAAAAGUGUCCCUGAAAAAGCUGGAUGUUAUUCUUGAAGUAUGAUUUGUGUUGAUGCUUAACUGGGGAGAAUGGAGUUCAGUAAACUUAGGAUAAAUUUAUUGUGUCUAGUGACACAAAGUGAAAGAGAAAAUACUGUCCUUAAGUAGAAAAAAACAAAGGUUCAGAUGCCUAUAGGCAAGUCACAGUGACUCUUCAGACAGUCCUAUAGAAAAGAUGAUAAGUACUAUGUUUAAUAUUUUAAUCUUCAUAUUGAAAUGACUAACAGUUAAGAUGUGAUUUUUGUUCUUUGAUAGAGCAAGGCUCUAGAAACUUAGAACACAUCGAAUUUUUUCUUUUAUUUGGCUAAUUCCUUUUACUGCCUUAUCCAUUCUAGUCAUUAAUCUGCCCUGUCACCUACUAGGAAACCCAGCUGCUCUUGUCAUGGCCCUAGAGUCUCAUAUAUAACUAGGUGCAGAGCCCUAUCUAAUAGUCCAUAGCAACCAAACAGGGUCCAGAGUGGAUUCAGAACCCCCGGUUCUUUAGUUCAUUUCAUAAUGGUGUAUCAGGCCACCUUGUUUCUCAUCCAGCUUUCUCCCACUCAUGCUUUUCUCAUUUACUCUUUAAAUAUUUAUACCUCAUCUGCUUCCAAAAAUAUUUUUAGAUGAUUUGUAAUCAAAUGUAAAUAUAUUUAAGACUUCUGAAAUGAAAAACUGAAAGCUAAGAAGAGGUGGUGGUGGGAUAAAUGGAAGAGGAAGCACGAAUGUGCUGAAUGCUUGAACAGCUUCACCCACCAACAUUUCUAGUCUUGUUUUAGAAUGGUACCGAUUCAGAGGACAUUUUGACACGGAAUCCUUCCACAGAACUGUACUACUGGCACAGACAUAAGAGGUCUAUAGAAUAACCAACCAAGAUAGUCAUGAGUUUUAUAUCAUGGCCACUAAAUGGGUUUUAUUCAGGCUCUGCUUAGAUGACUCCUGCUGUAGAGAGCUGCUGCCGCCUGGUAAAGUUCAUUCUAUUCUCAGGUGUUAGAAAUUUAUUAUUGCAUGUUGAGCCCUGUGUCCAUGUAGCUUCAUGUUGGUCCUGAUUCUGUACCCAUUAGCCAGAAUAGAAUGAAAAGCUGACAUCACGUCUUUAAUACGUGCCAAGUUGUGUGUGUGUGUUUUAAAGUUAAAAACAGUUAGUAUAUGCAACCAUUCUAAAAUCAUGCUGCUAGUCCUUUGCUAUUCUGCGCUCCUCCUAUGCUUCGAUUUUUAAAUUCAUUAUGCAUUGAUGUUUAUUUACUUUUCAUUAAAGCUAUGCAUGCAUAUAUUUUAAAGAGCUUUAAACAUUUCUUUGUGCUUGUUAUUUAAAACAACAAAAAUGAUACCCCCUCAUUUUCUAUUGCCCAGAGGCCAUCAGUUUUAAAUCUAAGAGGUUGUUUUUUUUGUUUUUGGUUUUUUUUUUUUUGCUUUUCUCCUUUUUAUCAUGCUUAUAUGGCUGCUUUCUCAUUUUUCAGUUUUUGAGAUUAAUUUUAGCCUUCUCUCCGGAAGAUAAAGAUCAAGCUCUCUUGCAACACCAAGCUCUUCCUCUACCCCACGCACACACUUAUAGAGAGUUGCUUUUAUUCUUCCACUGUAGGUAUGUCGUGACUGGAUCAGUUUUCAGUCUUUACAUUAUGACUAAUAAAUGCUCUCUCAGCUGAGUCAUGUAGCAUUUUGUUAUUUGUUGCCUUUGGAGACAACAGUUGUCUUGUUCUUCUCUUUACCUAGAUUUCUGUGUACUCUUGAUUAAUUGACUUCUAAACUCUUGCCUACUUAUAUGAAUUGAAGCUGUUAAUUUAAGAUCUCCCUUCACAUCAUAUCUGGGAUUCCUUUAGUCUUUCUUGUAUCAAUCAUUUCAUACUUUAAAAAAAAAUUGUUUAACUUAUAUACAGUAGAAGUUUUCUGUUGUUCAGUUCUAUGAGCUUUGACAGAUGCAUAGAGUUUUGGAACCUCUACCACCAUCAAAAUGUAGACCAGUUCUAUCACACCUAAAAAUUCCCAAGCUGCCCUUUUGUAAUCAGAUCCCUUCCCACCCACUGGCAACCACUGAUCUAUUUCUGUCCCUGUAGUUUUGCCUUUUCCAGGUCAUUUAAAUGGAAUCAUACUGUAUCAACAGCCUUUUGAUUUUGCCUUCUUUCCUUCUGUAUAAUGCAUUAAGGUUUCAUCUGUGUUGCAUGUAUCAGUAGUUGGUUCUUAUUGCUGAGUAACGUUCUAUUGUGUGAAUAUACUAUAAUUCAUCUCUUUACCAGUUUCCAGUUCAGGGUGAUUAUUAAUAAAGCUGCUAUACACACUUACAUGCAAGUUUUUAUACGAACAUAAAUUUUCACUUCUCUUGGGUGUUACCUAGGAGUGGGGUUGCUGGGUCAUAGGGUGUGUUAACUUUCUGUUACUAUAUCAAAUACUUGAGAUAAAUCAACUUAGACCAAAAAGGACUAUUUUUGCUCUAGCUUUGUGCUAAGGUAGCACAUCGUGGUGGGAGUAUAAAGCAAGGCAAAACCACUUGCCUCAUGGCCUGCAAAUGCAAGAGAAAGGAAGUGGAAGGAGCCAGGAUCCCAGUAUCUUCUUCAAGGGCACACCCCAGUGACCUAAAAUCUCCUACUGGGCACCCCUUGCAGGCUCCAUCACCUCCCAAUAGCUCUAAGCUUGGGAAUAAGUCUUUAUCACAUGGACCUUUGGGAUCACUCAUGAUCCAACUACAGCACAGAGUAAGUGAAUGUUUAUAGAAGACUACCCAACUACCCAGCUGUUUCCAAAGUGGCUGUACUGUUUUGUAUUCCCAUGAGCAGUAAAUGACUAUUGAGUUGUUUCACGUCCCUCUCAGCACUUAGUAUUAUAUUAGCAGUUUAUUUUUUUCAGUUGCUGCCAUAGGUGUAUAGUAGAAUUUCUUGUCUUUUCUUUCUUUUCUUUGGUGCUGGGGAUUGAACAUAGGGCAUGGUGCAUACGAGACAAGCGCUCUACCAACUGAGUUAUAUCCCCAGCCCUGUAUAGUAGAAUUUCAUUGUGGUUUUUGUUUGCACUUUCCUGUGACCAGUGAUGUCAUGUGCAUAUUUGAGAUUCACAUAUCUUACUUGGUGAGGUAUCUUUUAAAUCAUUUGCUCAAUUUUAAUAGGGUAUUUUAAUUUCUUAUUAUUUAGUUUGAGAAUUCUUUACUAUCUAGAUGCAAGUCUUUUAUCAGAUGUGCAACUUGUACAUAUUUCUUUCAGUAUGUUUCUUGUUUUUCUUUUAACAGUGUCCCCAUUUUUAGUUUUGAUGAAGUUCACCUUUUCACUUUUUUUUUUUUUUAAAUGUGCUUUUGUUGUCAUAGCUGAGAACUCUUUGCUUUGUUUAAGGUCACAAAUAUUUUCUCCUGUGUUGUCUUCAAAAAUUUUCUAAUUUUCAUUUUGCACUUAAAUCUAUAGUUGAGUAGAGAUAAUUUUUGUAUAUGGUCUAUUUUUUUUUUUAAAGAGAGAGUGUGUGAGAGAGAGAGAGGGAGAGAGAGAAUUUUUUAAUAUUUAUUUUUUAGUUUUCAGCAGACACAACAUCUUUGUUUGUAUAUGGGUGCUGAGGAUUGAACCCGGGCUGCACACAUGAGCGCGCUAUCGCUUGAGCCACAUCCCCAGCCCCUGUAUAUGGUCUAAUUUGAAUUAAUUUUUGUAUAAGGUUCAAGCUGUAAGUUGUUUUUGUUACAUUAUUUUUUUGCUUAUGAAUAUCUAAUUAUUCCAGUAUGCUUUGUUGAAAAAGACUUUUUCCAUUGAAUACUUUUUCAAGUAUCAGCCAUACAUAUUUGGGUUUAUUUCUGAACUUCCUGUUCCAGUGAUCUGUUUGUCUUAACACCAAUGCUACAUGGUGGUCUUGAUGAUUGUAGUUUUAUGGUAUUAUUGAAAUCAGGUAAGUGAGUGCUUUAACUUUUUUUUUUUAUCUUUUUCAAAAUUAUUUUGGCUAUUUUAGUUCCUUUGACUUUCCAUACACAUUUUAGAAUCAGCUUGCCAUUAUCAGAACUAUUACAAAUGUCCUACUGGGAUUUUGAUUUGACUUUCAUUGAAAGUUUGGAUCAACUAGGAAAGAAUUGUCAAAGAAUAUGAGUCUUCCAGUGGGAGUGUGGUAUAGUUUUCCAUUUAUGUAAGCUUCUCCAUUUAUGUAACCCUUCUUUGAUUUCUUUCAGCAGUGUUUCUGUCCCGGUGUUUUCUUUCUUGGUAUAUUCCCUUCAUUUGGCAGAGUGCCUCUUUCAGUAUCUUCCUCAAAAGGGUACAUGCAGGAAAAUUUUUGACCCCUUACCUGUUUUUAUUCUUAUCUCAUACAUAUAUAACAUUUGGCUAAAUGUAGAAUUCUAGGUUGGAAAUUAUUGUCCCUCAGAAUUUUAAGUGUGUCAUUUCCCUGUCAUUUAGCUUCUAGGGUGGCUGUUGAAGUCUUGCAUUCUGAUUCUUGAUUCUUUGUAUUCUACUUGUUUUGUUCUCUCUGAACCUUUUUGUAACCCACGUUCUGACAUUUUUCAGUGAUGUGCCUUAUGUGGAUCUAUUUUCACCCAUUAUGCUGGACACUGUGUGGGCUCUUUAAUUCUGGAGAUUUAUAUUUUGUAGUUGGGAAAUUUUUUCCUGAACUCUUCCUGAUUUCUUCCCAUAUGUUCCUCCUGUUCCUUAACUUCCUUAGGUUUUCUUUAAUUUUGAACACCUUGUCUUUACUCCAUUUCUCAAUUUAUCUUUCAGUAUUUCUAGUACAUUUUUAUCUCUGCUAUGAUUUCUUAAUUUUCUAGGGUAUUUUUUCAUUCUCUUCAGCAUUCUUUUGUUUGUAUGUUUUUGCAUCAUAUGUUUUUAUUUCUAUAUGGAUGUGUGUGUUUAAGUUCACUUCUGUCUGCAUUUGUAUCAUCUUUUUCUCCCUAGUCAUUUUUCUUCUUUAGUCUCUGCCAUUCAUACUAAAGGAUUCCUUACGUGUUUGGUGAUCCUUAGCUAUCUGCUCAUUUAUUUAAGGACAGGAAUCUCAAAGGUUGUUUGAAAGCAUUGUAUUAUUUGAGAAUGAGAUUGUUGACUGUGAGGUUUAACAGUGGGGUGGUCUUGCUGGUGGGUUUCCUUGGGAAACUGGAAUGUUAGUAUUAUUGUUUAAGGUCACAAAUAUGGACUUUACUCUUGGACUGGCCAGGUUUCUCCAAAGAAGUCUUUUCUGGUCUCUUACUACAUAUUAGUCUGGCUGCUAGAGUUCUUUUUUUUUUUUUUUUUUAAGUACCAGAGAUUGAACUCAGGGGCACUCAACCACUGAGUCACAUACCCAGCCCUGUUUUGUACUUUCAUUUAGGGGCAGAGUCUCACUGAGUUGCUUAAUGCCUCCCUUUUGCUGUGGCUGGCUUUCCACUCACUGGUGAUCCUUCUGCUUGAGCAUCCAGAGCCACUGGGAUUACAGGCGUUGGCUACUGCACCCGGCUGGCUGCCAGAAUUCUGGGACCCAAACAAGGCAAGAAGUUGUGAUAGGGGUUAGUCUCAGUAGUCAACACAUAAACUUCCACUUAAUCCUUUUGUUUUCCGUGUGGUCGCUCUCUAUGGUGCAGCUCUCUGGGUAGAAGAGGGGCAGCUCAUUUCCCAACUGUUCAGGGGUCUGUCUGCCCUUAAGCAGCCUUUCAAUGAGUCCUUCUGUUCUUAGCCCCUUGUCACCUCCAGUUCUAGAGAUAUAUUUUCCCCAUAAUUCCUGAGUUUGGGGGGAAUUGUGUGACAUAACUUAGUUUCUUCCCAUAUUUUCCUACUGUUGGCUCAGAACUUGGCAUUUUGGAAUAAGUCAAUUUAUUCUUUCCUGCCAGCUUCCUAAUGGCAAAUAUUUUAAAUUCCUUUAUUAUCAUUUUAGUGGAGUUUCAGAAGGGAGGAGAGUCAGCUAGUCAUUGUUUACCUUAAGUAUACUGAAGUCUGUAACCUGCUUGAAUUCUAGUUAACAGUCUUCUUAAAGUGUGAUGCACAAAUCUCUGCUUGAUUAGAGGUAAGCUAUCCGUGCUUCUAGAUUUUAAUGUUGCCUGCGGUUGAAUUAGCCUGUUCAGUCACUUCACUUACAAUUGCUAGCUGUUCACUAACAGCCAGCCCUAAGCCAACAUUUUCCUCUGUGCUGGUGUUUCUUGUAAUGUCAGUAAAUUAAAACCUGAGUUCAAAACUUUAAUUUUCCCUGGGAAAUUUAGAACUUUUUAUUUGCCCAGUUUUCUAGACUUUGAAGAGCUUUUAGAAUUCCAGUUGUGUUCUCCAGUCAUUAUCCAGUAUAUUUACUAUCCCUUUCUUUUCUUUCUGAUAAUAAUUGGGUCUGUGAGCCAUUUAUGUCUUCAUAUUUAUUGGGGGCAAAGGCCUGCUGAUUGUGGUAUUCACUGUAAUAUUCACAGGUCUGGCUGGCCUGUUUGCUUGGGGAACUCCUGUGGUCAGUAUACUUGGGCCUUAACAUUAUUUGUCAUUUUAUUUUAGUCAUUGCUGAAACUAGUUUUCUUUUCAAAACCUCUUUUUUAGGUAGUCAUUUCUUUGGGAGGUCGGCUCUUUUCUCAAGACCAUUCUCACACUUUCAUAUAUUCUUGACCCUUAUUUUAGUCCAUCCCUCCCAUCUUAUUCUCAGAGAUAUUAAAAGUGGUAUUGACAAAUUUUAAUAAAAUUCAGUUAUAUCAUGUGUUUCCCAAUCUUCUCUCCUAACUGUGAAAAAAGAAUGUGAAGUUAGCAGGAACUGCUUGCUCAGGUACACGUGCUGGCUCUUAUUUGUUGUCUUUUUCUUUCUUUUUAAGUUGUCCAGGCUGGCUUCAAACUUGAUCCUCCUGCCUCAUCCUCAAGAGUAGCUGGGAUUACAGGUGUGCACCACUGUGCCUGCACUAUUUUAUUUUCUAAGUGCCCACAAUUUCUGUUCUAGAACUCCAUCCAGAGUUGAAGUGAUGCUUGGUUACAAAGUGUGUGGCAUUCGCUCUUCCCACUUUUUGAAAAUGGGGAUACUGCCAUGUUUCUCAGUGUUGUAUUGUUCUGGUUCUCUACUGUUGCUUGAGGGCUGUGGGCAGGUGCUCAGCAGCCUUCUUUGCACAAGUCCUCUUGGGACAUGGGCAUGCAAUUUGUCUGGACUACUAGACUUGAACCUUUUCCCUGGGAGGCAGAAGAAGCAGUGUCUCACCUCUGUGUUCUUGGUGCAUUGCCUAGUAGCCUGUAGAAAACUUGUAGUGUUUCAAUAUGCUCAUUUAUUUGAAACACCUUGAGGUUCGUUCUACAUUUCUUUACCUGUUCACCUGUUAGGGCUUCUGUGCUUACAGGCCAAUGUGGAGUCUCAUUCCACUAAAUUUUGGUGAUAUCUAUGAAGUUGUACUUUCUUGGGUUAAAAGUGUCAAGAUUUAUUGAAAAAAGUCUUCUUGGAGUACCUGCACUGUGAUAGAGCUGUUGCCCUGGAGCUCACCAUCCAAUGGGGCGGACAGGUUUGAAGAAGUGUAAUUGUGAAGUCUGCUGCAGGACCAUCCUAUUACAUUGACAUUGGAGGUCAGAUAUGUAAGGUUCUUUUCCCAAAAACUUCUCCUAGGACUAUCUCUGAUUUUUCUUUACAUAUCAUAUCUGACCUCUCCCCUCCAGUGGCUUCUGUCACACUUAUGCAGACUUCCUCUCCACCUUAAUCUGCUCUGUUUCCUUCUUCACUCCCCCGCUCCCCGCCUCUCCCUGCCACCAUGCUUCUCAUUUAUUAUGUUCUGGCCAAGUUCACAGUUUUCAGUCAAGGGGAGAUCCUUCCUGUCUCAGGGCCUUCCUCUCCAUCUGGCUGUCCUCACCUCUGCUAGACUUGCCAUCUCAGUUCUACAACAGCCUUUUGCCUCUACUUUGUCAUUUUCUUUACUCUUGUUUGGCUAUAUUUUUCUUUAAGUGGAUCAUUACCUGUAACCAUUUGCAUAUUUUUUUCUGGCAUUCUUCUUCUAUAUGUUCCAUAAACUCGGGGAUUUUUUUUUUGUUCUGUUGGCUGCUGUAUUCCCAUUGUGAGAAGGGGGCUUGGCACCCAGGAAAUGGUCAGUGUUGAAUGGAGGAUGCACUAUGGUACCAGUUCGCAUUGUUUCUUUCUGCCUUUUUAUUUUCAGCUCAAAACCCUUUGGAUGAGAUGGGCCAGUUUCUGGGCAUGGUUAUUCUUCCAGGUUUACUUACGUUCUCCCUACUAGAGUUAAGUGCUUCAUCUUUAUAGUGUCUUAAAAUUGUACAAAUCGAAUUCUAUUCUUUGAUGUCAUCUGCAUAAAUAGUGGUUAAUUUAAUUUUUCACAUGCUGCUUUUUCCUGUUGGAAUAAUAGGUGAAAAGACCACUGGUUCAAAGUUCAUUAGUUUUCUAAUUCCUAGGCACAUUUCUCAAAUUAUGCUGCUGUUUUUCUUGUAAUCACUGUAAUCUUGACAGGCUUUUUCUCACCUCUUGGCUUCUUCCUAUUGGACCUUGUUAGGCUUGUUAAUUUUCUAUGUGGCAUGGCAUGAUGGUUUUCUAGAAAGUUCUGAUAACUCCUUAGUCUCAUGGUCCCCUAUUUCUUAUAACUUCUCUGGUGGUGCAUUGUUUUUCAUCUAAUUCUAUAUUCUCUGUUUUUUUUCUUCCUUCUCCUCCCCUUGCCCCCAACCUCUUAUUGCUGAUUGGGCUUGGGAAAGGCUUUGUGAGAGAAAAGGAAUGGAAUUGGGUCUUGAAGGAUGGAUGAAUAACUUGAGUGGGACACAGGUAAAGGAACUCUAGCCUGCAGGAAUAGCACAGGCAAAAGCUUAUACACUUGAAAUGCAUAAUUUGUUUGGUAGGAGUGGUUUGAGGUGGCUGGAGUGUGUGUUUGUCUUUAGUGGGGUCUGGCCAGAAGGGAGGUGACCUUCAAUGCUAGGUUCGGGAUUAUGGGUGUUUGUACUCUGGUCUUGUAAUAUUCUUAUAUUUCUGGUGUAGAAAUGACAUUGUUCUAUUUUACAUAAUUAGUUGAGGGUGUUGGGACUAUUUUUAUGCCCUCAGACUUCAGCAUUGCCUUAUAGAAUAGCUUAUACGUGAUAGAUGUUCAACGUUGAGUUGAGUUGAAUUCUGAAAAGAAGGUUUAAUUUUCCCAAGAAUCUAGAAGGCUAGAGUUUUUCUAUGGAAUUAAGUUUUAAAAGGAAAUACAUAAUUUUUAUUGCAUAUGUUAUAAAAGUCUGUAUUGUGGAUAUUCAUUUUUUGUCUUUGUGUCUCCCACCUUGCUUUCCUUACUUAUAAUAUGUAAUCAUUACAGCAAGCAGUCCCUGGAUCAAGGCAGAAUUUGGAAGAUACUUGGCUUCCUCAGUAUCUCUUGUUAAGUUCCUAUUUUUUUGAUAGAACGGUAAUAUUUUUAUACUCUUCUGUGCAGUCUUGUGCAGAUGCAUUCUCAUGCACCUCCUUUCAACCAAAGAACUGACUGUGGCCUAGUGCAGAAAAUCAGGAGACACCUAAGAGCAACCUAUAUAUUAGGUAUAACCUGUUUACAGAUGAGAAAACUGUUAGCAGUUAAAGGACUAAGAUUAUUUAGCUGGUAAGCAAUUGGAAUUACAGCAUAGAUCCUAUGUUAUUUUUUUUCCUUUAUUUUUUAAGUACCCCAAGUUUUACUUAAUGAUUAAUGGUCUAGAGGACAGUGGAAACAAAAACACAAUUUGUGAAAGUGCAGAAAGUGGGCUUUCCCCAUCCACUAAAGGAUGGAAGCAGAUUCAAAGCUUGUAGACUGUGGUGAUACAUGUGGGAAAGUGGGUAGUAAAAGGAAAAACAGAUACUUCAUAACACAUUGCAUAUUAUGUAGAGUCAUUUCAUUCAGCGUGUUUUAAUUUUCAUAUGUUUUUGAUAGUGACAUUGUAAUCUUGAAGGGGAUUUCUCCAUUUGGCUUAAAUUAUUGCUAUUGACUGAUGAUUGUGGUUAGGGUAAGAGUUAAUUUUAAUUAGGGAAGAGUUACUAACAUUUAUUUCUAGGACAUACAGUGAUGGUAAAUUGGGUGUUGGGGGGUCAUUCCUUCAUGUCAACAUGGUUAAUGUGGACCUUGGAGCUGAGUGGACUACAUUUUGCUUUUAUUAAUGCAUCUGAGCUAUGUUUUCCCUUUUUUGUUUUUCCAAUUCUGAUUGAACAGAUCCCCAUUGAAAAAUCUAUAUGUAAACCUAGGAUGCUGGGCUCAUAAACCAUUUCAUGGUAAAUGAUUUGUAUAAAAUUUCAACUAAGUGAAUUUCAUUCAAGCAGUGGGAAUCUUCCAGAUCAAGUUCAUUGCUAGCAAGUGUUGUAUUCUGGGCAAAUUGUCUGUUUCUUUACCUGCAUUCACAGAGCAGUGGUAGUUCAUAUCAUUGUACAUACCCCAUCACAGUUCAUAAACCAGUUUGGCUAAUUACUCUAAAAUUACUGUUUUUGUUUUUUCCUCAACAAUAUGUGUUUAAUUUUUUUGCUCUUAGUAUUAUUAAUAAUAAAUUGCUUUCCCUGGCUCUCAAGCUCUUUAGAGAUCAAACAGAAUUUUUAAGGUGAAAGGAACCCUCAGCUCUGUUGUCUUCUGCUUUUUAUCCACACCCACACAGUCACAUGUUCAUGACUAUGAUAUUUCUCUAUGUUGUUAUUUCUGUAUGCAUAUAAAAAUGCUUUGUGGUGCGUAAAGACAGGGUAGGAUAGAAAUACUGACGCUGACAUUAGAGACAAAAAUAGUGAAUAAAGCUAAUAAACAAUAAAGGGUAUGUUUGUCAAUAAGAUUUGCCUUAGGUAAACCACUGAUUUGCAUUUUACUGGACAUUUCCCUUAAGCAAUAUGAAGCUUCUCCUUUUCCACUUCUGUUUUGCAGUGUCUCCUUUACACCAGCAUCAUACUUAAAAUUCCCUCUAGACUCUGCCCUCCAGUUUAUUGUCAGUCCUUUAUCACUGAGCGAGAACUUUAUUGGAGGCAAUACUGGCUUUUUUUGAAUCAGCAUCUUCACUUCUGCUUCACUGCUUUUAAUUAUGAUGUUGUCCUUGUUUGGAAUUUUUCUCCCUUCUAUCCAAAUUCUGUCCUGAUGAGUCAGCUCAUAUUCCCUCCUUUCAGGAAGCUUUCCUCUUCAGUCCAUGCUGAUCAUGAAGCAAGUUCUCAUGCAUAGACCUUAACAACAUACCAUUAAACUAAAGAACUACUUUCCAAGUAUUGACUUUGCUGUAUGUAGUGCUGUGCAUUUUACAUAUGUUAUGGUGCUAUGUAUUUUACAUGUUAUGGUUAGCCUCACACUUGUGACAGAUGAGGAAAUUAAGGCAUGCAUUGAUUAAGUGAGUUGCCCUAAGUUCAUAUAAUAGCUUCUUUGAAGUAGAACAGAGUUGGGAGCUUCAAAACCUGUGCUCUUUGUACUGUUGCAUGCUGAAAUUCUUUUUGUCUAAUUCCGACUUUGUUAUUGUUGUUGUUGUUAACAACUGAGAGGAUUAAGUAUAAGUCUGGUUUUCCCCAAAUAUGAGGAUCUUUUUUGGACCAAUAUUCAUUUGUACUGCUACCCUAUACAAGGCAUCAUGGGUCCAGUUGUUCAGGAUAAUAAUUUAGCUGUGUUCAAAGCACUUGGGCAGUGCCAGUGUAUACAUUGUUACCUAUAGAAGAGGCAGGAUGAAAUCUAUAGAAGGAGAUUAAAUAAUCACAUGGUUCCAGGGAAGAGAUAAUCAUUUUCAAUGGGAGGAAUUAAGGAUGGUACUAGGAGUUAGCAUUUCUCCUGAGAUUCAAUGAAAGGACUGAAGUUGGAAGAGAAGAUUAUGUUCAGAGUUUAGACUUUGGAGAUGUUGGAGGUUGUGGUUCAAGUUCUUAACAUCACCACUUACUAGUCAAGUAACCAUGGGGAAAUUAGCUAAUGUCUUGACCUUAGCAGCAAUACCCCUAGAAUUGGUGAGAAGACUGGGGUGGGGCUGGGGAGGGUAUAUGAAUCUUUUAGCAUUGUGCUUACCCCAUUAUGCACUCAGUAAAUGUUAGCCCCCAAAAUUAAUUUUUUUUUAAUGAGGAAGAAACUUGAACAAAGGCCUAGAGGAAGCCUGGAGGGUAGGUAUGGAGUUUGUAGAAGAGUUUGGACUUUUGGGGACUAAAUAUAGUGGACAUAGUAGGCUAAGCUUUGAAAAGCAGGUUGGCAAUUAUGGAUUCGGUGAAUCCUUUCAUUCUCAGACUGCUAUUCUCUUCUACUUUAGACAAUGAGAAGUGCUAUUAGAGUUUUGGUUUAGGUGUAGCUUUGUUUUAAUAGAGAAGUAAUAUGUUAAAACCUGAAUUUUAGGAAAAACCUUACAACAAUGGGAAGAAUAGAGUGAGGAUGAAUGCAGGGGUCUAGGGGACCUGCCUAUGAUGCAGAGAUGGGGGAGUGCUGAUAAGAGUCGAAACCAACUUAGUGAUUGGGACAGAGAGGCAGCUUGUAAGAAUAGACAUGCCACCCAUUAUUUCAGCUCCAGAUCAUGUGUACCAAUAGCAAAAUGUUUUUGUGCUUUUUAGAUUAUACAGUUCUUAUAAGUUAAUUAUAAAGUUUAAGUAAUAAAACAAUCACAAUUGUUAUGGUUAGAAUAUGAGGUGUCCCCCAAAGGUCAUGUGAUAGUGUAGAAAUGUUUGAUUAGAUUAUGAGAGCUAUAACCUACUUGGUGGAUUAAUCCAUUGAUGGAUUGAUAAUUUGAAUGGACUAAUUGAGUGCUAACUAUAGGCAGGUGGAGUGUGGCUGGAGGAAGUAGGUCACCUAGGGCAUGCUUUUGGUGAUUGUAUUUUGCCUGGCUCUUCGAUUGCUUUCUCUGCUUCUUUGGACUCAGCAUCCUGUCUGCCAUGAGCUGAGCAGCUUUCUUCCACCAUAUCCUUCUGCCAUGGUAUUCUGCCCCAUCUCAGGCCCAGAACAAUGGAUUCUGCCGUCUGUGGACUGAAACUCUGAGCCCCAAAUAAACUUUUCCUCCUCUAAGUUGUUUUUGUCAGGUAGCUCAGUCACAGUAGUGAAAAGCCAACUAACACAUAAUUCCAACAGAGAUAACCACUAUAUACUUUAAAUCCCUUCCUUUAGAUGUCCUUCAUACCCAGUAUUAGUUAAAUAAUAGUUUAUUCUAGCCUUUAUAUCAUUUAAAGUCUAUAUAGGUGUGGUCACUGUUAUUAUUUUGAGGUAAUUUGCCUUUAUAUGUGUUUGAGUCUGUUUAUAUUUUGUUGAACAAAUGGAAGAUUUUGUUGUUCAUUUUGUCUGUUUUUGGAAAUUCACAUAUUGAAAGGACCUAAAUUUCCAGAUUUCUGUAGACUUUCUUUUUUCCAUGUUAAUAACUUUAAAAAACAGCAACUUUGACAUUGUCUUGGUUUUAUUUAUUUUUUUUUCAAAUGUAUUACCUAAAAAUGCCUAAAAUUUUGUUCUGGUUUAAUUUUUAUUUUGAAGUGUUAGACUUACUGAGCAAAAGAGUACACAUUGUUCUCAUAUACCCUUCAUCCAGCUUUUUAUAAUCAUAGCAUCUUCCAUGACUAGUACAUAUAUCAAUACUAAGAAAUUAACAGUGUCAUAAUACCAUUCACAAAACUACAUACUUUAUUUAGGUUUUUCCAGUUGUUUUACUAUCAUCCCUUUUUUUUUUGUCCCAGUAUCCUGCAUUGCAUUUAGUCAUCGUAUCUCCUUAGUUAACUCUCCCAUCCUGUAACAUUUCUUCUCUUUCAUAACCUUGACCCAGUUUUGUUGUUGUUGUUGUUGUUGUUGUUUUUUGGGGGGAGGCGUACUAGGAGUACCAGGGCCACUCAACCACUGAGCCACAUCCCCAGCCCUAUUUUGUAUUUUAUUUAUAGACAGGGUCUCACUGAGUUGCUCAGCAUCUCACUAUUACUGAGGCUGGCUUCGAAUAGCGAUCCUCCUGUCUCAAUCUCCUGAGCCACUGGGAUUACAGGUGUGCACCACUGGUCCCAGCAUCUUGACCCUAUUGAGAAGUAUACACUUAUGCUUUUAAAAAUAAUGAAUUGUUUAAUUUGAAGUCCACAUGUAGGGGCCUAUAUGAUGUUUAAUUUCUUAAAAAUGAUGUAAAACAGAUCUAUGAUAUUAUGGUUUCAAAAUUAAUUAGAAAUUAGUUAGAAAAAUAAUUUAAUAAACUUGUUUUCCCCAAAGUACAAAGUUAAAGGCCUUAUUGAUGUAAUGAUAGGAAAGUGAUAUUUUAAGAAGCAACCAUACUAUAUGACCAUAGGGUGAAUUAUGACUUUAGCAUAUCUCGAUUUGUCAUGACUCUAGGUUUACCUCACAGAUGAUAGCCCCAGCUUUGAUUUCAUGAAAGACAUGUGUGAAGCAGUGUCAAAGAUUGUAAAUGCAUUCCAAAAUUGAGCAGAAGUUUUAGGAUAGUGGAAAGCCCUACACUUUGUAAACUCAUCUUCAGAGAGGCACGAAUAUUGACUUUUUAUUGGCCAAUUCUGCUUUGGUGCUUGCAUUUUAUUUAUGAAAAAGUGCAUCAUGCCAGAGGGGUACAUGCUUGGUACUUCAGGCCUGUCCCUGAAGGUAUACCUCAGAGGCAAACAUAGACAGUGGAAGUACGAGUCCUCUUUGUAAAAAUUAGUGACAUUUUGAGGUUCGUUUCUAGAAAGUAUUCUCCAGUGUUUGAAGUCUGUGCGGUCAGCUGUGGAAAACAAGUGCAGCCUCCAAUUGCUCUGUUUGCACGUCCAGUUGGAUACAGUUGGAUACAGUUGGAAAUACACUGGUAUUUCCUUGAUCUUGCCCAUAGUGCCCCUGUUUUUUCCUCCUGCAGUUUCAGUUUUGGUGUGUUCAGAUGCCAUGUCACAUCCUAGGAGAACAGUCUGUGAGUCGCCAGGGGGUCUGACAAGUUGAGCCACUCAAAACCCUUUAAUUCCAAGUAUCCUUGAACUGAGGAAGCAGCUCAAUAAAUCUCUAGAACAAGUUUUCACAACUUAACCAUAUGACCGUAUUAGAAUAAAGCCAGCUUCUGUGCGCCACUUCAUCUUCUUCCAAAUAUUUCUUGAAUUUGUGAUGAUUAAGGUGAUAGCCUCAAGAGUCACAAUCUCAAUCUGUCACUUCAUCACCUCACGCAGUGAACAUUCAUUCAGUAAGUAGAAAUUGAGCACGUCUAGCCAGGGACUAUUCUAGGUACUGUGGAUACAGCACAGAACACCGAGCUUCAGUAAAAUGUACAGCAUAGCAGAUGAAGAUCUGUACUGCUGUGAAGAAAAUUAAGUUAGGGAAGGGGUGACAACUCUGUGUGUGUGUUUGUAUGUUUGCAGUUUAUAGCAGGCUAUUUAGGAAAAGCUCCCUGAGGUGAAGGGACAGGCCAGCUAGAUAUCCAGGAAAGGAGCAUUCCAGGGUGAGGGAAUAAAUGUAAACUUCAGGAGAUGAAAAUAUCCUCAGAGGCCAAAGGGGUAGCAGGAAAGCCAGAGUGGAUGAAAUAGUGGAAGGAAGGGACUAGGUCAGAGGUGGUUGGUGCCAGAACACUGAGGAUAUUGUAAAUCAUUACAAAAAUUUGGGCAUUUGCUCUGAGCAAGGCAGGAAGACAUUGAACAGGGGAGCAACAUGCUCUGGCUUUCUGAUCGUGAGUCUCUCACUUUAUUAAAAUGAGUGCUGAGGUGUCAUGGGUAGAAGCUGACAGAAGGCAGUGACAGUUAGAGGUAAUGGUGGCCUGAACUGGGGUGGCUGUAGCAGACAGGUGGUGAGAAGUGGUCAGUUUCUCAUCAUAUUUGGAAGACAGAGCCAUUAGCAUUUCCUGAUGACUUGCACAUAUGCUGUGAGGAAGUGGCAGUCAGGUUUUUGGUCCUGAGGAGGUAGAAUUACUGUUUUCCUGAUGGGGAAGGCUGUUAUGCAUCCUGAACAAGAGGGAGGAGGCUGCGAGUGGUCUGCCUCAUCUCAGGAAUACACUUCAGAAAUUUGUACCCCCUUCUCUUCUCUAUAGCCACUCUAUCGAGGAUUAAUGACUUAAAUUUUCAGUGUCUAAAUCAAGUGUCUUAAGUUCCUUAGUGGCAAGUACUCAAGUUUGUUAGCAAACUGGACUAAAAACCUUGGAUCUCAAAUAGGCUACACUUUGGUAAGCUUAGGUGGCAUUAGACCCAGUGGCUUAGUGAGGAAUAUAGAUGUUUCUGCUGCCACACCUUUUAGUAAACCUGGAAAAAUAUCAAGCAAAUGAAGAAAGAACAAAGUUGAAACCUCAAAAAUAACUUAAAGUCACCCCACAUUUGCAAAAUCAGUUACUGAAAACAGCAGGGCUGAUGUGGGAAAUAGAAAUAGGAUAGAACACUGAAAACCGAGGAACGGUAACCAAGAAGUUCUAAUAACGGUACCAAUAAACAAAACACAAAAGAACACAGCUAAUUAUUGGUGUUUACUCUGGUGUCAUAGGAAGUUUUAUGUAGCCUUAAAUUCUGGGGCUUGUGCUUUCUUUGACAAUUGUCUACUACCAUUUUUUAUGAAAAGUAAAAAGUCGAUUUGGCAUAUCGCCAUUGUCUUAAUACAAGGGGGAAUGCCUGUCCGCUUCCUCAUCUGCAUUCAUAGCUUUGCCAGAUAACUUAAAAGAACAGAAGUGUAGUGGUUUAAAGCCAAUGAAACAGUCACCAGUUGGACCAAAGUAAGUUACUUCUGUUGAUUUUCAGUUUUCUUUUUUCCUUGAGAUUCUCUUUUCUUGCUAAGGCUUUCUCUUUAAUAAUCAUGAGGUAACUUGCCUUGGCUUGAAAGUAUUACAUGCUAGGGGGAAAAAAAAAUCACAUGAGCUGAUUUGACCUCUCUGUUAUUCAGACUCCAUUCAUUCACAUGUUUGCCAGUCAUGUAUGAGGUAAUGCUCAUCCAGGAAGCACAGUGUGGCAGAGCAGACUGCAUUGCUGCCCUGGGGCUCCUUAUCUGACCCAAAGUUACGACCAAAUUCAGAUCUGCUUCUUUAAAGAUAGUCUAGAAUUUUUUUUUAAUUAAAUAGGUAUUCAGUAAGAAACACCCUAAAAUCAAUUUGACAGUGUACUCAAAAAAGUGAAAAAAACCCAACAUUUAUUUCUUUAAAAAAAUCAUUUGAAGACUAGAAAGUUAAAACAUCUUUAAGAAGAACCACUUGUUUAAGAGCUAAUGUCACACUUGACAAUGACAAAUAGAGGAUUUUUUUGUUUACAUUAGGAAUGUAAUUACCUAAGCCUUCUAUCAUCAUUAACAUUGUUCCAAAAGAUCUGACUAGUGCAAUAAACCAUAAAACCAAAGUAAGUAUAAUGAUCAGAAAGGAGAUAAAUCAUAGAAAACAAGAAAAUCAACUAAAAAAUUUUAGUAGGUUCAUGAAAGAUAAUACCGUAGUAUAAAUAUAAGGAGCCAUUCUGAAUCAACAGACCAUUGGUAAGGUAUUAUGUUAGAUAACUCCCACUCUGUAUUAAAAUAAAUUCCGUGAAACCUUAAGCAAGUAGAUGAGAACAAUAUCAAAUAGCUGAAGAGCUUAAAAGCAGUGAGAAAAGGUCCAAAGAUACAUCAAUUUGGCUGUACAAAACUAUAUUUCUAGAAACUGUAUUUCUAAAAAACUCAGAAAUGGGAUGGCAAACUGAGGCAUAGCUCAUUUCAUAACCAGCUCUCCAAGGGAAGGAAAAAGUACACAGAUUUGCUGAUUUCCAUGAUGUGAAGGCUCCCACCAUGACUGAUUUCAAGUGAACAAGUUCAAGAGCAGGAGUUGGCACAGACUCUUGCACAGUUGGAGCUCACUAACUGGCUGAAGCAUAACAAGUGGCAGAGCACGCUGAGAAGCCACUUGUUAUUACUAGCCGCUCAUUUGGUAACCCCAUCUUGUAUGUGCCAUCUUAGGAUGGGUUGUUCCCUUGUGGUCUGGUCUUUAGUUCUAAGGGAAGAUUAGCUUAUUCUCUAGAGCAACUUUGUGGAAAGAAGGAUUUAAUUGGAUUUCAGAGAUGUGGAGACUUUGAAUAUGGCAGCCAUGUUAUUAGGAGUUGUGUAGUUAUUUGAAGGCUGUGAUUGAAAAUCAUUAUUUGGGAAGAUUAUCUGGAGACUAUGAUUGAGAAUUAUUAGUUCAGGGAGUACAGAGAAAACCAGUUGGCAUGAAUUGGGAUAGAGGUACAGAGAGGAAAGAGGGGGGAAAAUGUACAUAUUUUUAAGGGGUUUAUGAAGAUUAAUCUUACAUUAUAAUGAAAGUACCUGUAUACGUAUACAUAGAGGGUUGACUGGUGGGCAAGUGGGGGUGGCCAGAAUUGCAUACUAACCUGUUAAGGUCUGUCUGAGCUUGGAAGCUAGCUUUUGGACAAAUGGUCUCUUAUGAGUAGGAUUUUUUUUUUACUAUCAUAAUUAAAGAUAAUAUAUUUCCAUAGAAUGAUAAACUUAGAUUUCAAAUUCAUGCAAUAAGUAUAGAUAGUAUUUUAGUAUCUUAUAAGCCUUAUAAAUUUUUUUGUUUGUUUUAAGUAGUUAUACAUGACAGUAGAAUGCAUUUAUGCACUUUGAUAUAUGAUAUAUAGAUGGUAAAAUUUCUCAUUUUUUUGAUUGUACAUAUUGUAGAAUCACAUCAGCACAGCCAUAUAUGUACAUAAGGUAAUAAUGAAUGUUUCAUUCUGCUAUCCUUCUUCCUAUCCCCAUCCCCUCCCCUCUCUUCACUCCCCUCUCCUAAUCUAAAGUAACUCUAUUUCUCCCUACCCACCACCUAUUGUGAAUUAGCAUCUGCAUAUCAGAGAAAACACUCAGCCUUGGGUUUUUUGGGAUUGGCUUAUUUCACUUAGCAUGAUCUUCUCCAACUCCAUCCAUUUAGAGUGGGAUGUUUUAAUGACUCACUGGGUAUGCAGACUUACAGAUGGUUUUUUUAAAGCACUUAUUUAUUCCAGUUUGGUCCAUUAACAUUCAUUUUUCUUUGUCAAUUUUUUAAAGAACAUAUUUAGUAUCAGUCAUUUACAGGGGUAUUAAUUUGAUGAUUCAGUGUUCCUUCUCACCAAUUUGGGUGAUUCUGGUAUUUUUCUGUAAUCAUUUUAUGGAUCUUUACCUGGUUUUCAUUACUUCAAAUUCUGAUGUGCCCAUGUAUUUUCCUGCCAUUACUGAUUGUGGAACCACUGAAUCUCAAGGUUGGAAAGGAUUAUAAUUGUCUUCUAGUCGAGCUGUCAAUUUGAUAUUUGAAUCUUCUGUUAUUUUCUUUUCUAAUUUAGACUUAAAUAAUUGAUUGGGUCUUAAUUUUCAAUAGUUGGGUUUUAUCAAGAAAUAGGAUUUGGAGACUUAGUGACCAUAUGUCAUCCUCACACUGAGUAGUCAUUUGGACAUAACCAGCUGGUCAUUCUUUGGGGUAGCUGAAGGCCACUGGUUUAUUUAAUGCUGAACUUUUUGCCUGCUAUUCAGUACCCAUGGCUGCAGGGUGCUAUGACCUUAAGCUCUACACCUAGGCAGCAGGUAAGAGUAUAGGUGGACUUAGGACCCAAAUCCUAUGGCCAGGCUAAACUCAGCUCUGUCAUUUUCCUGGGGUUUCCUCCCUGGUCUGGUCUAUCUAAGGGCAGAGAGAGGGUAUUAGAGGUUGACUGUGGAGAAAUAUAACCUCUUUGCUUUCAAAGUUAGCUAAGGCUGGUUUGCAAGUCCAGGAGCUGCCUGUUUGUAAAUGCUAGGGGAACUUCUCUAGCUGUGUUCUAAAUUAUAGCUCUUCAAUAUUUUCUGCCUAAAGUGUUUAAAUGGAGAGUACUUGUUGUGGUUCAGGUUUUACCAGAGAAUGCCAGCUGACAGCUGCCAAGAGGCUUUACUAAGGAUCCUUGACCUUACAACUCAUUAAGCCCUGGGGCUUUGGAGGCUAUAAUUUUGCUAGUACAUUUAGUGUGCAUCCUUCUGUUAAUAGUAGAUUCAUGUAAAACAGCGUCGUAAGACACGUGUCAACCCAGAAGCCUAAUUUAUUGAAGAUUUAGCUGACGUGCAGGAUAGAAAAAUUUUGUCAGCUUGGCUAGCAUGAAGAUAAAACCAAAUCAUUAUUGAGAAUUAUUUUAUUUUCUCUCUCUCUUUUAUUUUUGGUAGUACUGAGGAUUGAACUAGAGCCUUGCACAUGCUAGGCAAGCAUUCUACCACUGAGCUACACCCCCAGCCUUUUAUUUACUCUUGAUAGAGAAGUAAUGUGGUUUUUAAAAAUCCAGUUCAAAUAUGUAUCUGAUCUUACCUCAUGAGAUAAUGAUGGUUAACAGCUUAGUAUGUGUAUAUUCUUUCAGACCCUGUGUAGAUGCAGUAGCCUCUGUUGCUCCAUGGUUUUAUUUUUCUGUAGCCCUCAAGUUUUGUUAUACAUACAUGCUUGUCAACUUCUGGGAAGCCAGAGGCCAGUCAGAAGGUGCCUGAUGUCAUGGGAUGAGAAGAAGGGGAACAGAUUGGAUGAUUCAUGGUGUAGCAGCAACUCAGUUGCCCAACUGUCUACUCAGUAGUAAUGACACUUCUGCAUGAGUCUGCUCCCCUCAUGCCCCUUUCCCAAGACAGUUUGGAAGGGCAAUAUCAAGGUUGAUUUCUCAGACUUCCAUUUUUCAGUAUAAAUGAUCAAGUCCAGAUCCUGGCACCUAAUAAGUACUAAUAAAUAAAUAGUCCCUUUUUUUUUUUCUGAGAAGCCUGAUCUUUCUGUAACUGUUUAUAUCACAGUCCAGUUUUAUUUUGGCCUAUUUUUCCUUUGAUCUCUUUAAGAUGACUCUCCCCCCCAGCUCUACUGUGAUCUAUUUUAUGAUGUAUUUUAAUUCUCUGUAUCUUUAUUCACCUUUUACCUUUGUAAUGACUGCAGAGGAACUGAACUUUUCUAUGAAAACCAGCACUUUAUCUCAUUAUUCAAUAACUUCUGAUUUCUCAGCAAAUGCGUUUCUUCAUUAAAUUUCAUUACUACCCAACUUUUUAUUUUAGUUAAAGCUCUUCUGCUUUUACCUUAUCAUAUACCUGAUUUGAUAGCUAUAUGAAAAGUGUUUUGCAUGGAGGUGUUGUGAAAUUAAGAGAACACUACAUGUGAAGUGGCCAACAUACCCCUUUUCAAGUAUUUUUAUGUGAUUUAUUUUAUAUAUAUUACAACUUUAUUGACAAGUAAUUGCACAUUCUACAUGUAAUUCACCCAUCUAAAGUGUCCCGCUCAGUGAUUUUUUUUUUAGUAUAUUCACACAGUUCUGUUAACUAUCACCACAGUUUUAAAACAUUUUUAUUGCUCCCAAAAGUAUCUUGAUAUCCAUUUACUGUCAUUCCUUAAUUCCCCUUAACUUUACCCAGCCCUAGGCAAGUUUUAUUCUGUUUUCUGUCUCUAUAGAUGUAGCUAUUCUGAGUAUUUCAUGUGGAAGGAACUAUAUGACAUCUGGUCUUUUGUGUCUGCUUCUUUCACGUAGUGUUUUCACAGUUCAUCCAUGCUGUGGCCUGCAUCACUGCUUCAUUGGACCACACUAUAUUUAAUGGUCCAUACUAUAUUUAAUCACUUAUACAUUGAUAGAUAUUAUUUAUGAUUUUUUAAUAGUAAAAUAGCACUUCACAUUAUUAUAUUUUUUUUAAAUACAAUCAUUUUACAAAACAUAGAAAAAAGUUACAGGUGCCUAGGGAAAACAAUAGUUUGUUAAUUUGUUUCUACCCGUUAAACAUCACUGUUUUCUUUAAAUAUUAAAAAUGAUAUUUGGACAUUUGGAAAUAAUAUCAUGCUUGGUUAUGUUCUAUAAUUUUCCUAUAACAAAAAAUUAACAAUGUGAAAAUAUAAUUUAGAUUAAUUCAGCUACAGAAUAUAACAUACUGUGGUAUCUUUCCUGUAAUUCUUAUGCUUCCAAUUUUUAAAUUUUUCCUUCUCACUUCCACACAGAUCAUUCCACGAUGUUUUAUAUGCUGAGGACAGUAAACAUGGCAGAGCAGAGUAGUCAUGGAUCCUAGAUUCCAACUGCCAGCUUGACGUCCCUCUAGUAGAACUUAUUGUAGGCUGAGUGGCUUGGGGCAUGUUACUUGGUCUCUUUGGCCGUUUCCUUAUCAGUAAGAUGGGAAUAAUCCUGAUAUCAGCCUUAUUGCUUUGUUGUGAAGAUGAAAUGGGUUAAUAAAGCAAAGAGUCAGGUACAUGGAAUAUGUUCAGUGAUAUUAGCUAUAAUCUGCAGUUUCAUAUGGUAAUAGUGUCCCGUAAGUACUUUAAGUGCAUAUAUUAAAACAGAUUAUUUUGUUAAUAUUCCUAAUUAUGUUUGAUCCAAACUUUUUCCACCUUCAAUAAAAUAUGUGCAGUUUUGUUUAUCAUUUCACCAACCAUCACCUGUAAACUCAAAUGGAUCAUGUUUUAAAAGCGAGAGAAAAAAGCAGAACCUGGAGAUGAAGGAGGUAUUAGCAAGAGUAGAGGAGCUGGAAGGUGAAAUAAAGUGACCUAAUCUCUUAAGCUCCAACAUGCCUUCAUUCAUGUGAAGAUAAUUAACUAUUUACUGAAUAAGUGGAUAUUUUAGUAGUUUGGUUGGAUGUGGGAUUCAGAAUUGGAGUUUCCUUCAAUUUUCAUUUAAAAAGUGAGACUUCUUAUGUAUUCAGUAUCAAAACUUCAUUGUACACUUUACAUAUAUACAAUUUUUAUUACUCCAUUAUGUCUCAAUAAAUCUCAGGGAAUUUUUAAGAUAUAAGGAAGGCAUUUCAGUUGCUCUUAUUGUAUUAUUAUUUAAAAGUCACUGUUUUUUUAAUCACAGUUUUCCAUACAACUGUACGCUAAUUCAUUUCUGCUGGUGGUAUCUCCUUUACACAUUUUAUUUAGUUAUUUUUUCAUGAGAGAAAAAUUUUGUCCUCUUUAUUGCAGUUUUUUUUUUUCUUUACACAUUUUAGAAUGUAUAUACGGUAUGGGAAUAAUUUAAAGAUUCUGAGAUGAAUUUUGUGGGAAUUUACUUUUUUUGAAGACUCACAGGGAAGACUUUCUCCUAGCUCUUUGGAAAAGGGCAUUAACAACCAUUUAGGGCCUGGUCUUAGCUAGAAACUUAAAACCUCUUCAAAGGGAUUGUUCCUUACCCUACAAAUAGAGAGCCCAGGUCAGCUGAUCACACCCCUGUGAAGAACAAGAGCUAGGACUGAAACCAGGUUUGGGCUCUUUUUCAUCACUGCACCAGUUUGACUUUCUAAGGUUGCCUCUUCUCCCAUUUUUCUUUAAGAGGGGCCUUGCUCUGCCAAGGUGAGUCUCAGCAUACAGUUUCUAAUGAAGUUUGAAAUGUUCUGAUCUCCCAUCAAUAAGUGUCAGGUAGAAUGACUUAAACAUUUUGAGGGGGCGGGGGGCAUUUCAUACUCUAUUUCUUUAUAGCUGUCAAUAUAGUGAGGAAGUAGAGAAAGAAUAAUCUGGAGAAAUGGAAGCCAGUAUAUUCAUAUUCUCAUAUUCAUAUUCUCUCUCUCUCACAUAAUUAAAUAGCAUUAAUAAUAAUCAAAAUAGGGAAACAUUAUAAAUUAACUUUAAAAAUUACACCAUCUCUUUCCAAUGCUUUUUUACCCUUGUAUGUACUGUUUUACUUAGCUGUAUGACCAGAUCAGAGAGAUAAUUUUAUGCCCUGUUUUUUGCCAUAACUUUUUAUCAUAAUCAAUUUUAUAUGUUACUAUAGAGCUUUCAUAGUUAUUUUUAUGAUUGUAUAAUAUCCCACUCUCAUGUUUAACUGUUUUCUAUUAUUGUGUAAUUAAUUUCUAAUUAUUUCUCAUACAGCCCUGCAUUGAACAUACCAUGUGCAGCUAUUAUAAUGCUGUAGAUUAUUUCCUUUGGUUUUGAAACAUAUUGCUAAAUUAAAAGGGAAUGUCUAAUUUGUGCUACUUUCAGUUUUCAGCAUGGUCUUAACCAGUGUUGCCAGUCUUUGCUUCUGAAAUUUGUUCAGUGGGAGUAGCAUCCUAACCAUUGAAGGAUAGGGGCUAGGGGUUAAAGGUUGCAGUAAGAUUAUGACCAAAUAAAUUUUGGAGAGUUUGUGAUUUAAAGGCUCAAAGAAGUCAUGCACAAAAGACUAGACUUCAUUAGCUUGCAUUUCUAAAACUUAUUUAAAUAUGGAACUUAUUAUUCUCAUAAAAAUGAGCAAACAUCUUUGGGAAAUGCCAUACUGUAUGUUGAUGGUAAAAGGAGCCAGCCUCUAGUGCAAUAGGAUACUUUUUAGGUAAUUGCUCUCAUGCACAAGAGGCAGUAAGGAUGUCUGCCCUAAUAUCUUGCCACCUGACCCUCAAGAAGCUCAUAAUCUAUUGGGGAAACAAUAUAGAUGAUAGAUGAUGGUGUUUAUAUAUAUAUAUAUAUAUAUAUAUAUAUAUAAACAAACAUAUAUAGAAUGAUGAUUACUGUGACAAUGGUUUAGACAUAGUGUGCACAAAGGAAUAGAAAGGAAGGGAACCUAAUCCACGUUUUGUGUGUUCCUAAGUUAUUUUCCAAAUCACAGAAGGGAUUUGGUUCUCUCUAGAGUUUUUAGGUCACUGCCUUAGAACUGAACGUAUGUUUAUUUCUAUGCAUGACUACUGUGGACUAAACACAUCUUCAUCAACUAAGACAGUACCUGAUUUUGAUUUAAAACAAAAUUACUAAUUUCCAACCACUCACCUGCUAUGAUCAGUGUAACUUUUGUAGAAGGCAUGGAGCCUUCAUAAGUCAGUUUUUAUGUGUUCCAUCCCGGAAAGGAAGUUAGAUUGAAGUAAGGAUAUUAGAAUGGAUAUCCAUGAAAUAAAAAAUACAAUAGUAAAACCAAGAAAAUUUAGGAAACCUAUUAGAACUCUGGAGACUCACUCUAAAAAAAUAAUAGGUAGGAGGUUCAAAGUAGAGCUUUGGUCCUUCCAGUCUGUCUGCAGCGUCGUCAGGUUCUGAAGAAGUUUUGACACUUGUAAGAUGUGAUGGGAAAAAAUGAAGCCCAUAAAAACCAUAAUUUUCGAAAGUUAAAUAGCAAUUUUAAAUUUAAAGGACUGCUUACCACUGAUUCAGGAGAAAGACAAACUAGAAAUACUGCCUGAAGAUUGCAGGCAGGACUUGUUUGUGUGAUUUUGAUGGUGUUUCAUUGAUGAUGGAGGCAGAAGAUGUUAUUAGCUAUGUUCAGAGCAGGAUUAACUCAACUUCUGCCCAGUAAUUAUCAUGGGUUUAUGUUCAAGAGAGAGAGUCGUUGAGAAGUCAAAAGGCCCACAUUAUUUUUAUGGGAGUUGGAAGAAGAAUGAAGUCAUUGCCUACAUAUCUCCCUGUGAUCUUCCUAUCAUGGUGUAAAUGCACAACUCAUAAAGCAGCUGUAGUUGCCAUUUCCUCCCUUUUCCUUAAAUGGAUGAAUGUGAUUUAGCGUAAAGUUCACGAACUAAGAAAAGCAGUUGGACACAAAUGCCUGUAUCUUUCCACUCAAUGUAUCUUAUUACCUUUAAAUGCUUGUUAAAAUCAUGCUUUUAUUUUUACCUUUCCAGUAUAAAUUGCCAUCACCAGGCUUAGCAAAUGAAACAGAUUACUUACAGUAACCUGUACGAAGUUAUGUACUCCAGGCCCUUGACGGAGCUUUCCCAAAGGACAGGCAAUGUCUUUCAAAAAAUCCUAUUACAAGAUUUUAUUUGCAGGUGUGAUGAACAGAAAGCUGCAAACCUCCAUGUUUUAUUGCUACCCAACUUCAUCAUGUCUGCUCACUCUAUUGAAAACUGUGGCAAAAAUGAUACACAUCAGCUCUUUUAUUCUUUUGUUACUACUCUGUGCAAAUAAAACUGUAUUGGAGAAUUUAAUGAAGCAGUAUGUCCUUGGAGGCAGCUUUGGAGAUUCUCAGUGUACAACAAUUUGUCUUUAAUACUGUAAAACAGAUUGGCAGGACCAAAAGUUAGUCCUCACAGAUUGGCCAAUGUUUGCCACAUAUGUAUGUGCUCAAGUCACAUAAGUAGCAGGGACCUUGGAGAUAGAGGCACUCAGUGACCAUUCCAGUAGCUUUAGUCUGUACCAGGAAGUGGUUGGGUUAGUGAAAACUGCAGAACAGCUGUGGAACUGUGAGGCUGUUUUAGAAAUGAUCUGUUUACCCAGGAAAUAAAGACUGAUACUCAAGAAAAAAAAAAUUGAAUUGAGGGUUAAUUAUUCAACAGAUUACCCAAUGCUAUGUCAGAAUACUUCUGGGGAUCUGUGGUAGGCAAGAGGUCACAUUUGAGCUUGCUUUAGCCUUCACAGGCAUAGUGGGCCUUUUGCUGGAAUCUGGAAAGGCAGCAGUAAUGGACCUGUGCUACAAAGAUCUGGGCACACAGAACGUUGGCAUUCGUGAACUUGUCAUCGGGUGUCAGCUUCAUGUUAUGUGCAAUUCUUGACCCAUCAGCUUAGCUCUCCUUGCUGCUAACCUGUAAGAAUACAAGCAUGUGUCACUGACCUCAUCUCAAGGAUUAUAUAUAUAAAUAUGUACUGGGUAUUGAAGCCAAAGGUGCUCUACCACUGAUCUGCAUCCUAGCCCCUUUUAUUUUUUAUUUUGAGACAAGGUCUUGCUGUGUUGUCCAGGCUGGACUUGAACUUGUGAUCCUCCUGCUGUAGCCUCCUGAGUCACUGGGAUUCAGUGUGUGCACCACCACGACUGGCAUAAGGAUAAUCUUAAUUCUGCUUAAAGCUCUAAGCUUCAGUACUUUUUUUUCCCUUUUUUAAUCAGUAAUAAAUAUUUGAAUAGCUUCCAAUUGAUGAAGAAAAGUGUAUAGGAAGUGCUGUCAUUGUGAAUUUCCAGCUCAAAUGAGGUUGGAAUCAACACCAGUUUGUCCUUUGUUUGCAGGCUUGACCCUGCCUGUCUACCACUUUUCUUCUUUUGGAUCAGCCUCCCAGGCUGCCAUUUUUUGUUACUUGAAUGUAGAAGAAAACAGUUCUCUGGCUUAUGCUGGGGGAAUGACAAAGGAGUCAUUUAGCAUGUCAGAAAUUCCGAGUUGUAGCACUCUUGAUAUCUGUGGCCAGAUAGUACUUAACCAGGGUUAAUAGAUAUCUCACCAGUGACAUCUAUGUGAAAAUGUAGCUUGGUAAAUACAGCCCUAUACUAGUUAUGUUGGAAACAAAGGAAGUUAUUUUUCCUCAUUUCAAAGACCUCUUACUAACUGCAGCCAUAAAAUCUUUAAGUGUAUAAAGAAAUUUAACACAAAGUGAGAAAUGGUUGAUUAAAAAAAAAAAAGAAAAACAGCUUAAUGCUCUAUAUGCUCUAGGAAUACAUUUACUACUUAACAUUUUUUUAAUGGAACCACCGCCAUCCCCAGUAUUGGGGAUUGAACCCAGAGGCACUCAACCACUGAGCUACACCCCCAAGGUGCAAAUUGUGCAGGCUGACCUUGAACUUACAAUCCUCCUGCCUCAGCCUCCUGAGUAGCUGGGAUUACAGGCAUGCACCACCUCACCUGGCUCUGAGUAGAAAAAUUCUUAUUUGGCAGUCAAUAUUUCCUCACCACAGUUUGCAAAAAUUUUUAGUGUGUUUUGGGGCAAACCACACAUUCUAUUUUAGACAUUUCAGUGUUUGCCUCAGAAUAUAAGCUGUAAAAGUUUAUAAGGCAAUUUCAACAGAUCUCAGAAAUGUUUACUUAAUGGCUCCCCAUCUCUUGUUUGUGCAGUACCUCUUACGUAUCUCCAUUUUGACAUUGUCCAUGAUAUCAUAGUACUUGGUUUGUGUCUUUCCCACUAAACUAGAGCUCAGUGAAGGCAGGGACUAUCUUACCCUUCUUUGAAUCUCAAAUAUAGGCAUUUCUUUCAUGCGAUGCUUAGUGGUGAUUUAAAGAACCAAAGAAAUGCUUAAGAAUAUUAUCUGAAAAUCAGUUAACUGAGAAUAAUUGACUUAACCUUUUCGUAGCACAUUUCCUGUUAUUUUGGAACCUUGCCUACAAAAACCUGGUGUAUCAAGGAAAGAUUCAGAGCAUUAGGUAACAUUACCAUAACAAUAUUUUGAGCAGCUUUAUACCUCUGUCUUAAUUAGGAGGAAGUAGUCUAUAGAUAGUGUGCAUAAAAAGAAUACAAAAAUGGGGCAGGGAGUGUUCACAGUCUUUGCCUUUAGAUAUUAUCUGGGUUCCAGGGCUUUGCACCUUGUGUGCCUCCAUACUUGAGACCUAUUUGACUCUUUUUGUCUUAAGUCUGGAUCAUUGCUUUGCCUGUCUGAUUCAGAAUCAAAGCUGCCAGACUUUUUUCUAUGUAAUCAUCCCCUGGCCUUGGCCCCCUUUACUUGCCCUGUUGUUGCUGAUGCCUUCCAGUGACAAUCAACUUGACCUAAUUGGUAAUGACAUAUCACUUACCAUACUUCUGUGUGUGCAUAUUAUCCAUAAAUAAGACACAGUUCUUAACAACUGCAUCUUCAUUUGAAACAACAUAGAAAGUUAGGUUAAAACUAUUUACAGCCAUGGGUGUGGUGUCAUAGGGUUAUAAUCUCAGCUGCUUGGGAGGUAAAGCAGAGAGGUCACAAAUUUGAGUGCAGCCUUUGUAUAAAAUAAACAUCCUAGGAAUGGGACCCAAGUCUAAGCAUAAAAUUUCUUUAUGUUUCAUAUGUACCUUGCACACCUAUCCUGGAGUUAAUUUUGUACAUCUUUUAUAAGUUUGUGCAUGAAACAAGGUUUCAUGGUGUGGAAAUUUACUUGUGGCAUCAUAUCAAACAGUGCUCAAAAAGUAUUGGGUUUGGAACAUUUCAGAUUUUGGAUUUUUUAAUUAGGGAAAUUAGGAAUGUUCCACCUAUAUUAUAAAUUAUAAAUAUGCUUUCAAGAAUAUCAAUCUUGUAUGCAUGUGCAAAAAGAUCAUGUGAUGUGGAUGCAGUUAUACAAAUAUAUUCACACCUAUAUUUUUCAACAUUGAAAAAGAACUUUCUACCAUGGAAAACUUCAAGUAUUCAUUGUAUCUAGUUUUGAAAAUCUUUCUUUUUGUAUCUCCAAGUUUGUCUGGUAUCAUAUUUCUUCUACCUGAAGAACUUUCUUUCACAUUUCUCGUAGUUUAUAUCUGUUGCUAAUUUUUUUUUGUCUAAGAAAGUCUUUGUUUCUGAGAGGCAUUCCUCUGGGUAUUGAUGCUGGGCCUGUGAUUCUUUCAGCAAUUUAAAGAUGCCAUUCCAUGGUUUUCUACUUGCAUAGUUUCUAAAGAGAAAUAUGUUGUAAUAUUUAUUUUUCUGAAUGUAAUGUCUUUUUAAACAAAAAAUAAUACUGACUACCUUUCAUUAUGACCAUUGUGUCUUUGAUUUUCCACAGUUUGAAUAUGUGUGUAGGGGUGUGUGUGUGUGUGUGUGUGUGUGUGUGUGUGUGUUUAUCCUGCUUGGGAUUCUCUAAUUCUUUAAAUCUGUGCUUUAAUUUUUAAAAAUUAUUUUUAGAAUUUUUUCAGUUAUUAUUUCUUGAGCUAGUUCGUCUGGCUUCUCCAUGCUCUACUUGGGUUUCAGUUACACAUAUGUUAGCUUAUGUGACGUUAUCCAGUAGUUCUUGGAUUCUUUAAUGUUCACUCUUGUUUUGAUUUGUCUUUAAGUUAGGGUAAUGUGACAUAUUUUGAGUUUACUGAUGGUUUUCAUAGCUGUAUUUAGUUUAGCAGUGAGACUGACAAAGGCAUUCUUCAUCUGUUACUAUAUUUAUUUUUUAAUUUUUAGCAUUUCCGAGGCUGUUUCUAAUAGUUUCUGUCUCUCUGCUGGAGUUUGAGGAUUCAGGUUUCUGACAUGGAUUUUCCAUGAACUGUGGUUUCCCCUUCUACAAAAUCGGAAAGUUGGGAAUAUAUGAUAUAGAAUUGUUUUGAGAAUCAAGAUAUCAUGGAUAAAAUACAUGUAUUCCCAUGGACAAGUCCCUUCCCUUUCCUUCUCUGGGUCUCAAUCACUGUCAUUAAAUGUUUGGACUGCAUGAUUCUCUGAUGGGGGAGAGACCUAACAUUUAUUAACAGCUUGUAUUAAUCUCAUGUAAAAUUUGAAAAAGGCAUAAAAAAUCACAUUUAAGAAGUGCUUUUACAAAAUGUUUUAGAUUUGCUAGUUUUACGUGGAAUUUUAAUUGGAAGAAACAUAGCAUUAAAUCUAGUUGCCACUUGGUUAAAUCUGAUAAAGAAUCAUUAAAAUUUUUCAACUGUGGGGUUUCCUGACUCACUUGAGAAAUUUCAUGGCUCAUAACACAUCUCACUCACUCUCUUUGCACUUAUAGAAUUUUAAAUUAUCAGCCUGGCUUCCAACUUUUGCAGUGAGGAAACACUAAUGGGAGUUGUUGCUCUUAACUGACUAAAGGACAAUAGUCUUGUUGGAGCUGGCUUUGGCAUCACAGACUUGUAUUCAUAUCCUGGGAGCCCAAGAGUGAAACCUUGAGCUGUCUAUUUCAGAGCUUGAGUUUCCUUCUCUGUGAAAUAGGUAUGAUGCCUACACCAGAGAGUAGUUUUGAAGGUAGAAGACUACAUGUAGAUUUGGGCCUACUGUCUGAUUAAUGGUAAUCGAUCACCCACCCAUAGCAUUUAGAGUGGUUGCUAAAAUAAAAUAGGUCACUACUAAGUCAAAAUUUCAGUACAUCUAUGGGGAAAGGAAAGUCUAAUAUUCAUUUUAACCCCUUUUUUGGAAAGAACCAUCUGGUAAGAUGAUAUUAUAACAAUAUGGAGAGGAUUAACUGAAAAGAUUAUUGGUAAGUAAUAACAAUAACCAAGCAACUGAGUACUCAGGCAAGGAAUGCCACAUUUCUGUCCUCAAAGCAGCCCUGUGAAGGAAGCACCCCUCCUCCGAGCAGCCUGCCUCUGUUGGAGUGAGGGUGACCAUACUGUCCUUGUGCUCUUCCACUCUGGAUUCUAUCACUGUUUUUCAUACAUAACUCCACUGCCUCCCCACUUAUUUUCUCCAGUGACAGACUGCCUGUGUGUUUUGCACAGCGGUGGCACACACAGCAAGUUGAACUGUUGAGAUGUUGAGUCUUUGGGUUUUUCUUGUCAAGAGUGAAAUCCCUCUUCCUGAUGUCGUAGAUGAAAAUAUAAGCAUUAGCAAACUGUGUGUUGGCCUAAAGCAAAAAUAGUAAGAAAAUUGUUGUAAAGAAAGUACUUGAUCAACCUGAGCCCACCCCCAUACUGUUUAUUAAAACCAAGUAUUUUAAGGGAGCUGUCGAUAUACAAAUUAUUACAGAGUAAAUAUGAUGAAUUUCAAAAACAGUGUCCAAAUUCUGUAUGUGAGUAGUUUUACUAGAAUGGGCAUUAUUCAAGACUGAAAUUAUUUAAUACAAAGAAACAUUCUUUGUUCACACUGUGAGCCACUGUCUUCCAAAAUGCACACCACAAUACCGGCAUUCUUACUCAAACUUGAAUAACACAGGGAAUACUGUCAGAUUAUUUUACAGUUGUUUUUCUUAUCAUCACAAAAGUUGUCACAGAACUUCAUUCCUGAUCAUAGAUUUUUAGAGUUGGAAGGAACCCAAGAGAUCCAGUCUAACUCCUUCCUGCCACCCAAGGGAUAAAGUAAUUUUUUUAAAGUCAUGUAGAUAGCUGAUGUCGGAAGGAGGGAGAGAUAAGUUCUGUGCAUAAUGCCACAGUUCUGCAUUCCUUUGGAAAAAAACUGCCUACUCAUUCUUGGAUUUUUAACGCUAGUUAGAGUUUUGUGGCAAGGUUAUUUUCCAUGACUAACUAGUGUUCUUUUGUUUUCUCAUGUGGGUGUCUGGGAACAAGCUCAGUGUUUUUGUUGCAACAAUUGAACAGUGGAAGGUGGUAACAAGACACUUGUCUAGUUAACACUUUAGGUGUCGGCAGGAGAAAGUGGUUGGGAGCUCAGAUUCUCUGUCCUCAUUGUCAGUAAGGCAACUAUUUUAAUGUUGAGUUUCCUAAACUGGAGCCUGAAUUCCCCCUAAAGUUUUAUGAAGAUUCUGUGAAUAUAUAUUUCAGGAAAAUAAUCUGUAGCUUUCGUGAGAUUAUCAAAAGAUCUACGGUUUAAGACUAUUGUUCUAGAAGAAGGGAGAACUAUGCCAGUUGCAUCCAAGCACUAAUUGUAGGAGAGGCUUCCCUUAUCUCUAGCCCCCUUGUGCCCCCUUCCUACUGACAAGCCUUCCACACAGCUUCCUGGAUCUUUUCUUGGAAGCCACUGGAGGACUCCGGCUUCUUAAUGCAGGAACAUUCCCCAACUUUCUCAGGGCUACCUUCUCUGCUCUGUUUCCAUGAGAUGCUGUGAGACUCAGGGAUGUUUGUUCAUUAGAAAGCUCAGGGGUGUCACUUCAGAUACAUUUUGAUUGAAAAGAAUGUGUGAGCUGACCUGAGAACACAAGACUAUUGCAAAUAAGAGGGGGGGAAAAUGCACUUGGAAUUCCAAUCAAUAUUUUGCAAAUUAGCUUUCAGAAUGCCUCCAGUUCUUUGGUUAGGGAAUCUGUGUUUGAUCUAGGAACUAUUUAAUAUUUUCUAGGAACACAAUGAAAGUCCGUGGAUGCUUGUUCAGGAGUUGUCAGAAAUAUUGAAUUUUUCCUUCUCAAAUUUUAUUUCACUUGGAAGAAUCUACCCCUGAAUAGCAAUUCAUUUUGAUGGGAAUUCUUCCCAGAAGAGAACAUAUAGAGAGCAUGUUCUAAUCUUUUUUUCUUUUUUUAAGUCCAGCAUCUGGACACACAAAAGAAAAAGCUAGCACUAAGACUGAAGUUGGAAGAAUUUGUUCAUUUGUGAGUUUAUUCAUUUUAAAAAGCCUUUUCUGAGAACACAUCAUAAACACUUAGGAAUCAUGUUUGAUGCUGGUAAAUGAGGUGCCCUCUUCCCUUGCAAGGCUUGCAGUCUGCUGGGGAUACAGCUUGACAACUAAGAAUAACAGUUUAGCAUGUUAAACACUCCAGCAGAGUUACCAAAAAAGCACUAAUCUCAUACUGUCCCUGGCCAGGAAGUGGCGUGGGAGUGGAGCCAGUGGAGGGUCAGCUGAGGAGGUUAGGGUGAGUUUCUCUGAAGAGGUGACUGUUGAGUUGUGUAAACUUGUCUGGCUAAGAAGAGAACUAGGUAUAUGAUGAUAUAUUUGUGCCCUUCCCACUUUUUUGGUAUACUGGGAUUGAACCCAGGGUCUUGUGCCUGGUAGGCAAAUGUUCUAUCACUGAGCUACAUCCCCAGUCCUGCCUUUCCAAUUUUAACUAAACUUAACAUUGACCAGGCUCUCUUAUUUUAUGUUUUCAAUUAGAGUUCCAAAAGAGAAUGGAAGCCACUGGAGGACCGUAGCUGCACAGACAUACCAUGGCUGCUGCUCUUUAUCCUCUUCUGCAUUGGGAUGGUAAGGAAACUCACAAAUGAUCCAAACCCACGUUUGUAAUCCCAGGCAACAUGGGGAGUUGGUUUGAGAGGGAACUUGUUAUAUAUGUGUGCGUGUAUGGGUUUUGUCCCUUUUGUAUUGCUUAUAAUUGGAGGGACUAAGAUACCAUUUAAGCAGGCUAUUUCCCCCUCAAAACAGUUCUUUGGUAUCUAGUAACCCUUGAUUGAUUGAUUGAUAGUUUUUUUUUCUUUUAAUGAAAAGUGAGAUCAAAACCAAGGAGCAACUGGGACACUUCUCUCAUUUGCUAGAUCAUUUCAGAAGGCCAGAGCAUUUGACCUAAGUUUCUAUGAACUGUGAUCUUGACCGAAUGGUGAACAGAUCAUCCGUGGCCCUGGAACUGAGAAUCCUGAGGAUUUACUCCACCCAUUCACAUAAGCCUGAGUGUUAUCUUUUUGGACGAAUCAGUUCUCUCAGAGGCUUGAUGUUCCUUUGUAGAAAAGUAGAUGUGUUACUAGAUGAUAUCUAUAGUACUUCCAGUUCUGACAUUUUUAGUUCCUUCUGGUUAGGUGGUUCCCCACUGCUUCUUUCUCCUUCAGACUAUGAGAGGCCCCUGCAGCCUACUGUAUAAUGAGUGCAUUUCUCAGUGGAAGAUCAAGAGACCUGGUGAUUUUCCAAUGGGAUGGGGAGCACAGUCCCUGGUGCAUGGUGCUGGGUGUGUGGUUAUUUGGUGACAUUCCACUCUGCUUUGCCAGGGUGCAUGACGCAGACUUUCUUGGCUUUGGAGUCACUGCCAAUGUGCUGGGUUGGUAAAAAGACAAACACCUGUUUUAGAGCUGUUUAGAAAGGACUUGGAAGUCCUCACCUGGUCCAUCAUCUGUACUUUAUAGAUUAAAACAUCAAAUCCAGAAAUGGAAACGUCUAUCCCCAGGCAACACAGCUAGUUAAUGGCAGAGCUGGGAACAAAGCUUGGUCUCUAUUGGGGCCAGUGCUCUUUUCUACCUCCUUUUCCUGCUUGUGGAGGGGACAGAGUAGAUAACAGUAUUGCUCUCUUUCAUAGUAUUUUGCUACUCAAAAUGCAAAUACACUUCCUCAGGCAGCCUUUGUCUUACUCAAGUAUAUUUUCUUUUUUAAUAUUUAUUAUAUUUUUUAGGUGUAGAUGGGCACAACACAAUGCCUUUAUUUUUAUAUGGUGCUGAGGAUCGAACCCGGGUCCUACCCGUGCUAGGCGAGCGCUCUACCGCUGAGCCACAAUCCCAGCCCUCAAGUAUAUUUUCAACUCUCUUUCCAUACUUUUAUGAAGACCUUUGAAAAUUAUCUCUUAUUCUGUGUCUCUCCAUAACAAAUGCCAUCUGUGAAUCACAGAACAACUGUAAUCUUGGCCAGUGGUCACAUUAUAGGUACCAGUUCUGCCUGUGAACCAAGGAAAAGAAAGUAAAUUUUAAUGAGAUAUAAGAAAUUCAACAAAGUAAGAAGUGUUUAAUUUAAACAUAAAAGUGCAGGUUCUCCAAAAGAAAGAUAUUUAGAAAGGGUCAAAAUAUCCAUUUCCUAACUUAUGAUGUAUGGGAUACUGUUCAAGAGUUUACUUAAUGGAAUAGCAUUGUAAGGAAAUGGCAACUGAAAUGCAAUAUGCACAAAUAUUUCAUGUAGAUGUGGAGAAGAUUCUUUGUUAACAGAAUUAGUCCAUAGCCUUUCCUCACCCCCUAAUGCAACCCUGGGACAAAUAGCAGCUGACCUUUCAAAAUUAUGUUUAUAAAAACAUGUACCAUGCCACCCAAGGUGCUUCUGAUUUUCUGUGCUAAAAUAGCUCAGGAAAGUGCAGUCAUUAAUGUUAAUAGACUGAUUUGGGAGUGACUUGAGACUAAGGAGUUAUUUGUUUACUGAAACGUUUUAAUGCAAUGGUAAUUAAUAUAAUGUUGAUUUUAGUGUGAUGGUAAUUAAGACCCACUGUGUGUACUUUUAAAUGCCAGGCAUAGCAUCAUUUGUUUGGGAAUGAUUUUUUGAAUAGAUUACUUUUAUAUGAUUCAGAUAACAACAAAUUUUGCCAUAUAGAAACUGAAGAAAUUGCCAUGUUCUAUUGCCCAUUAUACUGGCAUAGCAGAGGUUCAAAGUUUUUUUGGUUUUUGUCUUCUGAGUAUUUGUUUUAUGUUUUCUUUAGAAGAUUUUUGCACCCAUGGAGUUCUUUCUCUACUACAGGUUGAAUGUCUCUUGUCACAAAUGCUUGGGACCAGAGUGUUUCAGGUUUUAGAUUUUUUUUUUUUUAAAUUUUGGAACAUUUGCAUAUACAUAAUGAGGUAUCUUGGGGAUGGGACCCACGUCUAAACAUGAAAUUCACUUUUGUUUCAUAUAUACCUUAUGCAUAUAUCCUGAGGUAACUUAAAAUUUUUUUGUUGAUGAUAGACCUUUAUUUAUUAAUUUAUUUAUAUAUGGUGCUGAGAAUCGAACCCAGUGCCUCACAUGCUAGGCAAGGGCUCUACCACUGAGCCACAACCCCAGCCCCUAGCCUGAGAUAAUUUUAUACAUUAUUUCAGUAUACUUGCAUUUGGGCUGCAGCGCAUCACACUAAGUUAUUUGUGGAGUUUUCCACUUGCGGCUCAUGUUGGCACCAAGAAAGUUUCUGAUUUGGGCGCAUUUCAGAUUUCAGAUUUUCAGAUUAGGGAUGCUCGCCCUGUAUUUUUAAAAGAAACCUUCUCUACAGAUUUUUUGAGCAUUGAUUUAUGCUCCACGCUUUCAUAUAUGUGUUCAUCUUGUUAAAUUCUCCCAGUUACCUGGUGAAAUAGGUUUUAUCUCCAGCUUAUAGACGAGGUGUACAGAUGUGAAGCUUAGCUUGUCUAAUAAGUGGCAAGGACAGAACACGACUGGAACUUUCUGAGUGUGUUCUUUUCACUGACUGCUCCACCUGCCUGCUUCCUUUACAGGCUACUUUUGUUACCUUGAAGCCUGAUAUUCAAACCAUGUGUAUGUUCUAUUGUCUUUACCUGCAAUUCUUUGCUCACUUCUUGGUACUCUCAAAAGCUAAAGCUCUUAAAUUAUUUUAAAUAUUGUCAUCUUUUACUCCUCUCUAUCAUUAAAUACUUAUUUAUACGCAUUUAUCUCCUCAUUAUUGAUACUUUUUUUUUAUUUCUUCCCUUAGUUUCAAGGAUUUUCUAUGCUUGAAUUGUCUAGAAUGUGGGGUGUUUUUCAAAAUAAAUUGGCAUCAGACUUCUUGAGAGCUAUCAUCUCCCAUGUUUGAACUUUCAUCACAAUUUUGAAAAUAGUGGACAUAUGCUUACCCUGCUCUAAAAAAUUACAAGUAACGUUGCACUUCUAAAUUUCUGUUUUCAAUUAAGGUAGUAAACGAGUGGUUCUCAACCAUAGCUGUGUGUUAGAAUCAGCUGGAACACUAAAAUACAAACAAAAACAAAUUUCUUUCCUGGGACCCACCUCAAUGAUUAUGAUAUAAUCUCUGUGAUUCUGGUGUUCAGCCAAGGUUGAAACCCUCUGUUAUGGGCACUGAUGAGCCACAGGAGUGUUGAUAAGUGAUUUGUCUAGGUUAGAAGUGUGGCCCUAGCAGCUACUGUUGAAGAUGGAAGUAGGAAGAGGUUUUAGACAGGCCACUUUGGAGGCUGGGGCAACAGUAAAAGGUGAAAAUUUUUAAAUAAGGUAAUGGUAAAGGAGAGAGAGAGAAAUAAGACCAGUAACAUCAAUGGUUAUUAAUGUUGCAGGCAAAUGAGAGACAGAGCAAGGGGGACUGUGAGGUUCUUGUGUUACGGGUUCAGUGUAGAGUUUUUCAGCUCAAAUCCUACCCUAUUUCCUCCUGGGUUCCCAACCAUGGUUUUUAUACACCUCAGGAGACAAGAGCCGCAUGAAUAAACAGUCACCCAUGGGCACUUGAUUAUGCCCAGGGAAGCACUCCAUGGUAAAAAUGACUUGGACCCUGUGGGCUAAAUCCUUCCCAUCUGGGACAGUCUUACUUCAUUCUCAGAGUAAUGUAUAUCAGGGAAGAGAAGAGAGGAAGAGAAAAGGGAGAGCUACACUGGCUCAGAUCAGCUUAUGCCACAAAGGCAGGAAAGAGAGGAGGCUGGAUGGCUCUAACAGGAGUGCCUCCAUGGAAAGUGUCGUCCCUGCUCACCAGCGGCUAGACAUUAUUUUUAGCACCAGACACAGACGCUUAAUACUCGAAACUAUUCAAUGCUGCAUACACUAUUGUUAUCACUUUCCCCAUUUUAUAGAUUAGGAAACAGAAGUACAGAGAUAUAUUCAAUGUGUUCAAUAACUUAUUUAAGAUUUCACAGUGGUACCUCUGACCCCAGGGAAGAAGAAAAAGUCAUCAAAGGUAAACUUUAUACUUUAUUGCCUAGAAUCAAGAACAACAGAAAAAGUUGUUCAGCACAUGGUUCUGUAGGACACAGUAAUCUUAUGUGCCAAUAAGCUGUGGUCUCACAAUGUCUCAAACUCUGACCAAGUAGCUAAACAUUACUCCUCCCUCUACUGUGGAGUUGGGAAGCUAGGAUGAGGGGCAGAAGGAUGGAGAGAAGAAACCAAAGAGUCCUCCCACUUUAAAUCUUGCAUGUGGAGACUAGCAGAUAAUGCUGCUACUAAUGGAUAUAAAGUAUAUAUUGGAAAGGGAAGUGGUUUGGGGAAGUGUGGAAUCAGAAUAUAUGGAAUGGGCAUAAUAGAAGUUGUGGGUAAGGAUAAGAUGGAAAUGCAAAGUUGGAAUUUUAGGCAGUGAUCUGAAUGGGAGCCGGGUUUAGGAGACAUUGCAUAGGUUGGUCCUUCAGACUGCUUUCAAGGACCUUUUUAUUUUAUAGCAUUAGUCUAGUUCCUGGGGCAUGAUGUUUCUACCUCAUUAACCAUGGUUGAGCAUGCAGCAGAUAGAGAGAGAUUCAUUGCAAUAUUUAGUUCACCUGUUUGAUGGUCUGUUCUUAGCCAGAAUCAUAGAAUACAAAGAACAGCAUGCCAAGAAUUACCCUAAGGUUGCUUGAUCAGGUAACUACUCAUUUUUUGUUAAGUCCAUUUCUUGUUUAAAAAAUUGUGGUAAAACAUACCUAAUGUACAAUUUGUCAUUUUAACCACAUUUGCAUAUAUAGUUCAGUUAAAAACAUUUGUUUUUAAUCUACUCUUUAUUUUUUUCUCAGUCACAGUAGUAAACCAAAUGAGUUUAUAUUUCUCCCUGCAAGAAUACUCUUAAAAUUCUAACUUUUUUCUGCUUUCCCAUAGAAUCAUUUUGAAUGAGGAAGGAUUUAAGAGAUUAGCCUAGUCUAAUGGUUGGGACCAGUAAGGAAGUGGGCUUGGAGAAUUCAAAGCUAACCUGCCCAGGCUCAAAAGUUGUAGUAGUGGCAAAGCCAGGAUCAGAUACCAGUAUUCCUUGUCUGUGUUUUAUUCAUUGUUCUAGCUGUCUGUGAAACUGAGCCUCUGAUUUUGCUUCUACAUGCCCCAUUAUUUUCUUUCUUUUUUUUAAUUUUUAUUUUUGUGUGUGUGUGUGUGUUGCUGAGAAUUGAAUUCAGGGCCUAGUGCAUGUGAGGCAAGCACUCUACCAACUGAACUAUAUCCCCAGCCCCCAUUAUUAUUAUUAUUUUUUGAUUGAGAACAUUUCAUUGCUUUUAGGACUUUUUUUGAGGGGUGGGGUGGGGGUGGGGCUAAGGAUUGAACCCAGGGGCACUUAACCAAUGAGUCACAACCCCAGCCCUUUUUUAUUUUUUAUUUUUUGAGUCGGGGGUCUAAGUUGCUUAGGGCCUCACUGAGUUGCUGAGGCUGGCUUUGAACUUGCAAUCCUCCUGACUCAGUCUCCUGAGUUGUUGGAAUCACAAGCAUGCACCACUGUGCCCAUCUGCUUUUAGGACCUUUAGGGUGAGACUUACAUUUGUUUGUGCUCAAUAAAUGCUCAUUGAGUGGACAUUUCCUAGAUUUAUUUUUAUUUGUUUAUUUAUUUGCCUCUUUUCUCUUUCUUAGAGUAAUAAAUUAUAUUAUACUUUAAAGGAGUUCAGAAAUUUGGCACCCUGGCUAAAGUUUUAAGUUUAUUUUUUUAGUGUGUUUACAGAGAUAUUAGUUCUGCACCAGGCCUUCAGCUUUUGUCUAUCUCCUGGGUCCUAAUAGCCUUUCUUGUCUCAGGAUUCUCAGAAGAGGAGAAACAGAAAACAAGUGCUACCCUAAGUUUAAAGUUAUUAAGAGAUUGACCCCAAGCAUUGAUUGAGAUAUGGGACAUAAAUGAGGUGGUUUUUGACAGAGAGAUAGUCAAGAAAUGUUUUCCUUAACUCCUGGGAGACAGCUAUAAUCAUAACUCAUUUCCCCUCAUUAUUUUGAAACAUUUUGUUAUAUUCACAUACUACCUCUACCCUCCAUACAUUAUUUUUAUUGUCUCCCUACCCCCCAAAACUGAGGCCAUCCACCUUUCUCAGUUGUCUAGUAGAAGCUCUAGGUGUGAGUUGGGCACACUGGUACUUGCCUGAAAUCCCAGUGACUCCACACGCUGAGGCAGGAGGAUCACAAGUUUGAGUCCACCCAGGACAAUUUAGUGAGGCCCUGUCUCAAAACAAAACAAAAAGUAAAAAGGGCUUGGGGUUUAGCUCACUGGUAGAAUGCCCCUGAACUCAAUCUCAAUACUAAAAAAGAAGCUCCAAGCGUGAAAUUCAAACAUGCUUGUGAAAUUAAAGUGUAUCCUAUUUUUUCUUCCUUUCCCCUUCCUCCCUUCCUUUUUCCUUAACUCUUCCUCCCCACCCCCUUUCUCUAGUACUGAAAGAAACUAAGCAAAAACUCUUACUUAAGUAGAACUAGACCUUGUGAUGUGAAGGGAAAAUGAGCACAGUUUGUUAAUUAGCAAAUUGUCUUUCUUCCACUUGGGCAGUAAGUACUUACUAGUUGCCAGGUCUUGCCCAUCACCCCAUCGCCCUUGUAUGUCUUUAUCUGAUUCCAGUUGCCUCCUGUGAGUGGAUUUUUCUGCUCUUCCUCUCUCCCUUAAAAUAAUAGUCCUGAAAGCACUUCAGCAGCUCAGUCAUUUUAAGAUUUUAGCCAUGGUUCUCUUCCUUACUAAUAGGCUUACUUUCUCUCUAGUGAUUGCUUUCUAUUCCAUGCUUAUAAAAGCUUUCCUUACCCUCCUCAUCAUUUGCUUCAUUAAUGUGAUUUCACUCUGUUGGAAGCCUUUUCCCUCCCCUCUCUGUGGAGCCAUUAAAUUAUUGAGUGUAUUUUAUAAAGUUUCUCUCACCAUGUUUUAAUUUCAUGUACUGUAUUUUUUCUCUUCUGAAACGAUAUUGCUUCCUGCAUUUGGGUUUUAGCAUUUUUCUUUUUAAGGAGAUUGUAAUUUUAAUUGUAUGUGGCCUAGUUCCCCAUUGUCAUUGCUUGUGCUGUAGAGGAAGUCCCUAGGAUAAUAGUCAUGGUUUCUUACCAUCUUAUUAGCUUUCUAUUUCCCUUUCUUCUCCACCUUCAACUUCUCACCCUCUCUAUUCUAAUGUUUCUGGAAGCUACUAAGAAGUUUAAAUGACCUAUACGAAAAUAUGUCAGUGUCCCAUUUUAGCAUAUAUAUGUAACAUUUAUAAUUUAUGCCCUGCCUACAUCCUGGAGGGAUGUGAGGUAGCUUAUGAUAAAGAAAAAUAUCCACAUGUCCAACAGUACUGUUAAAAAUAGUCAGAAAGGGAAACCAGAAACUGUUUAAAGAAUAUCUAACAACAUACUUAUCAAACAUAAAAAACAAUUCCUAUAAGAAGUAAAAGAAGUUUACUUAUGUAAUAUCUUUGCUAUUCAAGAGUAGUAAUCAAAGAAUAUUAAUUGUGGACUGAGUAGUUUGUGUAGCAAUAAAAUUACUGAUAUUGUUUUUCACCUUUUCUCCCUAGAGAAAAUUUUUAGAAAUUUUUGCUCUAAAAUAGAGAAGCCAAGGGACUUUUGUUAGUCUCCAGUUACCAUUCGUAACCCCCUUAAUCUGAUUUCCCCAUUCAAAUUUACCAUGAACAGCUGCCAUUUAUUGAUCACCUGCCAUGCAGUAGAAUUCAGCUAGGGAUUGGGUAUAUGUUACUUCAUUUAGUGCUCAUCAUUAGGCUGCAGGGUAAAUGGUAUUGCUCAGUGUUGGAGAUGUAGAGAGAGCAGAGUCUAAGUAGGAAAUUGGAUCAAAAUCACAGGUAGUAAGGAAAUGGUGGAAAGAAUUUGAAUUCAUUGUUUCUAAAUCCUAAGUCCAUUCUUUUUCUAUUACUCUGAUGCUUCUUACUAAAGAAAUACAUUGGAAAGUGUGUUAGUAUUCUGGAAUUAUAACGAAUAUCUGAGAUAAUCAACAGAUAAAGAAAAAGAUUUGUUUUGACUCAUAGUUUUGGAGGUUUCAUUCCUUGAUUGGCUGGCUGUGUGCUUCUGGAACUAUACUGGCACCUCAUGGUGGGAACAUGUGGCAGAGUAACAGGAAGGAAAGGAAAGGUCUGGGGUCACACAGGGCACUUCUUCAGUAGCCUCAAGCCCUCCUACUAAGCCCACCUCUUAAAGGUUCUACCACCUCCCAGUAGCAUCAUGGGACAGGGACCAGGACUUUAACACAAGGACUUGAUUAACACCGCUGGGACUGACUGCCCUUGGUGUCCUUGGAGGAGUCAAGAGAGAGGGAGGCAGGCAACAGGGGAGUAUAAGUACUGACCAGCUAUGCCUAAACUGGUGCUAGCCAUUAGUUGCUGCUUUGAGACAGAAGGGUAUUAACAUGUAUUGAGACAUACACUUUACAUAUACAAUCUCAUGUGAUUCUCUUAAUAGUCCUUGUGGUAAGUAGUUUUAGCCCUAACUUAUAAGUGGGUAAACCAAGGCACAGAGCAUUAAGCAAGUUUGUCCAAUAUUACACAAGUAGGAAAUGAAGUCAUCAGUAUUUCAUCAAUAACACAGGUUUAUCUAUCUAGCCCCAAAGCCCAUAAUCUUUCCCAUAUAGCAUUUACUCAUUUCUAAUAACAUUAAUAGCUAAUAUUCAUUGAGCUCUUCCUAUAUGUCUGGCAGAUUUCUUACCACAUAAGGUUGUGUCAUUUAUCUUUACCACAGCCCGAUGAACUACUUACUCUUUGUCUCCAUUUUAAGGGAACUAACUUGAGACAGAUCCUUGGCCAGGAUCUGAGAACCAGAGAAUAGCAAAUCAGGGAGUCUACUUUCUCACAAAGUGUAGUUGUAAGAAGUUUCUUUUGACAAGAGCUACACUCAUGACUCUUCUCUCUCACUUCCCUUACCUGCACAAUGAAAGUAGAAGGGUUUUGUUUAGUUUUUUAGGUAAGUAUACUUACAGGGGGAAAUACAGUUUGAGGAGUGUGUAUGUGCGCAUAGUGUUUACCACUGUGGCCUGAGAUCUAGCAGCACUACUUAGAUAAAGUACUGCUCCUAAUAGCUGGCAGUGAUGAUCUCUGCCUUCCUAGCCACUCUACUGAAGAUAACAAAAACUUACCCUUUUAAUGACCAGGUUGCACAAAAUUUCUUAACCCCAGUCUUUCCCCACAGUAUAACCAGUUCAUCAGCAGUGAUUCCCCUCACUUCUGCUUCCUAUGCCCAGUAAUCUGCUGUUGAGUGUAGGCUUUUACUGCUUUAUUUUGGUCAGCGCAUGCCUGACUUAGCAAGCAUGAUGUGGUUCUGAAGUUUCUCCCCUUUGCCCUUGGUACUGGGAUAAAGCGUAUUCCCACAAGAUGAAGUGACCCUUGCAGUACACAAAGCCAGUGCCUCACUUACUGUCAUUCAGUCUCGAAUAUGAAGAGCUUGGCAGUGCUUGGUGAUGGAGUUCUUUGGCUUGUAUACAGCUUUAGUGCACAAAGGAAACAAAAAAAGUCUUGUGUGCACUGAAGUGAGAAUGAUUCAAAACCCACAUACCUAUUUUUUUGGAUUUUUAACAAUUUAUCCUUUGCUAUUAUUCAUUUAAUAGAAUCCCUUUACACCCAAAUAAAACAAAAGAAUGAACAAAGCUGGGUUUGAUUCUGUGCUCUCAUCUUUAUUGGAUUCUAUGGGCUUAGGUAACUCAUUUAACUUCUCUUGGCCUCAGUUUCUUCAUCAUGGGGAUUAGAGAUAAUGUGUGAUAAAUACCUAGGACAGAGCCUGGCAUUGAGCAGGUGUUCAACAUAGAGAGGCUGUCAUUAUUAUUAUAAAUGCAAAGAUGAGCUAAUGAUGUGAAAGCUUGGGAUUUGUUUUGUUAUGGUAGUAAAUAGUAUUUCCCUGUGGACUUCUUUGUGCUGCUCAUAUGCAAUCCAAGGAAAACAGUGGAAUAGUGUUUGCAAUGAGGAAAGAUAGCGCUUUGUUCCCUUCAGCAGACAAAAGAAACUCAUUAUCGUAUCAAGUAGUGACUGUUGGUAUUGAAAUGGUUUAUUUGUGUGUGUUUUUUUUCUGUUUCUUUCCUAGGGAUUUAUAUGUGGCUUUUCAGUAGCAACAGGUGCAGCAGCGAGACUAGUGUCAGGAUACGACAGCUAUGGAAAUAUCUGUGGGCAGAAAAAUGCAAAAUUGGAAGGAAUACCAUACAGUGGCAUGGACCACACCCAACGGAAGUGAGUAGACUCUUGCUGAAUGAUGAACACUGUGGAAACUUUAAAGGAGGCACAGAGAAAAUCCUGCUUUUUUUUUUUUUUAACCCAGAAAAUAACAUUAUUUUUCUUUUUAAGAUUAUACUGGAUGGGAGAUAGGGAUAAUAAUAGAUAUUGAAAAAUUAAAGUUAUAAAGUAACAUUUUGUGAUGCAUCAUUUAUAGGUACACAUCACUUUCCAAUUUUAUAAAAGAUACAUUUUCCUUGUCAAACUGUGAGAUUUGUUUUGGGUCCUCAAUAUUCAUCUUUUGGGUUUCAUGAGAUUGCUCAUUUAAUUGCUUUUUUCCUUCGAAAGCACUACUAUUUAAUAUUUAAUGUCCGGGGAAAAUAUAUUUCAUCUAAUAUAUUUUAUGUAUGAUGCCAAUGUAAUUGUUCAAACUGUGUAUUUAUACCCCAUCAAAAUUUAUUAGAAUUUUUUUCCAGUAUCAAACCAUAUCUUCAGAAUUAACAAAACUAAUUAUAAGGUAACCAGGCUAAUCCGUCUAAUACACUUUAUAGGAAAAGGCUAAACAGAUAAAAACAUUUUUAAAGCUACAUCAGUUCUUUCUAGUAAGAUAAUUUGUAAUACCUAUUUAUUGUUAUAUAAAUCUAUGGUUAAAAUUUGAUCUCUCUGUAUAAGAUUAAUUUGAUAAUUUUGCAGACUUGAAGAAAUUCAAAUAACUAUUUCUCAGAGAUACUCUUCCCUUAAAUGAAGGAGAGAGAAUGCAGCUCAAGUAAACAAAAUUUCAGUAAUAAUAAUGAAUAUUUGUAUAGCAUGCCAGAGUGGACAAGCAUAUGCCCCCCCUGUGAGGUAGAUCUAACAGAGGCUUAGGGAGACUGAAGUGCCUUUUCUGAGGCCAUGUGGCUGGUGGGCAGUAGAAUAUCCAGAGCAGACUAUGAGCUUCUCUCUUAAUAGGCACCUGCAUCACAUACGAGAAGCAAAAAUUAGACUUGAAGUAAUUUGGAAGAUUGCUUAAUUUUUUCUUCUUUAUGAUUGCUCCUUGAAUUUAACACAAAUUUUAGAUCUUGUGUUAUUUCUUCUAGCAAAAUUAUCCAUAUCUCUUUUGUUUACUUUUUAUCUUGAAAUAAUUUUAGACUCAAUAGACAUUGCAAAAGCAGUAGAGUUUCAUUUUUUUAUUAUUUUUUUUUUAUGUAGCAUGUAUGCGGUAAAAUAUUGCUUAAUUCUUUAAUGCUGUUGACAUGUCCCAAAUAUAAAAUUAGGUAAUUGAGGAGAUGAGAAGCAAAAGGUUCUCCUCUAUUGGGUGCACUGCUCACAAGGGUUGUAAUCAUUUUUAUGGCUCUCUUGGUAACUUGCUAAUGACUGUGAGCAUAUCCUUAUGGUAAGGUUUGUGUAAAUGCCACUCUUCACAUUUAACCUUCUUGUGGUUCCUCAGACCAUGGAAGAGAUUUCAAAUCCUUGGGUUAUUCUAUGUACACUUUGGCCUCUUGUAAAGAGGAACUGCAUAUUAUUCUGAGAAAGUGGCUACUCUUCCCUGAAUGCUUAUCUUCAUUGAGAGCCAUUCAUGUAUAACUUUAAGGAGUAUAAUUUCUCAACUGUAGCUAUUCUUUAGCUCAUAUAUACAUGUUUAAAAUUUAUUUUCCAUCUUUGAUUACCUUUUCUGCAUUAUAAGCUUUGUAGUGCUAUCCCACUUAAGUAUUUCUGUCUAUAAAUGGCAAUUAUUGUCAAUGAAUGGUAAAUUUUUGAACAUUCCUUUUGUGGGUAAAUCUACAGUAUUUGGAUUUGGAAAGUGAAAGAAAGGUAGUAGCCUUCAUUUUUAUUAUCUUUAUUUCAUCUUCCUCUUUCUCCUGUCAAAUGCAUUGAUUUCCUUCUUUUACCACUCAUUUCCUUAUACGUCUUUUAUGAAUUCCACACCCAUCUGUAGCUCUAGAGUGUUUUUAUACCUGUUUCUCUGCUUGGUCACUUUCUCUCAUCCUUGAUCUCCUCAGCCUCUGUUGUAUUACCUAAUGCCUACUUGAACCUCCAUACAUAUUUGUUGAAUAAAUCAACAGAUGAGUCCUCUAAAGUCUUGGGUAAGGCUAAUUCUCUAUUUCAUAAGUUUUGCUUCCUUUGUUAAGAAAAAAAAAUUCUUCUGUUUUUUCCUGUAGCUAAAUUCUACUGAUCUUCAGCUUUCAGCAAAAUGUCACUUUCAAAGAGGUCUUCUUUGAUCUCAGAAUUUAAGCAUUGUGUCCUAUAAUAUGUGCAGUUAUACAUUGAUUGUUCCAUGGAGGGUUGGAUGUACGUAAGUCUCUCUUAAGUGCCAAGAGAGAAGCAUCUCUUAUUCACUACUGUAUCCCCAGGGCACAUCUCAAAGCCUGAAUGUAGUAGGCACCCAGUUAAAUGCUUGCUGAAUGAGAAAAUAAAUCUACUUCAGCAGUGUUCUAAGAAGUGAAUAACUGAGUUUGAGGAUCUGAAUAUUUUGAGAUUAUUAAUGCAUAUUGCAGAAUGGAUUUCCAUAAAAAACGGUUCCAUUUACAUUCCCACCAACAGUGUCUGAGAUUACUUUAUUUUUACUGGUAUUAUUAGUUUUUAUUCUUUACUGUUUUGGUAGACCAAAGAAUGGUGCUUUAUAGUUUUAAUUUGCAUGUGUUUGAUUAUUAAUGAGUGUGAACCCCCCACCCCCACCAUGUGUUUGUUAGCCUCUCAUGAAAACGGUUGUGCAAGCAUAUCUAUUCUUGGUCUUCUUAUCUGUAAUCUGCUCCAUCCUUUAUGCUGUGAUAGGAUUAAGUUCUUUAAAACAGAGCUUUUAUUUUGUCAUUUCCUUGUUCAAAAGCCUUUGCCUUCUAUUUGCUGUCUGUAGUAUCAAAGAUGAGCCCGCUCAGCCCCCACCAUUUCAGGCCUUCUGCGAUCUGGACCCAUUUCACCUCUCCAGCCCUCUCUCACUGUUCCUCAGUGUGUGUUAUUAUUGCCCAUGACCUUCAGUUAAUUCUACCUCUGUGAUAUUCCUUCUGCCUGUCUGCCAAUCUGGGUCUUUGAAACACAAUGGGACUCACAACUCUCCUUAUUAUGAAAUGUUUCAAAACUAACCUUAUACCACAGUGAGUUUUCUUUACUUUGAUUACCUGAACUUUCCUAUCUCAUACUGGUUAUUCUAUUGCCUUCAAUUUGCUAUCUAAUUAUUCUGUGUUUCUCAUCUGUCUGUAUUAAUUAUUGGUUGCUAGGUAACCAUAUUACCAUAAACUUAGUGGCUUUAAACAAGAAGCGUUUCUCAUCUCAGCUUCAGAAUCCAGAUAUGGCUUGCCUUGGUCUUCAACCUUCCAUAGCUUACUCAGGGCUGUAGUCAGUGGUUCAUUUGGGGUCAGUCAGGGUCAGAGUGUAACCUGAGGCUCAGGGGGAGAAGGCUUCCCUUCCAGGUACAAGUGGUUGCUGGCAGCAUACAGUUCCUUGAGGAUUGCUGGACUUGCUGGCUGCCACUAGAGGUCCCCCUUCAGGUGUAGGCCACCUGGAUGGGCAGUUUGCCCCAUCAGAGCCAACAGUGAGAGCAUCAGUAGAGAGUCUGCUAGAAAAAUGGGAGUUACAGUCCUACGUAGUGUAAUCACAGAAGUGAUAUCCGUCCCUCUUUGCAAUAUUCUACUGAUUAGAAGCAAACUCAAGGAAGAGAGGAUGACUCAAGGGCACGAACAAUAAGACACAGGGAUAAUGGAGGCCUCUGAGAGUCUGUCACUCUGCUAACUCUGCUUCCUGAAACACCAUAUUUUCUUUAGCCCUCAGAGUUGAGCACCUAGGAGUUCCAUAAGAAGGGCUUAUUUAAUUAUAGUAAUAAAGGAAGGUAGGUAAUCAGGAGAGGAAUCCAAAGGAGAACACCUUUGACCUAUUUUAACCAGAAUGUUUAAGAUGCCAAGAUGAAUAAAAGAAUUCUAUUAGCAUAAAGAAAAAGUAAUAUUUUCUUAUCGUUCCGAUGAUAAUGGGUUUUUUCCUCCAAGUAGUAUUUUUGACGUGAUAAUACAUUUGUUGCAGUGAUAAGGAUGCACAAAAAGACAGCAGACAAUAUUUUGUGAGAUAAUAUGAAAACCUUAAUUUCAAAUAGAUUUAGUUGAUUUUUAAAUUGGUUGCUUGAGAUACUUAAAACUUUUCUGCAUAGAAAUAGUGCUUACAUAUGGUUCUAAGGCUAAGUCAACUCAGAAAAGCUCAUUUAUAUUAGAACCAAAAAGUGUCAGAGAUUGAAGGAAUCUUUAGAUUAUUUAAUGUGCAAACUCCUUAAAGCAUCCCAUCAAGUAUUUGUGAGUGCCAACUAAAUCCUAAAAUGAGAAUGUCUUGCUUUGUAGCUGAGCUAUUUUUUAAUAAUACUACUACAGAAGACAGGUAGGGUUUAUAAUCUUUUUUUUUUUUUUUUGAUGUUGAGGAAUAGGGUGGUGGCAAUAUAUUUUUGAACUCUGGCAAUUCCGUAAAACAUAUCUAUUCUGCCACAUCUAGAUCUACGAUUUUUCAGGUCUAUAACAUAUAAGCAACCUUACAGUGUAUGUGUCAAUUUUGAGACCAAAAAUUAUUAUUACUCUUUUUUGUAAUAAAGAAAAAUGUUUAUUUAGCUCACAAUUUUGGAAGUUCAAGUUUCAAAAUCAGGACUGUCCUCUAGUGAGAGCUUAAUAGCAGAUGGCGUCAUGUUAGAGUGGGAGUAGGUGGGGGGAGCCCUUGUGGGAGUAAACUACCACAUCUCGAAAUGGGAAGCUAGAGAGUACUGUUAUUAUUAAAAUUCUUCCUGUAGAGGAAGCCCCCUGUCUUACAUAUCAGUUUGGACACAGAGUGGCGAUGCUCCUAUUUAGUUCUAAUGCACCUGAAUUAGUGGGAUAAAGAUCGUGCUGGGACAGAAGGUCUAUUGGUCUCUGGGGAGAGGAUUGGGGCAGGGGUGGGGUAUGCAUUCCCAUGUCCUGAGUUGGGAGAGGAUAUGGUGAGGUGGCAUUGGCUUUUAGUGUGCACAGAUCAUUAUAAAGCUGGGUGAGGCUGGGGAACUGCUUUUAAUUGUUUUAAUUUAAUCACAAUAUUCUUAUUAGAACUCUUCUCCAUCUUGCAAAUAAUCCUAACAGAGUUUAGUGUUCACAUUCUUUGUUACUCUAAGAAGUUCUCAAUGUAUUUUAUUUGUAUUGAUUUGUACAUAGAGGUUCUAAAGAUAGAUUUUUGCACAAAUUUAAUUUUUUCAUUAUAUAUUUUUUUGUCUUUCCUCUGAGGAAGCCAUUUAAAGUUCCAAUCACUGGUAAAAGCUCUGUGGUCAUAAAAUGCCUUUCCCAUUUCAUAUCCUCUGUGUUAACAGGACGUAGAUGAACUAGAGGUCUGAGGAGGGUGAUGGCAUCCAUGAAUGAGUACAGUAUCUAUAAGGGAAGCAUUUUAUUUGACACCACUUUCAGUUUUCUUCAUCAUCUUAGGAUGCCAAGUGAAAACAGAAUUGGAGUGUGUUUUACUUCUUUUGUUCUCAUUCUCAUUGUAAGUUCACAGCUGAAAAUAUUUGUGCUGGGAGGCCCUUGGUAUCAUUGAGUGCCUGCAUUUUACAAGUAAAAAAAUCUGGGGUCUGGGAAACAUGAGAGACAUGAAAAAGAUAUAGUUUUUCCUCAGUGUCCACAGGCGAGUGGGACACACACACACACACACACACACACACAAAUCAGUGGAUGCUCAAGUCCUUUGUAUAACCAGUAUUUGCAUGUUACCUACACACUCCUCCUGUAUAAUUUAAAUCAUCUCUAGACUACUUAUAAUGCCUGGUACAGUGUAAAUAGCUAUUAUACAGUAUUGUUUAGGGAAUAAUAACAAUAUUAAAAAGUCCAUACAUAUUCAGUACAGAUGCACUUUCUUUUCUAAUAUUCUCAUUUCUCUGUUGGUUGAAUGCACUGGCUCAGAACCCAGGGAUCCAGAACCUAUGGAUCUGUAGGGCUGUCUGUAAGAACAGGCUGGCACUCCAGCCUCGCCCUCCAUUGAGUGCUCUUUGUGUUAGUCUGCACUGUGCCUGGUGAACUGUACAGUGAUCCUGGUUUCCCAUCUUUUUUAUUUUGGGGAUCCUUUCCUGCCAGCUUUGGAGAUGAAAGAAACUUAUGGGAACAUGGAGAGAAAAAAGGGCAGGUUAUAUAAAUUGAUAAAGUUAUAACUAAAGAGACUUUGAAAGAACCACAGCACCUCUCAAUCUGUGAAGGCUUUGAAUAAUUUGAAGGCUAUCUUGUCUCUUUCUAUCUCUGUCAGAUAAAGAAUAUGAAUAGUUAUGAUGAACUACAUUAUUCUCAUUUCAUAUUUUUUAUCAUUUGUAUGUUUUAAAUAUUUACUAAAAAAUACCUAAUUUAAAACUGAUAGUGGGUUUUGUUUUGUUUUUGGUAAGACAGUUGAUUGGCUUGAACAGUGGGGUUGUUUUAGAGAAACUCUUCAUUUUUAUAAUCUUCGUGGGUACAGUAUAGAUAGGACUUUUGUGAUCAUUGAUCACCUUUAAAACUCAGAGUUCUGUAAGUUCAGUGUAUCUGAUUCAGUCUACCCUAGGAUCACUGAUUAGCUUACUAACUUAUGUAAAGGGUUAUUUAGGUGAUUGAUAGUGAUAUUGUACUAAUAGGAAGAAUGUAUUCACUCUUUAAACAAUUUCUAAUUUCUGAGUUCUCCAUGCCUAUACCAUGUCAUAUAACCACCUAUUUUAGGGAAACCAUUUUUCUUUGAUUUGUCAAUGUAUAAAACAUGCCUCUUUUGAAGAGUCACCAAAUCUUAUUGAGUGUUCAUACCUCUCCAUGUUUGAAAAAGAAUUAAAAAAAAUAAUAAUACAAAUGAAAUUUGCUAAAUACUUGCUUUUAGGAUCUCUUUAUCAGCUAAGUAUAGUUCUUUGUGUUUAUGUGACUAGGACUUAUUUCUGUGCCUUCUGAUUUGACUGGAAUUUCUAUGUACUGAAGAAAUAUUCUUUACCAUUCCUGGAAAUUCUGCCUAUCAUUUUAUUUAACCCUCAGAAAACAUUAAUUGAAAAUUCAAUUGUGUGCUGGAGACUUUUUUUUAGGGAAAUAUUUCCAGUUUUUUGUUUGUUUGUUCAUUUUAUUUUGGUUUUGUGGUGCUGGGGAUACAACCCACAGUCUCAUGCAUGCCAGGCAGGCACUCCAUCACUGAGCUACAUCCUCAACCUAGAGACCUCUUCUAGUAUUAAUAAAAUAGGAAACAGCCAAAAUGGUCAAAAAAAAAAUGGAAUUUGUUUAAAUUCACUCAUUCACAACUAUUUCUUGGCUGUCUUCUUUGUUUUAGGGACUUGAGAUUAUGUUUGCUCUCUAACUGAAUCGGCACACUUUUAUCUCAUGGAAAUUGUAAUCUAAUAGAGAAAGCAGGACUUCAUAAACUCAUCAGGUAAUCACAGAUUAUUUCAGCUGAAGGAAGUCUUGUGAAGAGAGGUGUAAGGGUAUAAGAGAGGCUACAAUGGGAGGACCAGUCUGAGGCACUGUGGAGCCAGUAAAAAUGAUCUGUGGACGUAUAUCCAACAGCAGGAAGCCUCUGCAUACAUUAUUAAGGGAACAGUAAGUUAUAACACAGUAGAGGCAACUCGACUUUAUUAAUAUAUGUAAAAAUGUACGUGUCCUGGGGCUGGGGCUGGGGCUCAGCGGUAGACCACUCCUCUCACAUGUGUCAGGCCCAGGGUUCGAUGCUCAGCACCACAUAAAUAAAAUAAAAAGGUAUUGUGUCCACUUACAACUAAAUAAAUAUUUUUAAAAAUGUACAUGUCCUUAGAAAAGUAUGGAAUGACAUGUAAAUGUUAACAGUGUGUUGAACUAUUGAAUCAUAGAUGGUUUUUCCUUUAUAUUUAUCUCUUUUUUCUAAGUGUUCUACAAUCAAUAUCUAUUACUUGCAUUAAUGAAAAAUAUUAAAAAGAAAUUUGUAGUCUCUGUCCUUGAAGAGCUUGUUCUGGUGAGGAAGACAGAAUACAGAGAUAAAUGAUGAAGGUGCAAUGGGAACAUCUUGUAUCAGUGUCUGCUGAAUGCUGGGUGACUCUAUUUUCUUGGGUUCCUGACAGCAGGCUGGUGAGGAAAGAAAUAUAAGGCAAUGUGAUGGAAGGACUGGGACCACCAUUAGUUUUCUAUUGUUGCUGUAAUAGAUUACCACAAACUAAGCAACUUAAAACAAUGAGGUUCUGUAAAUCAGAAAUAUAAACAAGCACAGCUUAGCUGGUUCUUUGGCCCAGGUUUCAUAGGCCCUGUUGUCAGGGCUGUAAUUUUUUCUUGUGACUCUGGCAAUGAAUUGUCUUCCAGACUGCUUCAGAUGUUGAUAGUUCUGUUCCAUGUGGCUGUAGGGCUGAGGUAUGUUUCCUUGCCAUCAGCUGGGAGUCAUUCUCAGCUUCUGGGGUCAGCCUGAAUAUUCUCCAGCCUAUUUUCUAUGACUCAUGACUCCUUUCCCCCUAUAAAUAGAUUGUUUACCUAUUUAUAUUUAUCUGGGUAUAAGAGUUGAGAGCACUUGAAAAGUUAGAAGGCACAAACCCUUCUUGUUCUUGAAUCCCUCUGACUUUCUUUUUUCAGGGCAGCAUCUUGAUUAUAGGUUAUACAUGUGGAUUGAAGAGUCAGCCAGUAAUUGGCAGCUGAGGGACAGUUUUAGGUGGUAUUAGAGCCCCAGUUAAACAAGUUGAGGGUCAGGGCAAGGCUUGCAUUCUGUACAGGAAAAGUCACACAGAGUUGGUCUAAGUGUUACCUGUAAAUGAUGAGACAGAAGCUGGCGAAUGGAUGGUCAUGUAGACUGUUGGGCUGACAGAUGGCUCCAGAGCCCACCUUCUAAUGAGGAUGGGAUUCUGAGGAGAAGGCCAGGCCUGGAUCUUGUUGGCUGAGGAACAACAUGGUCUGAGUCUAUAGGGUGGAAUUCUUACAGGCCAGGUGAAGACUGGCUCACAUGGGAAGGAGCUCCUGACUGUUGCAUGGAGUUGUAGAAACACAGAAGAUGGGAGGUGGUACAUUCAUCCCGUGUGCUGGUGCUGGAGUGCCGCAGUCUGGCUGGGCACAAAUCACCGAGCCACCACAAAGCACUUGUAUGUUCAAACAGGAAACUUUAUUGCCGGAACUCUACCAGCACUCCACGCACACUCCCCAGGAACUCUCUCUGCUCUCCCCCAGGCUCCGGGCCUACUCCACUCGGACCCUGGAGAACUUCAUGGGAACUCCAAAGUAGCCGGGCUGAGGCAGCAGGAACCACCCUAUUCCCCACCCUAUUGCCGUUAAGCAGGGGUCCAUAUACAACUGAAUACACAGCUUAACAUAACCAUUAUCAUCUCAAUGGCUCGCUGGUGUCACCUCUCAACCACUCCCUUCUAGCAGAAUGCCACGCUCAUCCCAACUCCGACUCCGCUGUGGCCCUCAACACUGGAGUUUGGCAAAGGUUCUACCCAUGUCAUUGAGGCAUAUUCCUUAGAGCAGCCCAGGAGCUCAUCUCUUGUUCCUAUACUUAAGGACAAUUUUGAGCAAAUGGAGGUAUUCUAAAUCCUUUAGGAUUUUGAUCUUUACUUAAAGGGAAAACACCCUCUUCUCUGUCUCCUGUCAAACACUUUGAUUCCAACAUUAACUUAACCACCUCUUCUAGUUCAGCUUAAUAUGAGAAAGAGCAGCCUCCAUAGAUCCCUCCCGUGAACUUUCAUUUGUGAGCUUCUGUUACCGCUGUUGACCGGUGACGAGUUCUUGCUUCCCCAGUGUUGAAGAAUAACACCAAAGAAGCACGCCGAGGCAAGGUCAGAGUAGAAAUUAGAAGUUUAUUAAAGGACAGCAGAAAAGACUUCUCCCGGAGGAAGAAGGGGACCCAAGAGGUGGAAUCCGUGGAAGGGAUGUUGUCUCCCCUUUUUAUAGUUCUUUCAGUGAUGGAAUGUAGGUGGGAAGGACCGAGGGGUGGGACACAGGUGGGCCAAAGAAGUAAUCUGGUCAGGAAGGACUUCUGAGUCAGCACCUUUUUGCUGGGGGCUGUUCAUUAACAUUUCUUUGAGGUGGACUUUGGCCUAGGGCCUUUUCGGGACUUCAUUAACAUUCCAUGAGUUGUCCUGUGUUUUCCCUGAGUCAUUCUCCGCAUGGUCUCCAUUUUAGAUUUCACUCGAUAUUAGACCCGAUUUACCUAACUACACUGACUACCUAACUUUAAAUCUGGCUUCANNNNNNNNNNNNNNNNNNNNNNNNNNNNNNNNNNNNNNNNNNNNNNNNNNNNNNNNNNNNNNNNNNNNNNNNNNNNNNNNNNNNNNNNNNNNNNNNNNNNNNNNNNNNNNNNNNNNNNNNNNNNNNNNNNNNNNNNNNNNNNNNNNNNNNNNNNNNNNNNNNNNNNNNNNNNNNNNNNNNNNNNNNNNNNNNNNNNNNNNNNNNNNNNNNNNNNNNNNNNNNNNNNNNNNNNNNNNNNNNNNNNNNNNNNNNNNNNNNNNNNNNNNNNNNNNNNNNNNNNNNNNNNNNNNNNNNNNNNNNNNNNNNNNNNNNNNNNNNNNNNNNNNNNNNNNNNNNNNNNNNNNNNNNNNNNNNNNNNNNNNNNNNNNNNNNNNNNNNNNNNNNNNNNNNNNNNNNNNNNNNNNNNNNNNNNNNNNNNNNNNNNNNNNNNNNNNNNNNNNNNNNNNNNNNNNNNNNNNNNNNNNNNNNNNNNNNNNNNNNNNNNNNNNNNNNNNNNNNNNNNNNNNNNNNNNNNNNNNNNNNNNNNNNNNNNNNNNNNNNNNNNNNNNNNNNNNNNNNNNNNNNNNNNNNNNNNNNNNNNNNNNNNNNNNNNNNNNNNNNNNNNNNNNNNNNNNNNNNNNNNNNNNNNNNNNNNNNNNNNNNNNNNNNNNNNNNNNNNNNNNNNNNNNNNNNNNNNNNNNNNNNNNNNNNNNNNNNNNNNNNNNNNNNNNNNNNNNNNNNNNNNNNNNNNNNNNNNNNNNNNNNNNNNNNNNNNNNNNNNNNNNNNNNNNNNNNNNNNNNNNNNNNNNNNNNNNNNNNNNNNNNNNNNNNNNNNNNNNNNNNNNNNNNNNNNNNNNNNNNNNNNNNNNNNNNNNNNNNNNNNNNNNNNNNNNNNNNNNNNNNNNNNNNNNNNNNNNNNNNNNNNNNNNNNNNNNNNNNNNNNNNNNNNNNNNNNNNNNNNNNNNNNNNNNNNNNNNNNNNNNNNNNNNNNNNNNNNNNNNNNNNNNNNNNNNNNNNNNNNNNNNNNNNNNNNNNNNNNNNNNNNNNNNNNNNNNNNNNNNNNNNNNNNNNNNNNNNNNNNNNNNNNNNNNNNNNNNNNNNNNNNNNNNNNNNNNNNNNNNNNNNNNNNNNNNNNNNNNNNNNNNNNNNNNNNNNNNNNNNNNNNNNNNNNNNNNNNNNNNNNNNNNNNNNNNNNNNNNNNNNNNNNNNNNNNNNNNNNNNNNNNNNNNNNNNNNNNNNNNNNNNNNNNNNNNNNNNNNNNNNNNNNNNNNNNNNNNNNNNNNNNNNNNNNNNNNNNNNNNNNNNNNNNNNNNNNNNNNNNNNNNNNNNNNNNNNNNNNNNNNNNNNNNNNNNNNNNNNNNNNNNNNNNNNNNNNNNNNNNNNNNNNNNNNNNNNNNNNNNNNNNNNNNNNNNNNNNNNNNNNNNNNNNNNNNNNNNNNNNNNNNNNNNNNNNNNNNNNNNNNNNNNNNNNNNNNNNNNNNNNNNNNNNNNNNNNNNNNNNNNNNNNNNNNNNNNNNNNNNNNNNNNNNNNNNNNNNNNNNNNNNNNNNNNNNNNNNNNNNNNNNNNNNNNNNNNNNNNNNNNNNNNNNNNNNNNNNNNNNNNNNNNNNNNNNNNNNNNNNNNNNNNNNNNNNNNNNNNNNNNNNNNNNNNNNNNNNNNNNNNNNNNNNNNNNNNNNNNNNNNNNNNNNNNNNNNNNNNNNNNNNNNNNNNNNNNNNNNNNNNNNNNNNNNNNNNNNNNNNNNNNNNNNNNNNNNNNNNNNNNNNNNNNNNNNNNNNNNNNNNNNNNNNNNNNNNNNNNNNNNNNNNNNNNNNNNNNNNNNNNNNNNNNNNNNNNNNNNNNNNNNNNNNNNNNNNNNNNNNNNNNNNNNNNNNNNNNNNNNNNNNNNNNNNNNNNNNNNNNNNNNNNNNNNNNNNNNNNNNNNNNNNNNNNNNNNNNNNNNNNNNNNNNNNNNNNNNNNNNNNNNNNNNNNNNNNNNNNNNNNNNNNNNNNNNNNNNNNNNNNNNNNNNNNNNNNNNNNNNNNNNNNNNNNNNNNNNNNNNNNNNNNNNNNNNNNNNNNNNNNNNNNNNNNNNNNNNNNNNNNNNNNNNNNNNNNNNNNNNNNNNNNNNNNNNNNNNNNNNNNNNNNNNNNNNNNNNNNNNNNNNNNNNNNNNNNNNNNNNNNNNNNNNNNNNNNNNNNNNNNNNNNNNNNNNNNNNNNNNNNNNNNNNNNNNNNNNNNNNNNNNNNNNNNNNNNNNNNNNNNNNNNNNNNNNNNNNNNNNNNNNNNNNNNNNNNNNNNNNNNNNNNNNNNNNNNNNNNNNNNNNNNNNNNNNNNNNNNNNNNNNNNNNNNNNNNNNNNNNNNNNNNNNNNNNNNNNNNNNNNNNNNNNNNNNNNNNNNNNNNNNNNNNNNNNNNNNNNNNNNNNNNNNNNNNNNNNNNNNNNNNNNNNNNNNNNNNNNNNNNNNNNNNNNNNNNNNNNNNNNNNNNNNNNNNNNNNNNNNNNNNNNNNNNNNNNNNNNNNNNNNNNNNNNNNNNNNNNNNNNNNNNNNNNNNNNNNNNNNNNNNNNNNNNNNNNNNNNNNNNNNNNNNNNNNNNNNNNNNNNNNNNNNNNNNNNNNNNNNNNNNNNNNNNNNNNNNNNNNNNNNNNNNNNNNNNNNNNNNNNNNNNNNNNNNNNNNNNNNNNNNNNNNNNNNNNNNNNNNNNNNNNNNNNNNNNNNNNNNNNNNNNNNNNNNNNNNNNNNNNNNNNNNNNNNNNNNNNNNNNNNNNNNNNNNNNNNNNNNNNNNNNNNNNNNNNNNNNNNNNNNNNNNNNNNNNNNNNNNNNNNNNNNNNNNNNNNNNNNNNNNNNNNNNNNNNNNNNNNNNNNNNNNNNNNNNNNNNNNNNNNNNNNNNNNNNNNNNNNNNNNNNNNNNNNNNNNNNNNNNNNNNNNNNNNNNNNNNNNNNNNNNNNNNNNNNNNNNNNNNNNNNNNNNNNNNNNNNNNNNNNNNNNNNNNNNNNNNNNNNNNNNNNNNNNNNNNNNNNNNNNNNNNNNNNNNNNNNNNNNNNNNNNNNNNNNNNNNNNNNNNNNNNNNNNNNNNNNNNNNNNNNNNNNNNNNNNNNNNNNNNNNNNNNNNNNNNNNNNNNNNNNNNNNNNNNNNNNNNNNNNNNNNNNNNNNNNNNNNNNNNNNNNNNNNNNNNNNNNNNNNNNNNNNNNNNNNNNNNNNNNNNNNNNNNNNNNNNNNNNNNNNNNNNNNNNNNNNNNNNNNNNNNNNNNNNNNNNNNNNNNNNNNNNNNNNNNNNNNNNNNNNNNNNNNNNNNNNNNNNNNNNNNNNNNNNNNNNNNNNNNNNNNNNNNNNNNNNNNNNNNNNNGCUGAACUGCACUGGGUCUAAGUUGUUAAACAACUAAGUGGUCAGGGGGGAUUAUCUAAUGGGCAGUUCCUGGAAUUGUCUUAACUGCCACAGGAAUUUCAGGCUUUGAGUGUAGCUUAGAAACUUAACAAUACCUGGUCCUUUACAUUUUAACUCAGGCUUUGCAGCUUAGAAACUUUACUCUUUCACUUUGUAAUACACUUUAGGUAAUUAUUAACCACUGUAAGUAUGAAUUUUACAUUCAUUGGUUCUUUACCUAUUUAUNAAGCACGCCGAGGCAAGGUCAGAGUAGAAAUUAGAAGUUUAUUAAAGGACAGCAGAAAAGACUUCUCCCGGAGGAAGAAGGGGACCCAAGAGGUGGAAUCCGUGGAAGGGAUGUUGUCUCCCCUUUUUAUAGUUCUUUCAGUGAUGGAAUGUAGGUGGGAAGGACCGAGGGGUGGGACACAGGUGGGCCAAAGAAGUAAUCUGGUCAGGAAGGACUUCUGAGUCAGCACCUUUUUGCUGGGGGCUGUUCAUUAACAUUUCUUUGAGGUGGACUUUGGCCUAGGGCCUUUUCGGGACUUCCAUGAGUUGUCCUGUGUUUUCCCUGAGUCAUUCUCCGCAUGGUCUCCAUUUUAGAUUUCACUAGAUAUUAGACCUGAUUUAUCUAACUACACUGACUACCUAACUUUAAAUCUGGCUUCACUUGCCUCCAUCCUUACCCCCAGGCAACCACUGAUCUGUUCUUGUUGCUAUAGGUUUUUUUCCCUAGACCAUCAUGAAAUCAUAGAUGUAAUAUUUUGUCUCUGCCUUUUUUUUUUUUACAUAGCAUAAGGUUAAUGAGAUUCAUCUGUGUUAUUUUAAUACAGCAUUAGGUGGAUCUUUUUAAAUUACUGAGUAGUAUUCCAUUGCAUGGUUAUACUACAUUUUUUAAAUCUAUACAUCUUUUUAAAAUUUCCAUAUUAAAACUUUUUUUUACUAUCAUGAAUAAUACUGCUUUGAAAAGAUGUGUACAUGAUUUUAUAUGGGCAAAUAUGUCAUUAUUCUUAGCUGGAUAUUUAGAAUUGGGAUUGCUGAGUCAUAUUGUGAGGGUAUAUUAAACUUUAUAGGAAGUUGACAAAACUGUUUUCCAGAGUGGUUGCCCCAUUUUGCAAGGAAAGGGGAGGGUUGUGGGCUGUACCUCUCAUGAAAAUUCUGUAUUAUCAGUCUUUUUAUUUUUAGCUAUUCUGGUGGGUGUGUAGUGGUAUCUCCUUGUUUUUACUUCACUUACUUCUAAUGACCAGUGGUGUUGAGCAUCUUUUUUUAAAAAAAAAAAAUAUUUUUAGUUGUAGAUGGACACAAUACCUUUAUUUAUUUAAUUUUAUGUGGUGCUGAGGAUCAAACAAAGUGCCUUACACACGCUAGGUGAGCAUUUUACCUUUAAGCCCCAAUCUCAGCCUUGUUGAGCAUCUUUUUAAGUGCUAAUCAAACAUUCAUCUAUCUUCUUUGUAUUUAUACCUUUUGCACAUCUUUUAACAAAUUGGUUUCUAUUAAUGACUUGCAAGAGUUCUUCAUAUAAUCUGGAUAUAAGACUUUUGUUAGGUAUAUGUUUUUUAAAUGCUUUCUCUAAUCUGUGGUUUGCCUUUUUGUUUUCUUAAAACCAUCUUUUGAUGACGAAAGUUUGUAAUUUUGAUGAAGUCAAAUUUAUCCAUUUUUAUCAAUGGUUCAUAUAUUUGUGUUUUAUUUAAGAAGUUGUUGCCUUUAAGUUCACAAAGAUUUUUUUCCAUGCUUUCUUCUAGAAUUUUUUUGAUUUAGUUCUUGUGUUUUUGUCAAUGAUCUAUUUUGAUUUAAUUUUUGAAUGGUGUGAAUAAAAGCCAAGAUUUAUCUUCCCCAACUCUCAUACAAAAUUACAGUUAUUCAGCAGCAUUUAUUGAAAAGACUACCUUCCCCUUGGAUUUAUCCUGGCAUCUUUGUUGAAAAUAGGUUUUUAUCUUAAGUCGAAACAAAAGGAGUUCCUAGUAGGGGUAGCCACCAAUAUUACAGAGUAAUAGAAAUAGUUUUCCUCAAAUUAAACAAACAAGGAUGUCACCUUUUUUAUACUACUGUUUCAAAUAACUAGUUGAAACAAAUCCUAUAAAAGAGAUAAAUGGAAUGUGUAUAGGUCAUUACAGAGAAAAUAAUACUAUUUGCCAAUGGCAAGGGACUAUCACAUGGAAUGUUUAGGAGAUGCAAUAAAAACACCUUGAAAUGAGGUGCUUAAAUUAUAUGUUAUAAAACAUGUACCUAAGUAAAUUUAGUCAUUUAUCACUAUGCAGAAAAAUAUAAGGAAAAAUAUAAUACUUGAUUUUUUUACAAAAAACUAAAAGCCAAGAAGAUAUAUGUGUGUGUAUACACACACAUACAUAUAUAUGUAUAUAUGGCUAAAUAUAGAGAUUUAUAAUACUUUAAUGGAAAGAAGAGAAAACAAAUAAUAAGAGAAAUUUAAUCUAUUCCUGCGUAAAUAGUCUUAAUAAAGAUGAUGAUACUAACAAAGUUAAUUUAUAAACUUAAUGCAGUACCAGUUAACAUCCCAGUUGGAUGUUGACUUUAACUUUAACUUGAUUGAUAGUAUAAAAUGCAGAGUAAAAAAGUAGCUAAGAAUUUCAGAGGAAAAAAAUAGUUUUUUAAUUAUUCUUAAAAUAAUUCGAAAGGAUUACAAUGAGGUGAAUUUAUUAUAAAACAAUGAAAUAGAACUUGGGAGCCACGGUAGAAGUGCAAAAGAGAUUAGACCAGAAGUCUAGGCUAAUUAUAGUUACUGAAGUUGACACCAGAUUAGCUGGAAACCGUCUGGCUUUCAAGGCAGAAAAAGAAACUUGUAGGUUUUUCAGCAGGGAAUGAAAAUUGAGAAACCACUAGGCAGACACUAUAAAUUGCAUAAGUGGGCUGGGUAUAACACAAUAGGAAAUAUUGGACUUCUGAACUUUGUAUGUGUGCCCCAUACAGAGAAGAUAGCUGCUACUUGGUUUUAGCUGAGGUUUGGCAUGUACACAAAAGAGUCUGCGAUGCUAAGUUUUCAGGGAGUCCAGAAGCCUGUUGGGAGGAGCUCACAAGACUUGUUAGAUCUCAGGAUUUUUAGAUGUUGGCAUUUAGUGUACUGGCCAAACAAAAUAUGUGGGAGUGAAGGGUACCUUAUUGAAUCAAGAUUACAUAUCUAUAGUUUUCACUCUCCUAUUAAUAACUGUAUACUUUUGAGCCGAACAAAAGGAGUUUAGCCAUUCUAAACUAAAACUUUUUCCAGAGUAUAUUUACGAGACCUAAAUAUAGGUUAGUAGCAGUGAUGGAAACAAAAUAGAAGUAGAAGAAAUAAAUUGAUAGUAGAUUAGUACAUAUGAGAAGCCAACUAAAAUAAAACCUGUGAAAGCAAUCGUGUUUAACAAAAAAUAUUAGGUUGAAUGAUAUGACAAAGAAAGCUUCCUUUAGACGGAUUUUCAUCUCAUACCAUGCAAACUAAAUUCCAGAUGAAUUAAAUAUUUUGAAAUGAAUAUUAUACUUAUCUUUGCUUUGGAGAGGAGAUAAUUUAUACAUUGUUAAAGCUAUAAAGAAAUUAAGUAGUACCAAGGUUGGCAUGUUUGAUUAUGAAAAAUUUGAUUUUCUGGUACAAAGAUAAAAGCAACACAAUGGAAACAGUAUUUGCAGUUUUUUUAUGAUAGUAAGAUUUUUCAUGUAAUCGGGGAUGUAUCCAUAAGGUUAGAUGUAGUGGACAGCCAAAGGAUAGUUUAUACCAUAGAAAAUAACAAUAAUAUUUGACCUAAAGGGCUUCGUUUAUAAUAUUAAUACAGUAGUAGUAGUACCCACUUCCUAGGGUGUCUGGGGAAUAAAUGUGCAGUGCCAGAUGGGGAAAAGCAGCUCUUUGAACCAACUUCACAUGUGUAUUGUUUACAAAGCACUUUUUAUCAUUCUUCUCAUUGAUUCUUACUCUAGCCCAGGACAGUUUUUAAGUUUUCUCAGUGGAGACUUUUAGGGUUCACUUCUUCCACAGUCACAACUUAGUCUUUGUCACCACCUUAACUGAUCCACCCGUAAAAUCAAUCCAGAAAAUUCAAGAACUCACCAUUCUGGCCUCAGGUUUCUCUUUCCAACUCACAUGUUCUUUUUAGCUACUGCAGCCAUUCUUUCAUCUUUAGUCUAGAAAAUACUUCCUUAGUUUCUCCUGAGUGGUCUUUCCUUUUUACUUUUACCCUUGUUUUUUCCUGUAACAUAUUUUUUCUUUUCAUAAUAUUGUGACAAUAUGUAGUAUCUACCUCUGCCUCACUCUGCCUUCAACAAAGAUCUGCUUCUAUUUUGUUUCCAUUGCUGCUAUAACCUAUAACCUAAGUGUGAAGGUCAAAGGAAUUGAAUGGACAUUGCAGAUACCUGAAUGAUUAGGUUCAUGAAUAGGCACACAAGAAGAUGCUUAAUAACAUUAGCCAUUGUGUUAGGCAGCUUUUUGUUGCUUUGACAAACUACCUGAGAAAGUCAACUAAAGGAGGAAAGAUUUAUUUUGGCUCCUGGUUUCAGUCCAUGACUGGCUCCAUGCUUAGGGUCCUGAGGCAAGCAGAACAUCUUGGCAGCAGGAGCAUAUGGUAGAAGCCAUUCUUCUCACAGUAGCUGGGAAGCAGUGGCAGUGGGAGGGGCGGGGGACAAGAUACAAUCCCCAAGCAUAUGGCCUCAAGGACUUACUCCCUUCAACUAGGUCCUGCAUCUACAUUUUCUACCACCGCCCAGUUGUGCAUUCAUCUAUGAAGACCUCAGUGGAUUAAUCAGUUGAUGAGGUCAGAGCCCUUAUGACCCACUAACUUCCCCAAAACCGCAUCUCUGAACAUUGCUUCACUGGGGGACCAAGCCAUCAACACCUGAGCUUUUGGUGGACAACUCAUAUCCAAACUACAACAGCCAUCAAAGAAAAAAAAAAUUCAAAUCAAAACCACCAAUCCACUAGAAUAGCUAGCUGUAACAGAAAAAUACAGUUGAAAGUUUUAACAAAAAUGUGGAGAAAUUGGAGCAUCUAUAUGUUGCUAUGCAUUGCUGCUGGAAAUGUAGAAGGUGCAGCUGCUGUGGUAAACAGUCUGGCCAUUCCUUAAAAUAUUAAACAUGGAAUUACCAUGUAUAACAGUAUCACUCCUUGGUGUCUACCCAAAAGAAUUAAAAAUACAUGUUCACACAAAGACCCGUACAUGAAAAUGUUGAUAGAAUUUUUCAUAAUAGCCUAAAAGGAAAAACAGCACACAGACUGUGGAUGCAGGACCUAGUUGAAGGAAGUGAAGCCUUGAGGCCAUAUCCUUGAUGAAUGAGUCAACAAAACAAGGUAUAUCUACAGAAUGGAAUAUUAUUCAGCCACAAAAAGGAAUGAAGAACUGAUAUUUAUUAUAGCAUGAGGAAUCUUGCAAGUGUUACACUAAAUAAAUUAAUGCAGCUACAAAAAGCAUAUAUUGUAUUAUUCUACUCAUAUGAAAUGUCCAGAAGAAGCAAGUUUAUAUGGAGGAAAAAAGUUGAUUAAUAGUUGUGUAGGGUUGAAGGAGAAGAGAUAUAGGAGAAUGUGACUGUUAAUAAAUAAUUUCUUUUGGAGUGAUGAAAAUACUCUAAAAUUAUAUUUUACUGAAAAACUCAAUAAAAUAUACUUAAAACAUUGAAUUACACAGUUUAUAAAGGAAAACUUUAUGGUAUGUUAAUUAUACCUCAAUCAAGUUGUUAAAUUAAAGAGAAAAUGAACUCUCUUGCCCUUGUCUCAUGGCACAUACCGUUUCUCAGUAUGAUUACUAGAAAAGUUGAUUUUGAGAAUACCCCUGAUUAUGUAGUAUGAACAAUGAACUUGUUUUGGAGGUGUUCUUCCAGUAAACUUUGCUAAAUAGAAAAAAGUCUUUUUUUUCUUGUAGCUCUUGUAAAAUAUUUUUAAAGAUGUUUUAUUUGUUUUCUUGCCUCCGCUUAGUAUAAGAAACACAAUUUAUAGUUAGUGAUUCCUGGAUUUUAUUUUGGCAGUGAUUUCUCCCUUGAUGGUACAAGGAAGAGACUGGCUUUGCAGCUAAACAGAAAAAUCAUUUUUCUCCCAUGCUUUUUCAGUUCCUGCCUUUGUCUUGUUCUGUUUGUAUAUCUUUGGCUUGUGUGUGUGUGUGUGUGUGUGUGUAUGGGUGGGGUCUUCCUUUUAAUGUCUUUCAUUGGUACUGACAGUUGGUUCAAAACUGUGAAAUAUGAAUUCUCAUUUGAGGAAAAUACAUGUCAAACUGUGUAUGAUUUCAGGAGGGUCACGGAUUAGAAAUCUCAGCGGCAUACUUGCUUUGGUGACCUCAUCUACUUCCAGGUGUAAAUUACCAUUUAUAUGCUGAGCAAUACAAAUUCUCUAUCCCUGUCCAGGUUUCUCUGCUAGGAACUAUAGCUAACUGUCUGGGUCUACUUGGAUGUCCUACAAAUACUACAAAUACUUCGUAUCUUCUUAUCCUUUCUAAACCGCCCCUCCCCUUUUUUUAAUAGAACGGGAUUCCAAACCAGAACACCCCAACCACCCUGGUCUGAAUUGAUACUAAGCAUGAUCCUUAAUUUUUCCAUGUCCUCUACAUGUAUCAGUCAUCAAGUUUUGUUUGUUUGUUUGUUUUCAAUCUUUUGAAAUUUGUUCCUUCUUGUUACUAUUCCCACCAAUGAUUGAAGGCCUCAUUUCUUGGUGGAAAUCCUGUAGCUUCCUGACUAGUCUCCUUAUGUUCUGUCUUGUUCAUUCUCCAUAUUGCAGCUGAUAAACUCCCAACAGCUUCUCAGCAUCUUUAACAUGGGCUCUAAACUUGUCAGCACCGUUAAUAGCACUUAGAAGGCCCUAGACAACUUCACUCCAGCUCUCUCAUCCAGCCACCAUGUCUCAUCACAGUACGUAUCAGUCAUGCUGAUCUUUCUUGUUUUCUCAGCUGAGCCCUGUUUUCUCUCACUUUAUGCCCUGGUGGGCUCAUUCCGUCCCUGCUUAUCCCCUUUCCUCCAUACCUGGCGAACUAUUAUCCUUCUUUACAUCUUGGCUUUAGAUAUUUCUUUUGUGGGCAUCUUGUCUCCAUUCACGAGACCCAUCUGAGGGUCUGUCCACAUGGUUUACAGCUGUCUCCUUAACUUCUGGACUGUGAAUGCUGGGAAGCAAGAUGCUUGCUGGCAUGGUUCUGUUUAUCAUUCUAUCUCUAGUGCUUACUUAAUCCUAUAUCUGGCUGAGUGGGUAUUUAAUAAAUAUCUGUUGAAUAAAAGAGAGUUUUUUUCUCUACCUAAAAUAUCUUAUUACCAACUUUAUCUUGACCUCAGCUUCACUUGAGAAAAUUUUGUACAAUUACCAUCUGUUUAUUAAUUCAUUAAAUGAUUAUGGAGCAUCUUCAUUGUACCAGGCAUUCAUUAUUUUAGGCACUAAAGAUAUAGUGAUUCGUAGUCAAAUAUCCCUGCCUUUCUGAAGCUGAGAUAUAUAUAUUACAUAUUAUGAGAGAGAGAGAGACAUAUACAUAUAUACAUACAUUUUGGUGGAGACAGAUAAUAAACAGAUAAAUAAGUAAAAUACACAGUGUGUAAAUGAAAGUGCUGAGGAGAAAUGAAUGAAACAGGGAAGAUGGAGAAGGCGCAUCAGAGUAGAGGGUUGGCCUUUUAGACAGAGUAGCCAGCAAAGUCUUCAAUGAGGAGGUCAAUUUUGAAGGAAGACUUCAAAGAAGUAAGGGACUAGCCUUGUUGCUCUCUAGAAAAGGAAAAUUCCAGGCAGAUGGUACAAAGGCCCCAAGGUGUGUGCCAAAGAGUUUGAGGACUAGAAAGGGGACUAGGGGAGACCAGUGGGAGUUAAGGUCAGAGAGAGACAAAUGUUCUCUGAGUGUUGUUUCACAAUCUGAUCCCUGGGGGUCCUCUGCUAUUUGAACUUGUUUUCAGCUGUUGAUGCUCUGAACUACCAGAAGGAACUAUGAAAUUCUCCCUUCUUAGCAGUUAUCUGUAAAUCAAGGGCCAGAGAAAUGCUAGCAAAGGAGGCUGUGGUGCCAGUUAGCUUCACUUGAUUCUUUGGGGAUUGGUAAGGUUCAUUCUUAGUAUUUGUGGUACUUUCCCUCAACCCCAGGAGAUUUCUGCCUUUUCUUCAGGAUGGGGGACACAGUGAUGACAUCCCUGUCAUCAGCCUAAAUAGAUGAAGCUUUCCAGUUACCACAAUCCUCCUCUCUUUCUGUUCUCUGGUCUGUUUUAGUUCAUUUUCUAUUGCUAUAACAGAAUACCAGAGCCCAGGUCAAUUAUAAGCAAUAGAAUUUAUUUGACUCACAGUUCUGGAGGAUGGGAAGUCCCAAGAUGAAGGGGCUACAUCUGAUAAGGAUUUUCUUGCUGCAUCAUAACAUGAUAGAAGGCAUCUCAUAAUGAGUGAGAAAGAGAGAAAAAAUGAAUAAACAUGCCUACGUGUGCACAAGAGGGCCAAACUUCCAGUUUUCCUCAGGAGCCCACUCCUAUAAUCACUCUACAGAUAAUGGUAUUAAUCCAUUCAUGAGGGCAGUACCUCUUAAAGGUCUCACCUCUUAAUACCAUCGCAGCAACAAGUAAAUUUCAAUGUACAGAUUUGAGGGGACAAACAUUCAGACCAUAGCUUCAUGCAGGCUGGGGGUGUUGCGAACAUUGUACAACUCCCUCUGCCACUGUCUAGGGUUGAUGUAUUGGUUGGCUUUUUGUUUUGUUUUGAUGCUAGGGACGGACUUGAGGCCUCCUGUAUGUUAGGCAAGCAGUCUACCACUGAGCUACACCCUCAACCCCUGCAGUUACUAUUUUGAAGACAAAUUGCUGCUCUCAACUUGUUUCUUAGCUUUGUUCCAGAAAGUUGGGGCCAACAGGAUUUAAGUUAAUUAUGUGUUGCGGUUAGUUGGGUUUUACUGACUUUGUUGUGCUGGCCCUGGAGCUCUCUCCUGUUAUAACACAGCUCUCCAUGGGCAUUUGAGUCCCACCCCAGAGGAGAUGACUGGACUUGCCUUGCUGGCAUUUCCCAUCCCCAGGAAAUAAGAGGCCUUCUCUGUGCAGAAUCCACUGUGGGUGGAGUGUAGCCUCUUGGGGCUCUCUGUAACCUCUAGUUAGUAAUAGCAGAAGCCUCUGCUAGACUGCGGGUGCUUUUCCUUUCAUGUGAUUCACAGCGGCAGCAUACUCUGUAGAAAGGAGCUAUAAAUUGUAAAUUGAUAUGAGGUAAUAAUUGGAAAAAUGAUCAGACUCCAUUUUUAUUCCCCUUCGGGGAAGACACGCAUCAGGAAUCACUAAAGCAGAAGACGACGGAGGGCUUUUCAUCCAGCUCUCCAGCUUCAGUGCUGCAGUGCUUCCGUCCUGAUUAGAGGGGAGAGCAGCCAAAUUCGGCAGGAGGCGGCCAGCAGACCUAGUAUCUGCUUGCCACCUCUUGCUCCAAAAAGCCUUGCCGCAGAGAGUUACCAUGGCAGCAGGAGGCAGUUUAAUGGCAAAGGCUCAUCUCUGGAGCAGUGCUGCUGCACCCCAGCCAUUCCCGCCCUGGCCUUCAACCCAAGGGGCUGGGUUUACCAGGGCAUCACUGUGCCAGGGCCAUGUGAGGAGUGCAUGUCGCCCAAGGGGGUAGAGCUGUAAGAUCCUCCAGAGUCUGAGGGUGGCGACCUCUUCUCUUCCUGCUUCUCCUUGGUGCAUAGCUCUUUGAUGCCUCAUCCUAUAGUCGACCUUAUCAAAUCAUUUGCAGUUCCUUAAAUAUGCUCUUUCAUGCUUCUCUGCUUUUAGGCAUGCAGUUUCCUUUGCCUGGAGUUCUCCCUUCCCCAUCUGUCUGGAAAAUUCCUACUCAGUUUCAAAAUGUAGCUAAGAUACUGCCUCCUCCUUCUUAAUGCUUCCUCUAACCCCUUACUGUCCAGGCAGAGCUACACAGUUUCCACUGCCAUCUCGACCUUGUCAUGAAUCGCAUGGUUUCGAAAUGAUUAUUAUAUUUUUGUCUCUUCCUCUCUAGAUUAUAAGUUACUUGCAUUCAAAAACUGUUUUAUGAACCUUUUGUCAAACGGCCUUACUGCAGGAGUAAAUACUUAGUAAUGUUGGUUGAAUGAAUGGGAUGUUUUCCUUUCACAUCAUCUGGUUUAAUCCUUAUCACGGGUGUCGUCCUACCUGGAGCAGAGCCCUGCAUCUUAUCCAGGUGGGACUGUCUGCUCAGACAUCCUAGAAGAGUAAGCUGAUUUAAUCAGCCCCAGAUCACUCUCCAUUGCAUGUAUUCUCACUUUCUAAUUUGAAUUGGAAAGAGUAAUACUUGGGAAUCAGUCUCCCCAGCAGUCAAGCUAAUGUGGCCUCGUGUUGGUUGCCUGACUUCUAAAUCAGUUCCCUCAUUUGUUGGAUUAGGAUGUUGUAAGGACAGAGCCUAAGAUGCUUUGUGACUCAGAGUGAAUUCUUGGUCAGUCUUCUGUACCUUCUCCUCUCUUCAGCGACGAAAUUAAAAGCAAAAUCCAGCUUUAAACUAGCUUUGAGCCCUCUCUGGCAUCAUGUCAUUCAUUUAGUUUUACCUUCUUGCUGUGCACACAGGUGCCUUUCAGAAGUCCCCCUCUUUGAGUGGCUCUUGUGCCUAUUUCUGAGCUUUUGUGUCCCUCCUUUUGCCUCAUUGUUUUGUUUCAUCUCGUGUGCAUCUGUCCUCUUGUUCAUUAUGUAGACAGAAUGUUUUAUUUAGAUAUUUCUUCUUUUCCUGCCUUUUGGACAUAAUUUGUUCUUGUAUUUCAAAAUCACCAAUUUAAAGUGAAUUUAUUUUCUAUCUCCUUCAAAUAAUACUAGAAGCCACCUCCACCAUAAUGUAGAUUUACAUGCCUUACUUGCUACCCUCUGUAUGUUGGCUUUGCACUUUGGUCUGAGUAUUUUUUUUUCUACUUCCCUCUAACUUUUCAGUUCAAUGCUUGCUUAGGGUGUUUUGCAAUUCCCUUUGCAAAUGCGUUCUGUGUAUCAUGCUAUCGUGCUGUGUGCGUGUUGUGCGUGCCAAUGUCCUCAGGUAUCUAGGCUGUUUAGUUUCUGGCGUAUUUUUCUCUAAUAUUGCUUCCCAUCUUGCUUUCAUUUCUACUUUUGGUAUUUUGUUUUAUUGCAGUUCCUCUAAAGGAUGUGAAACUUAACAAAGCUAUUGUUUUUAAUAGGUCUAGUAAAAGAACCACUAAGAACAGCAAUGAAAAACUUGCUUUUAACUUAUAUUUAUGAAUUAUCUCUGACAUUGGUUUGCUAUAUUGGAGGGAUGCAGCAGAGAGGCCAAAGUGUGUCAUCAGCAUUGCCUGAGAAGCUUUUGCAAAAUUCAUGUGCCCAUCCUUGUCCCCACCAUUUGCCUGGUGGGACUGAAACUGGGCUGGGUUUUGAUAAAUCUUUCUAGAAGGUUUUGUGGCUUUUUUACCUGGUUUUUUUUUGUUUGUUUGUUUUUGUUUUUUGUUUUUUUACCCUCUCAGUUGAAAACCACUGAUUCAUAGUUUUAGUUACACUCAGCAGUCCCUCCUUAUCUUCAGGGAAUACAUUCUAAGAUGUUAGGCAGACUUCUUGAAACCAUGGAUAGUACCAAACCCUAUAUGUAUAUGAUAUUCUUUCAUAAAAUUUAAUUUAUAAAUUAGGCAUGGAUAGAGAUUAAAAUAUUGACUACUAAUAAUAGAACAGUUGUAACAAUAUACUAUAGUAAAAGUUAUUUAAAACUUAUGAAUCCUUUGUACAAUUCUCCAUUUAAUGUGGAAAUAUGAAUGUGACUCCGAGGUUAAGCACCCCUUGGUUUAAUUUCUAGGACCAAAAAGAAAAAAGGCGCAGUGUUAGUUUUACAUUAUUAUAUAGUCGUUAUGGAAUUCCCCUCAUCCUCCUUUCUUAUUUCCUUGUGCUGGACCUGUUCUGGAGGACUACUUAGUUCUCAUUAAGGUUAGUAACCUAGCAGUCAUAAACACUUCCAUGCAGAUUUGUCUUUCAAAUGAAGACUAAAUAUUAGUAUUGUAGUCCUGUUUUAUGUUCCUAUCAGAAAUUAUUGAAUGUAGUGCCUUGCUAUCAAAUGUAAAAUUUGUGAAAGGCAAGUAGUUUUCUUAAUAAUGAUGGGAAUUACAGAGUAUAUGUUAGGUACUUUAUAUAUAUAUUAUCGAUAACAUUUAGCAAACUCUGACAUAGGUCAUGUACAGUUUUACAGAGAAGAAAACUGAGGCUUAGAAGGAUAAAUAUGGUGGUGAGUGACUGUUAUCACAGUCCUUAGGAGGCCGAGGCAAGAGAAUCACAAGUUAAAGGCUAGCAAGAUCCCAUCUCAAGAGAGAGAACCCAAAGCAAGUUCAGGUUGGUCUAACUAAAGCAUGGUGUGAGGCUGCUGCUCAGUCACUAGUGUAAAUCAGGGAAUGUGUCUUAGGGUGGAACGUAAAUACAGUGGGGGCACUUUUGGCAGUGAAGGAGGCAGAAGCCCACAGGACAAUGAGUGUUUCUGUUCUCAGGAGGCUGUCAGUGAGAGCCUCAGCCCAGCUGCAAGGCCUUGGCAGCCUCUGUCCUUUUCCUUUUCCCUAAGCCUGGUUUUCUACAAUCGUGUGAUUUCUCCAGACACUUCUCAGGGCAUUGCUCAUCACUUAGAACUUUGUACUCCUCUCCCCCACCUUGUAUCCACCUCAACUCCCACCUGCCAAGACACACCACAGUAUUGUGAGGAUAAAAUCAUUGAUACAUGUGAAGAGUUCAGUGUAGCACAUGGUACACUGUACCACGUAAGUACACAGUAAAUUUAGCUACCGUUACUGUUAUUGUUAAUGGUAUUAAUAGUGGUGUUGGUGUUAGCAAUGGUCAUUGAUUCAAAGGUUUAGGACUCCCUACACAAGGACCUGGGUAUUUCCUGUCCAGAAUCUGGUUUUGUGCAGUUCAUAGUACCCACACCCAGGCACGGACAUGCUCAAUUGGGUGCAAAGGAUAGUUGGAAGGAGAAUUAGUAAGAGAAUGCUUUUUUCUACCCAAAGGUUGCCAGAAACAUUUCUCUCUAUGCCCUUACUGCCUCCUGUCAUUAGCAUGGAAACUGUCCAUGAAUCCCACUUCUAAACCACAUUCCUUUUCUGGCUUCUUUGCAUUUUUUUUUUUUUUUUUUAGAGUUGUUAGGAUUUAUGUUUUUUUUUUUUUUUAAUUUAUAUAUGACAGUGGAAUGCAUUACAAUUCUUACUACACAUAUAGAGCACAAUUUUUCAUAUCUCUGGUUGUAUACACAGUAUAUUCACACCAAUUCAUUUCUUCAUACAUGUACUUUGGAUAAUAAUGUUCAUCACAUUCCACCAUUAUUAAUAACCCCAUGCCCCUCCAUUCCCCUCCAAUCCCUCAAUCCCUCUGCCCUAUCUAGAGUUCGUCUAUUCCUUCCAUGCUUCCCCUUCCUACCCCCCUAUGAUUCAGCCUCCUUAUAUCAAAGAAAAUAUUCAGCAUUUGUUUUUUUUGGGAUUGGCUAACUUCACUUAGCAUUAUCUUUUCUAACUUCAUCCAUUUACCUGCAAAUGCCAUGAUUUUAUUGCUAAGUAAUAUUGCAUUGUGUAUAUAUGCAACAUUUUUAAUCCAUUCAUCUAUUGAAGGGCACCUAGGUUGGUUCCACAGUUUAGCUAUUGUGAAUCGUGCUGCUAUAAAAAUUGAUGUGGCUGUGUCCCUAUAGUAUGCUGUUUUUCAGUCCUUUGGGUGUAGACUGAAGAGAGGGAUAGUUGUGUCAAAUGGUGGUUCCAUUCCCAAUUUUCCAAGAAAUCUCCAUACUGCUUUCCAUAUUGGCUGCACCAAUUUGCAGUCCCACCAGCAGUGUAUGAGUCUACCUUUUUCCCCACAUCCUCGCCAACACUUAUUGUUGUUUGUAUGCAUAAAUAGCUGCCAUUCUGACUGGAGUGAGAUGAAAUCUUAGAGUGGUUUUGAUUUGCAUUUCUCUAAUUGCUAGUGAUGAUGAACAUUUUUUCAUGUAUUUGUUGACUGAUUAUACAUCAUCUUCUGAGAAGUAUCUCUUCAGGUCCUUGGCCCAUUUAUUGAUUAAGUUAUUUGGUUUUUUUGGUGCUUAGCUUUUUGAGUUCUUUAUAUACCCUAGUGAUUAGUGCUGUAUCUGAUGUUUUGCUCCCAAGAUAUAGGUUCUCUAUUCACCUCACCGAUUGUUUCUUUUGCUAAGAAGAAGCUUUUUAGUUUGAGUCCAUCCCAUUUAUUGAUUCAUGAUUUUAAUUCUUGUGCCACAGGAGUCUUAUUAAGGAAAUUGGGGCCUAAUUCCACAUGAUGGAGAUUAGGGCCUACUUUUUCUUCUAUUAGAUGCAGGGUUUCUGGUUUUAUUUUGAGUUGAGUUUUGUGCAUGGUGAGAGAUAGGGGUUUAAUCUCAUUUUGUUGCAUAUGGAUUUCCAGUUUUCCCAGAACCAUUUGUUGAAGAGGCUAUUUUUUUCUCCAAUGCAUGUUCUUGGUACCUUUGUCUAAUAUAAGAUAAUUGUAGUUUUGUGGGUUAGUCUCUGUGUCCUCUAUUCUGUACCAUUGGGAAUCAACUUAACGAAAGAGGUGAAACAUCUGUAUAAUGAAAAUUACAGAACCCUAAAGAAAGAAAUCAAAGAAAACCUUAGAAGAUGGAAAGAUCUUCCUUGCUCUUGGAUAAGCAGAAUUAAUAUUAUCAAAAUGACCAUACUGCCAAAGCACUAUACAGAUUUAAUGCAAUUCCAAUUCGAAUUCCAGUGACAUUUCUUAUAGAAAUAGAAAAAACAAUCAUGAAAUUCAUCUGGAAAAAUAAGAAACCCAGAAUAGCUAAAGCAAUCCUUAGCAGGUAGAGUGAAGCAGGUGACAUCACUGUACCAGACUUUAAACUACACUGCAGAGCACUAGUAACAAAAACAGCAUGAUAUUGGCACCAAAACAGACUUUUAGACCAAUGGUACAGAAUAGAGGACACAGAGACUAACCCACAAAACUACACUUACAUUAGACAAAGGUGCCAAGAAUAUGCAUUGGAGAAAAGUUGGCCUCUGCAUUCUUUUUAUCUAUGUAGAACAUUAAUACAUUAAUGGUUUUGGAGUCGCUAAGAGGGUGACUGUUUUUGGUUUUGUUUUGGUUGUUUGGUUUAGUGCUUUAUACUAUAGUUUCUACCGGCCCUUCUUGCUGGGUUCCUGGUCCCCUGGCUGCACUGAAGUGUGCAGUGUGCAAAGGCCUCUCUGGUGCCCUGCCACUUUUUCUACUUAACUGUUUUAUUUUUUUUUCCUGGUUUUCUUUUAUAGCCUCUAUCCUAGCACAGACAUUGGCUUUAUUCUUCUUGCUUCUCAGUUUUUCCACCUUAUUCUUCACUUGAUCAUAGCCAGAAAGCUGAGAAGUGAUUGCCUAAUUCAUACAUCCGGUUACAUUUCCAGUUGCAGAUUUGAGUUACAUUGUGGUAAAGACUAUGACAGAUGGCUCGAUUUUAUAAAACUUUCCAAGGACUCAGUAGAAUUGAGCCUGUGGAUGGAGGUUCUUUACUCAAGCCUUCCUUCUGACACUCCCUCCCUCCAUCCUUGCUUCUCUCAGCUGAGAGUGUUCUGGCCUCACUUUCAAUUUGGGCAAGAGAUAACAUCUGUAAUCUUUGUCAUGUCUUCUGCUUUAUCACAUUAAAAUUAUCUAUUGUCCUGUGAAUUUUAAUUAAUCUUCCCUUUUUAAAAAUACAAAUGUCCAAGAUCCAGGGGGAAUUAUUUAGGAUUGAGGGAUUAUUUUGUCUAUCUGUAAUGGACCUUUUAAAUAAAUAGUAUUUAUUGCCUUUAUCUCAAUUCAAAAGUAAUUUGCAUUCUUUGUAGAAAAUGAGAAUUCUGAAAAGUAAAAGAAAGGAAAUCAAAAUCACUUUAUUCUAACACCUAGAGAUGACUGAGAUGUUGGUGUAUCUUUCCUGUUUCCAUUCAACUUUAUAUAAUCAAUUCAGUACAUAUUAAUUUAUAUACACAUAUUCGUAUUUAUAUAUUCAUUAUUUUAAAUAUAUUUUAGGUGUAGAUGGACACAAUACCUUUAUUUUACUUGUUUUUUUUAUUUUUAUGUGGUGCCAGGGAUAGAACCCAGUGCCUCACACAUGCUAGGCAAGCACUCUACCACUGAGCCACAACCCCAGCCCCUAUAUAUAUUCAUUUUGAUAAUUAAAAUUAACUGAAUUAAUUAAGGAGCAUUUAUAGCUUGCAUAAAAACUAUAAUUCAUGUCAUUGCUGUAUUGGGAUAUUCUAGUAAAUUUUUUAGUACAAGUUUGACAAAAUGAGACCACUAAAUAGAUAAUUUCUCAUGAUAAAACCUAUAUGCACACAUCACAAAAAUGUUACUGUUAGAAAAAUACAUUCUGAAAACUUUGUCCUUCAGUUACCCCAUUCCCACUUUAUAUGUGUAAGUGGUUAUUUUCUAAAAAUUACUGAUGAUUAGAUUAGUGAAAUGUUUAUUGUGAAAGAGUAUGUUCUUUGCUUUUAGGCUUAAUCAAAUACACAGUGAAAUAGAAUGUGUUUUGUGAAGUAAUAUCUCAGUUUUUUUCUCCACGCUUUAGGUAUGUGUUCUUUUUGGAUCCAUGCAAUCUGGACUUGAUAAACCGGAAGAUUAAGUCUGUAGCACUGUGUGUAGCAGCAUGUCCAAGACAAGAAUUGAAAACCUUGAGUGAUGUCCAGAAGUUUGCAGAGACGAAUGGUGAGAUUUUAGGCCAUCUACAUCUACACUCCAAUCCUUUAUCUCACUGUUAAAUAUUAUGUCUUUACAUUCCCAUAUGAAUUUGUCCUGACAUUAAAUAAGUGAUCAAAGAACCUUAAAAAUAAAAAGAAUUGAAGUAAUUUUGGAUUUCCUCAUUAAAAAAUAUUAGAGUCAACCUAGGAGCUUAUUAAAACUCUAGAUAUUCACCAUACUCCGUGGUAUGUACCUAUAGUCCCAGCUAUCAGGAUGCUGAGGCAGGAGGUUCCAGGUUGUUUGAGCAACAUAAUAAGAUUCCAUCUCAAAAAGUAAAAAAGCAAAAACUGACCACACCAUAGAUUAUUUCACACCUUUACUCAAAAAACAAGACAAAACUCUUAUUAGAUUCCUAGGCCCCUGCUGGGGAACUUCUGAGUAGGUCUUUGGGUUCUGGAAAUUUGUGUUUUUUAUAAAUGCUUCAGGUGAUUUUGAUAUAUAGCCUGAUGAGUAUUUGGAAAUUAUUAGACUACUCUGUAAAAUUUGGAUAUUUUCCUUUCUUGACAAGUGUUGAUUAAAAGUAUUUCAGUUUGGGCCUGUGUGUGUGUGUUUUAGCCUGUGAUUAACAGGGUAAUAUGAAAAGGAAAAUUUGAAAAUUUCAGAUAAAAGUAUAAAGUAAAAAUCAAAAGUCUUCCAUCAGUUCUUUUUUCAAUGUGUUAGUGUACAUAUAACUUUGUGUUCUGCUUUUUAAAUUUAACAUUAUGUCAUGACUGUUUCUGUAAGAAUAGGUUUGAGGAACUUUGAGGUUAAAUGUAUGGGAAUUAGCUGAGAAAACCAGAAGAGACAGUUUUAUGUAAUCUAGCUCUGUUCCCUUGAGAUUCGUAUCUUCAAAUAUGUUAUCCUCAGCUCCAAAUAGCUUGUUUCAGUUAUCUUCAGAGAAUUUUUGUUUAAACCACUUUGGAGGGUUAGGGUGCUGAUGGCCCCUCAAGCCCAGGUUUUUGAACUUCCUUGAGUUUCAUGAUUGUGUUUUGUAUUUAGUACUCCUCAGGCCUUCCCAAAUUCAAGGCUGUUUUUGGUUCCUUGGAUAGCAGCUGACUUGAUUUGUAUUCACCCAGUGUAACUCUAGAUGGGUGGAGAUACAGCCUGGGGCUAUAGCUAUGCACACAUCAGCAAGACUCCUGCAUCUCUUAGAUGGGGUGGGAUAGGAUUGCUGGCCUUCUGGAGCUGCAGGACUGGCAACAUUCCUGGGCUACCACUUCAUGCCCUAGGCAUAAGAUGGUAGAAAGGGCAUGCUGUUUAUUUGAAUCUGGAUUCCAAUUCUGAUUCAGUCACUAAUUGGCUCUGUAAUGAGUGGUAGCUUCUCUGAAUCUAGAUUUCCUAAUCUGAAAAAAAAGGUGAAUUAAAAAUAAUACCUCCGUGCUGGGGUUGUGGCUCAGUGGUAGAGCCUUGUCUUGCAUUCAUGAGGCAUUGGGUUCAAGCCUCGGCACACAUAAAUAAAUAAAAUAAAAAGUAUUUUUCCCAUCUACAACUAAAAUAAAGAAGUAUUUUAAAAAAUAAUACCUCAUAGGUUAUGAAGAUUAAAUAAGAUGGUGCAUGAAUAAUACUGGGCAUGUGAUAGGCAGUGAGUGAAGAGGUGCCAAAUACUGUUUAAGAUCUCAUUUUUAAUCCCCACAUGAUAUCCCCACAUUUGCCUUGCUAAGCCUUUUUUCCAAACCUACCAGCUUUAUCAUUAUCAGGUUUCUUAGGGAAGUCUGAGUUAUUCCUGAAGGGUUUUUCCAAACUCUUACACAUUAUGAGUAGAUCAAUAUACCUGAUAGGUGGUAUUUUUUUUUAAUAUUUAUUUUUACUUGUAGUUGGACACAAUACCUUUUUUAUUUAUUUAUUUUUAUGUGGUGCUGAGGAUUGAACCCAGGGCCUCCUCGCACAUGCUAAGCGAGCACUCUACCGCUGAACCACCACCCCAGCCCUGAGAGGUGGUAUAUUAAGAGUAUGGCCUCUGAAGUCAGAUGUUUGGGUUCAACUGUUGGUCCUUCUGCUUAGUAAUUGUGAGACUCUGGGCAAGUUGGCUUUACCUUUCUAUAUCUCAAUUUCCCCAUCUGUGAUGCAGGGAUAAUGUAUAUACCUAAUGUGCCUCAUUAGGAUCUUUAUAGUAAGUCAAUAUAUGGAGAAAGAAUACUUAUAACAAUGUAUGGAAAAUAGCAAGUUGCUAAAAAAUGGUCUUGGCUGCUGGUGUUGCCAUUAUUCUUCUGCCUCCAAUUUUUGUCUAGUUCUAACUCCUUUACGUAUUGCUCUCAUGCGAUGUUGCUAGAGGUUUAAUUAACACCAACCCAUUGCUCAGAAAUUAUCAGUGGUGAAAAACAAAAGUCUCUAUAUGUCUUAUACUGGCAAUCAAAACUCUGAUAUAAUCAUAAACUUGUCCGCUUUGAACAUGCCCUCUCAAACCUACUGGAUGUAAACCUUGGCAUCUUGAAACUUAGCUGUCAUCUGAAGGGCCAGGCAAGAGCUACCUCUAGCUCAGUUAUAUGGCCUUGCUUGAUGGUUCCUUUAGGAGAGAUGACCCAUGCCUUCCUGUUGGCCUGUGUUGCCCGCAGGCCAGUGUCCUCCCAAAUGAAACUGAUACCGAGUGUGGUCUAUUUAGGUCUAGUUUAAGAAGAUGCUCCUGGUGUGUUUUGCAGCUUUGCGUUUCCCACAGUGUUUUGCAUAAAGUAAGUGUUCAAGAAGUUUUAAUCAAUAAACACUCUUUCAGAAAACAGACUUCUUAAAUCAGUGCCCAGCUACAAAAGCACCCUUAGGCUUUGGAGUUGCUGUGUAUAAAAUAAACCAGUAAGUUCAGUAUAAAAAAAUAAUGACACAAGAAGCACAUAGUAGAGGAUGGUAACUUCAAAAGGCAAGUAGAAAAGCUGUAUAGUUCAAAUGGAAAGGGAGCUUCUGGUGUGGAGGCCUGCCUAUCUUAUUUUAGGAAAAAAUCCAAGUUGGAAUUUCUGAAUUAAUUUUUCAAAGAAUCUCUGCUGUUUCUUUGGAUUGGUGACUUAAAAUUGGACCUGGUAAAAUUUAGUUGCAAUAUUACCUUUAUCACUGAGAGAUUUCUUUCUCUGCUUUUUACAUUAACUAUGCUCCCCUCCUCUGAUCUUUAUAACUUAUCUUUUCCAUUAUUUGAAGUACAAGUUGAUUGAAAAGGAACAGGUAAUUUUUAUUGGUAUCUAUAGCCAAGGUUCUAACAGAAAUAGUUAGAAAAUACAGAGGCCUUUUUAUCUAAAAUAUUUAAGGCUCAAUUAUUAAUUUCAGAGGAGUGUCUUUGAGGGAUGAUUCAGGUUUAAGUGGGAAAUUUUCAAAUCUGUAAAGUAAACUAGUUAAAAGUCCAUGAAAGAGCCUAAAUAUAAGAGCUACAGCUGUAAAACUCUUAGAAGCAUCAUAGGGGAAAACUUACAUGGUAUUGGAUUUCAUCAUUACUUGCAUGGAACUAAAUGAUACCAGAAGUACAGGAAGCAAAGGAAAAAUUAGAAAAAUUGUCAUGUCAAAAUUAAAAACUUAAACGUAUUAAAGGACAAAAUCAACAGUGAAAAGUCAACCCAUAUAUUUGGGUUGAGAGAAAAUAUUUGGAAUGAGAGAAAAUAUUUGCAAAUAAUAUAUCUAUUAAGGAGUUACGAAAGAAAAAGAAGUGUUGAUGAGGCUAUAGCAAAAUUAGAAAUCUUGUGCACAGUUGGUGGUAAUGAAAAUGGUGUAGCAACUAUGGUAAACAGUAUAGAAGUUCCUUAAAAAGUUAAAAAUAGGACUAAUAUGAUCCAGUAGUCCCACUUCUGAGUGUAUAUACAGAAGAAUAAAAAAGAGGAUCCUCAAGAAAUAUGUGCACAUGUAUGUUCAUUGCAAUAUUAUUCAAAAACAGCCAAGAGGUAGAAGCAGCCUAAAUGUCCAUGGACAGAUUAAUAAAGAAAAUGUGAUAUACACACACAAUUAAAUAUUAUUUUGCCUUAAAAAUGCUGCAACAUGGAUGAAACUUAAAGAUACUAUGCUAAGGGAAAUAAGCCAUUCACAAAAGGACAAGUACUAUAGGAUUCCACAGUUAUGAGGGCCCUAGAAUAGCCAAAUUCAUAGAGACAGAAAGUAGGAUAGCAGUUGCCAGGAGCUAUGGGGGAUGGGGGGGUAGAAGGAAGUCACUGUGUAUUGGGUUGAGUUAUACAACAAUGUGAAUGUAUACAAUGUACUAAAUUGUACAAUUGCAAAUGGUUAAGACAGCAAAUUUUAUGUUAUGUGUAUUUUACCAUAAUUUAACAAAAAUGGAUACUGGGUGAGGUAGUAACUUUUUAUAUGCUAAUUCUAAACCUGAUUUUAAAAUGCAAGGUAAAAUAAUAUGUUUCUUUCUUAUCACAAUGAAAAUACAACAUAAAUCCUUUUCAAAGAAUUUCAAGUUUCCAUGACAACAUUUCAGAGUACUUUUUAGCACUUACCAACAUCCAUUCACAUGAACUUUUAUUAUCUUUAGAAAUUAUUGAAAAUUUUAUAAGGGGAAGCUGUUGGGUCCUAUAGCAAUAUUUAAAAGAAAUACAUUUGUUAGGCAAGUAAAACGUUCCCUCAAAUCUUCGUUUCUUUGACAAGAAAGUGGAGUUGUUUCUUGGAUAGAGUUUAUGGGAAAGCCUUUGUCAAGUAUGUCUGACUACAAUAGAGUUCAGAAGAAAAAGCUGGAAAUUAGAUUAGUUUUGUGGAGAUGUUGCCUUCUACAAAGAGCUUUGAAAGCGGGCAGGAGAACUUAGAUGAAUAUAAAGAUACAGUCUAGACUGAGUUGGGUGGUAGGUCAACAAGUAUACAUUUUGGUUUUAUGGUUUGUAAUUCAUAUAUGACAUGAAUAACAUAAACUUGAUGCUAGAAAAGAAAAUAAUUUUAAAAUGUUCAUUAAAAGGGGGGAUAGGAAGGGCAGCAGAAUACAACAGACACUAGUAUGGCUGUAUGUAUAAACGUGGCUGUAUAACCAAUGUGAUCCUGCAAUUUGUACACGUGGAAAAAUAAGAAUUCAUACCCCAUUUGAAUCAAAUAUAUGAUAUGUCAAGAUCAUUGUAUUGUCUUGAGCAACCAAUAAAAAAAUGUUCAUUAAAAAAAUCAAAGUUGUCAAGUACCAUAAGGACUCAGUAUCAAAUUUCUUUCAGUUCUUUAUCAUCUUCUGCAGUCAUGUAUAAAUUUUCAGGGGGCAGGAUUAUGCUCCAUUUAUCUCUGAAUAUCCAGGUUCUCAUAUAGGAGCUCACAAUGUAGAUAUCCAUAACUGGUUGUUUUUUUUUUUUUUUUUUUUUUUUGAAAAAAAUGAUAGACUCGAUUUCCCUAUUCAUCUCUGUUGCCACUUAAUAAUUUCUUAUGCUCUCAACACAUUUUGUCCUCAAUUCUGUAUCCGUGUGAGUUGCCACCAGCAGGUAAAUUGUUUAGCUUCAAUCCAACCAGAAUUGCUCUGAAAUCAGUUCUUUUUUAUUCAUCUCUAAAUAAUUCAUCCUAUUCACUCAUUUAUCUCUCUUAUACACACUCUCCAAGUGAUUAUUCAUACCUUUUCUUCCCGUAAGCCCUCUUGUUCAUCCUGUUUGCUAACCUAAUGCCCUACAGAGAAAAUUGAAACCAUCUGGUAAGAGCUCCCAUCUGAGUUCUUAUUUUCAGGAGAGCAUGAAUGUCAUCUCACUCUCACUUUCUUUCCCUCCAGUUUCUAAUGAACAGUUUUCUUUUCUCCUUUAUUUAAUCAUUAAUUUUGAAAACUUAAAUAAUACAUACAUUGUAGGGGGGGAGGGAAUGAAUCCCCCUCCUUCUGAAGCUGACUUUGGCUUUCUAUGUAAUUUUGGUUUCAACCCAACCAUGCUUUGACAGGUGGUGAAGGAAGGGGAGAUGGUGCAAGUUCCGGCAAUUCUUUCUUUCUCUCCUCUCUAAUUCUGGUUAGGCCCACCACCUCUGGUCAGUAGUCCACUAUCAUCCCCAUUAUUCUGAAUUCUGCAUCUGAAUUUUAGAUAAUUUAAGCCCAGAGUUUUGUUUCAACUUGUCAUUUAUUGGUGCCUACUAUGUACCAUGCACUGUGCCAGAUGUUUUGCGUGUUGUUUUGUUCUUUUCCAUUUGCUAUCUAAAUACUAACCAGUGAUUUAGAAAUAAAUGCACAUAACCUAUGAGUUAGAGGAUGACUGCAUAUUCUCAGUUGGUGCAAAUACUAAUCAUGAGAUUCUUAUUAUCUUUUCCAUUAUUCUUAUUUUUCUUUUGUUUGCAUCUCACUUAUAGGAGUGAAAAAGCAGUACCAUUUGAGAGUACUUCUUUAAUGUACUAUAUUUUGUAGAAUUCUGAGAGGUUUAUGAACUGCCAUUUGGACAUGUUCACUUUUUGAUUUUUUGGCUUUUUUGUUUGUUUAUUUUAGUACCAGGCAUCAAACCCAGGAACACUUAACUACUGAGCACAUCCCCAUCCCUUUUUAAUAUUUUAUUUAGAGACAGGGUCUUAACUGAGUUGCUUAGGGCCUCACUAAGUCACAGGCUGGCUUUGAAUUUGCGAUCCUCCUGCCUCAGCCUCCCGAGCCACUGAGAUUACAGGCAUGCAAUUACAGGCAUACAUCUGGCCCAUGUUCACAUUUUGAGUAUGACUGUCCAGUUUGAUCAUUAAUGAUCAUUGCUUUGGCCAUUUAAAACUUUGACAAAUUAUAUGAUCCAUUCAGAUAAGAAUUGCUUUUUGUGAGAACUAGUAAGACUUUCGGUUAUCAUUAUCCAGUCAUUAGGCUUAGAGUCAAUAUCAGUAGAUCAUCAGUAUAUUGCCCUUUUUCUUACCAGUUAGUAACAAUAUAACUUAAACCACAGAGUUAGCAUGGAUUCUUUUUGGCAUAGUCAAUCAAAAGUUUGGACUUGAAAACAUUUAUAAAUGAAUAAUUAUAACAAUUAAUUUAAUUUCCUCCAGGUCAAAGAAAGCAGGGUAGCAGGGAGACGCUUACAUUUGAUAAUAUAAUUUAAACUAAUUCCUUCCUCCAACAAUUAGUAUCUAUUAAAGAUGCCAAAGAUAUAAGGUACAGUCCCACAUUUAAGGAGCUUGAGUUAUAGUAAAGUUAGACUUUCCUUGUCCUCCACAAUACCUAGUAGAAGUCUUGCACAUAGAUGUUCAAAAUUAAUUCAUUUAGCAAAUAUUUAUUGUGUACCCAGGAUGUGCCACUAAUGGCUAACAGGUAAUGUCAUACCUCAGCUAGCUAAUAGAUGGUACUUUUUGGAAAUUGCAAAUAUGUCUGGAUUUUGGGGGUUACUAGAAAUUGAAAUUAGGAAAAUUGUCUCCUGUUCUUCCAGCAUGUAAAUAUAUAGUUUUCUAAUUAGAGGAUGAGAGAUUAAAUUCAUUGGACAUCACAAAGCAAUAGAAUUUGUUUUUCAUAAUGAAAACUGAUCUGCAUUGAGAUGUUUUUCUACUCAUUGAAAAUUUUCUCCAUCAUAUUUCAAGGACUAUAUCUUUUGCCUAAUUUUAAUAUAUUAUGCAUUUGUGAUAGCAAAUUAAACAUAAUUUUAUGGCCCAAAAAAUAGCCCCCAAUACAUUAGCUCUUCUUUAUAUAUUUUUAUUUCAAAUAAUUUGGUGUUUAAACCAUUGGUUCACAACUAAGAGUGCCUCUGCCUGCCCAAAAACAUUUGGCAAUGUUUAGAGAGAUUUUUGGUUGUCAGAACUGGGCAAAGGUUAUCUAGAGGAUAGAGAUCUGUCAAACACUAGUGACACACACAUACUAGGCAUACAUAUUUGCUGAGUGAAUUAAUGCACAGGACAGCCCCCUAUAAUCAAGCAUUGGAUCAGGAUGUCUGUUUUUAUUAAAUAAAAGGCAUUGGAGUGUUACUUAUGUACCAGUAGAUGGGACUGCAGAUAUUUCAAAAGCACCAGGUCCCAGUUCUCAAAGAGCAUACUCUAAAAAUGGAGAUGAUAGGUAAACAAAAACAAAUUACAAAAUAAUAUGCUAUGUUUUUUAAUAGCGCUAAGUGGCAAAUAGCUUUGUUGGGUGGGUCAGAGAAAGCUUGACAGAGAAGGUGAAGUGUGAGUGAGUACUGUGUAGUAGCUCUGCUCAAACUUUUAGCACUCACUCAGAUGCUGUUCCUAGAAGGACAGAGCAAGCCCAAGGAAUAGCAUGUUAAAAGGUCAGGAAGCCUGAUAAACAGAAAGAAUUGAUUAUAUGCAGUUCAUUGUAUUGAGGUGAGCCUGGAGUUUUAGCUAGAAUCCUGCUUUAGGAAGCCUUGAAUCCAAGAAGUGUGGACUUUAUCCUGAGGAUAGGACUAUAACAGAAGGGAUCUGCAUUUUUGAAGACCAUUCUGAAGGUCAUGUGCAUAAAGAGGGAGAUGAGAAUCCGUUUUGGGAGAGGAUUUAAACUGCCCUGAUCAAGAAGAUCUGAGAUUCUAUAGGAAGGUCUGAUCAAGCACCUUGAAUGGUAUGGGAAGGUGAAAGGUAAAGAAGAGGACAUGUGACUUGCAAAUUUUACCUUGGGGACUUCAAACCAUUAACCAGGAUAGAAAAUAUACAGGAGGAGAGUGAGUGAUUGAAGUAAUUUUUUUGUAAACAUUAUUUUUGAAGUAUCUAUGGAACAUGUUUUUGUGGUUUGUUUUCCUAAGAACUUAAUAUUUGUUUGAUUUUGAUUAUUAGGAAUGACACAAAAGAAGCAUAGUGACCUAAGAGUAAAGAAUUCUGUUUCUAAAUAUGCCAGUGAUUGCUUGUAAGGCCCUGAAAGUAUUACUUAUUUUUUUUCUCUGCAGCUGUAAGUUUUGAAGUGUAGUGAUAAAAAUGUACCUCUUAGGAGAGUUGAUAUAAUUGAUAUUGAGCUAGAAAAUAAAUAAUUAGAUGUUAUAAGCCAUUUGAAAAAUUAUAGUAUUUAAACAUUCUGAAGAUCCUAGUAGACAUUUGCCAUGAUAAAUAUUUGUAUACCCAGAUUGGGUUCCUAAGAUCUCUCAUUUUGAUAGCCUUUGAAUAACAUUGGCUAAAUUGCCUGGAUUGCCUAGAUAAGCCUUUGUUUUUUAGUUUUUUUGAUUUUUUUCAUUACUCAAGUAUGAUUUUUACUUAACUUUUGCAUCUGAAGGAAAACUUCAUGUCUUACUUUUUAUGUCCAAACCUCUUGUGCUGUGUUGUUUAUACUUUCACUGUAAAAAAGUAAAUGAUACUACCUUUAAAAGGUUCACUGAAUAUGCAUUAGCUGAUAAACAUGAAAAGAAAAACAAUUUAAAAUAUUUGUCAUUACCAUUUUAAUGUUCUUCCUCCUCUGUUCAUCAACUGUUUGAGCAGGAAAACAGCAAAGUGACUCUUCUGGUUGUUACUACCAACACAUUGUAAAGAUCUUUUUCCUUAAACCUAUUUAGUACAGGAUCUGCUUAGUACUGGCCUGUGUCCCAGAAGACCAUCAGAGAUAAGGCUAUUAUCCUUUUAUUGAGUAUUAUCCUGGGAAAGUAUUUAUAAAAUUGAACUCUGUGGCACCUGCUGACCUCUUUUCUAAAUGAAAAAGGGUGGGGAUGGAAAUUGUGUUCAGUGAAUUUAGAUGAAGCAGUAUGUUUAGCAGCACUGACAGCAGAGUGCUUUAGUUAGUGCCUUUUAUACCGUGCAAAUUGAUUCCAUCUUGGACUUUGAAAGAAAUAAGUUGACAAUUCAUAUCAAGAAGUUGACAGUCACAUUCAGGGCUCUGCAGUUAUUGGCAUGGUUGCUAUUUUUUCAUAAGCAGUUCUAAAAUAGAACUCACAGCUAUUUUAGGAUUAAUCUAAAGUGUUUGCUUGCCAUUGCUGUCAUGUUUUUCUAAAAUUGCUAUAAAUAAAAUCUAGUGGUAUUAUCUUCAAACCUGAGAGAAUACUUUUGGAAGACUUAAAUAUUUAAAAACAAUUUUCAUCCUUAAUGUUUUUCUUUUCCUUUCCUCUUCCUCCCCUUCCCUUCUUUUUCCUUGCUUUCUUCCUUCUUUCCUUCCUCUGUCUCAUGGUGAUGGAGAUAGAAACGAGGUCCUCAAAUAUGUUAGGCAUAUGCUAUGCUAUUGAGCCACAUCCCAGUUCAUGUGCUUAACUUUAAAAAAAAAAUCGUCAUUAAAAUGAAAAAGAACAGUUUAAAAAAAAUUUAAACCUAGUCUCCUAUGAAAUCUUAUCAAAAGCUAAAAAUGUGUGAAGAACAGUGCUAUGUAACUUUCAAGUAUCGCUCUAAAAAUACUAUUGUGGCUUGCCAUGGUAAUACAUUCCUAUAAUCCCAACGACUCAGGAAGUCUGAAGUAGGAGGGUUGCAAAUUCAAGGCCAACCUCAGCAAUUUAGUGAGACUCUGUCCAAAAAUAAAAGGACUGGGGCCUGGCUCAGUGGUAAAGGACCUCAGGGUUCAAUUCCCAGUAUAUUUAAAUAAGUGUGUGUGUGUGUACACACACACACACACACACACACACACACACACAUAUAUAUAUAUAUUGCAUUGUCAAAUUACUUGGAUUAUAUUUGUAUAAAAUAUAUGCUACAUAUAUUUAUGUAAAUGUACUAUUAUGGCCCACAUAUUUAAACACUUAGGCCCACAUAUUUAAACACUGAUUUGAGGCAGCUGAGUUAAAUGGUGGUUUAUGACUUUUUGAAAAUUAUUUUCAUUGGUCAGACAAGAAAUAACUUAAAUAAACUCACUCCCAACUUUGUUGUCCCAGCAUACCAGGCUGUGUUCAUUUUCUAUCUUCCUUUCCAUUUCCUUCUCAUGCUUACAUGCCUUUUCCAUUAAUUAAUUCAGUGAUGAAGUCUGCCAUGUUUGCCUCAUAUUUUAAUGUUUGCCUCAUGGUGGUAACAGUGUGAAGUCCAUUAUCACUAUAAUGCGAAUGCAUAUUUAUUCUGUUUAUAUUUAAUAAUAAGGCAUUAGUUCAAGUUAGAAAUCUGACAGGAACUUCAGUUAAUCAGAUAUAACCUGUUGUGUAAUAUAGAAUGCAGUAGAUCAUUGGCAUCUUUAAGGCUGGAAUGUAAAUCUCCUCGCCUACCAACACCUAUUGUGCAAUGACUCUUCCAGGAUCCCAGUCACUUCAUUAUAGAACUAGCAGGUCAGUAAAAUAACGCAUUCUAGAUCUGCUGGACUGUAUCCAUCUGAAUUUUCAGUACUGCUUAGAUAUGUAUUAGCCAAAUAAUCAGAAAAAUAUAUGGUUCUUUGUUUAACCAAUCUUUGGUUAGAUUUAAGUUAUCUUAAACUAUCUGAAAACUAGGGAUUGCUUAUAAAUUUAUCAGUUUUAUCAAUUGUUCAGUUUAUUUACAGUUAGGCGUAUUUCCUGAAAUAAGAAAAAGUAAUGUAUUAUCUGAGUGUAUUACUUUAUGCAGUAAUUUUAAAUAUGUAGUAGUGGGAAGCAUAGGAACAGAGAAUGUUUACAGUUGAGAGAUGUGGUAUUUUGUCCCAACUCUAUCACUUACUAGCUCUGUGUUCUUGGGCAGGUUAUUUACCUUAUGUCCUAGCCUCUAUUUCUAUGGUAAUGAUGCAUACAUGUAUGUCAUCUUGCAUAGAACCUGACAUGGGGCAGAUACUCAAUAGAAGUAGUUCUAGUACUUAUAGUUAUUAUCUUUAAUAUUAAUUAAAAUUUGUACAAUUAAUUACAUUGUCAGUAAUAAGAGUUUUAAAUGAUUGAGGGCUAAUGAUAUAGAUCAAAUCAGAUGCUUAUGAAUUCUAUAAUGUUUGAAAGUUAUAUAUGAGAGUAUUAACAUCUAAAAUUAAAGAAAAUGAGAAGAUAAUUUGUCUAGAUUCUGUUCUGCCAGUUAACAUAUAACUUUUCUUUCAACAGGCUCAGCACUAUGUAGCUACAACCUAAAGCCUUCUGAAUAUACUACAUCUUCAAAAUCAUCUGUUCUUUGCCCCAAACUUCCAGUUCCAGCGAGGUAAAUUUUAUUGCAAAGUUGUUAACUUGUGACUUGUUUUUAUAGGUAAAUUUCACAUUGUAUGUGUUAUUCUGAGAAAGGAGUUACUUUGAUAACUUGUUCCAUUACUUUUACAACAAAAUUUUAGAAAUAGGAAAAGAUAUAAAAACAUGUAUUUAUCUUUAGAAAAAUGCACACCCAAACAACUUUUCUAGUUCUGUUAUUUUACAUUUCUUUAGAACCUUACUUUUUUUUAAAAUUUUCGUACCAUAAUUUUCAAAUACACAAAACUGCUGAAUCAUUCUCAAAUUUGCAACAGACUUAGAAACCAAGUCUCACAGUCUCCAGAGAUCCUUCGAGGUUAAUCCUAGUAUUACUUCCUGGGAUUGCUUUUUAAUUUACUUUGUAAAUUUAAAAAGCAUGCCAGUGACUAUUCUCCAUACAUUGUUUGAAGUUAUAUCCUUUACAUACGUUCACUGUAUUAGGCUGUUUGCCACGCCUUAUUCAAUAAACAUUUAUUAUUAAGUACCUGCCACAUGUGAUGGAUAUAACAGUGAUCUCACAGUAGUUAAAGUGAAAGUAAAUUUUUAAAUUUAAAGUAGAUGUAAAAAAAAAAAAUUCUCAAGCAUUGUAGACUAUAUCCCCAGAAUUAUGUAUGUACGUUUAUGGAGGUAUAUACAUGUAUGUGUAUAUACACAUAUGUGAACACUUGCAAGUAUGUCUGAUGUUGAGAACCAUAAUGUGAACUGCUGACAGAAUGGCAUGAGAAAACUUCUCUGGGGGGAAACUGACUCUAAGCCACCUUUAUUAUAUCUUAAUAUAUUAUAGGGAACAACUGAGUAAAAAAUUUUGAGAUUUGAAACAUGAAAGCAGAUCAUGUCUACAUUUUUUAGGAAUAUUUAUGGCUAUAACUUGUGCUUUAUUAACUUGAAUUUGAAAUUUUCUGUUAGUAGGAAAGGGAUGUAUCAGUUAAAUUGAUUUCUAGCUCUUUUAGUCUUGUGAAGUUGCUAUUGAAAAUCAAAAUUUAUAGCCUAUAGAUAUAAAAGUAAAGGGACUAUUUUAAGAGAUACUCAGUAAAAGGAACCUAAAAAUUAUGGCCUUAAAGUGACAGGUAAGGAGGUCGAACUCAUAAAAAUUAAGGAUAUGAGGAAGGCUGCCGCAGUGAAGCAAAGGAGAUCCUUUAAAUACAGUUACUGGAGAACAUUUAUUGAUAUAAAAAUAAGAAAAGCCCUAUACACUUAUCUACCUAAUUGCUACAGUUUGUUUUAUCUGUACUUUAAGUAUAGAGUCUUUCUUUCAAGACCAAAACACACUGAGGUAGAAUAAUCAGAAAUCCUGGAUAUGGAAAGAAGGUUGUUCUGCUCCUGGAUCAUUGUGGGAGGGCCAGGAUGGGUGGCUGGGCUCAUACUGCAAAUCCUCCCCCACUUGGAUCUCUGACUCCCCUGUGUUGAGCACUGACUGUUCCUGGUUAUUUCAGAUAUCCCAGUCCUGACUACCCACACACUUCUCACAAUAUCCUCUAGACAUUUACUAGAAGGCAAAGGAUGGUAUCAGGGGUGUUAAGUUUAUAGCUGGAUGGACCUGGCUUCUAACAGGGUCAUUAUGUACCUCACUAAUCUAAGACAAAAUGCUGAACCUGUACUAUCUGCAAACUCACUCCCACUGUGUUCAAAGAUCCUUAUGUUUUACUUAGUACAGUACCUCCCAGUCGAAGUAUCUUAGCACUUUUGUCUGAACUAAGCUUGUUGGAAAGUAAAACAGAAGGAAGACAAAUAGAAGCUUGUAAAUAUAAAAGUUAUUUAGCAUUUGGCAAACAAAGUGAAAGGAUGAGAGAACAAGAUAAAUUUGUUUUAAUAAAAAAAAAAAAUUGGAGACACUACCCCAUUCUCACAUAGCAUUAAGCCACCAAGUCUCCAAAAAUGAGUAAGACCAGAACUCUGACCUUCAAUUCACAGUCUAGUAAUGACUGCAUUUUUGUUAACAUUUUCUAACACCAGGCAAAACUGGUAAGUAGCCCUCAGCAUCUUUCACAUCUCACACAGGAACUUGAACUUUGAGUCUAGAUCAGUAUGGCGGUGAAUAUCACAUCACCAUUUUCUAUUUGUCAUCUCAAACAAGACUCAACCUCUCUAAAAAACCAAGGUUUCUUGUGUGUGAAAUGGGAAUAUUCAUACUUGUUCUAUAGAGUUGAGACUCAAUAAGAUAAUAUACAUAUCUAUUAUUGUGCUUGGCACUUAGCUUAGGAAGUAUCAUUUCUCUCAACUUCCAGAGCCAGCAAUAGCUGGUUUAGAGAACACAACCAUAAACUAAUUUGCAAUGAAAUUCUAAUGAGGCAUAAUAAUCAAAAAAUUAUCAUUCCUAAGAGCAGAUGCCUAGAUAGACCAAUAUUUUAUCCAGAUUCAUAACUCUUUAUUGGUGAAAUGCCAAGCAUGGUAGCAAUAUGAACAAUAGCUAUCCUGUUUAUUUGUGAUGCUAACUGUUGCAAUGCUAACUGUUGCCCACAACCAGAGAAAAACAGCAGAAAUAGAAACAGAGUACAUAAAUUCAGUUUAUUCAUCAUUAGAGUACCUCUGGAUGCCAGAAAGGUUACGAGAUACUAGGGAAUUAAUAAUAUGAUAUGGAAGCGAAAAAUUGACACUCAAGAAAAAAUGUUUUUUCAUAUUUUUAAGUAGAAGAUUCAAGAGUAAGUUAAUAUUUACAAAUCAUCUACUAUGUGCCAGCUAAUAUACUUUCACUAAUAUACUUUCACAUGCAUUAUUUAAUUUAACCCUCACAAAAGCCUUUACAGAUACUGCCCCUAAUUUAUAGAUAAGGAAAUGGAAGAUGAGGCCAAAGCCACUUUUUUUGUUGUUGUUGUUGCUGUAAAUCAGAGUUUGAAUUCAGGAUCUUGUAGCAUCUAUACCAUAGUUAAGUGUGUUUUUUUUUAAAAUUUAUUUUUUAUUUUUUAAGGAGUAGAGGAGUGAAGGAAGGGAAAAAAACAAACAAAAUAGAAAUGUAUGAAAAAUCACUGUUUACUGCCAUUAAAUUCUUAUCUUCUUGACUUAUUUACUUCCUGCCUUUUGUAUUCUAUUAUAGGGAUCUUAAUGGAACCCUUUAUUGGUAUUAUUUCUUAAAUAAAACUUUUAGCUAGAAACCAUGGGUGAUUGCUUAUUUUUAGCCUGAGAUUCUAAAAUAAUUAUAUGAGGUACAACUCCUACCUUCUUUUGUGAAGCAUAUGGACAAGAAAUAGUAGACACUCUUUGUCCUUAUACUUUAGGGAGUUGAUUAUCUGUGAUAAUCUGGUCUUAAAGGCAAAUGGAUGGUAUAUUUGCCACUGUAAGAUACAAUUUGCCCAUGAUGGUUAAUUUUUAAAAAUCUUUAAAAGAUUCAGUAUGAAUUCAUUUUGUUCUUGUUGACUCAUGUUUUAAUAAUGUGAAACAACAUCAGUUCCUAAUGGGACUACAUUGACUUCUUAAACAUUCAAUAGUCUGUGCCUUUGAAAGGUAGAAAAACUUACUGUAAAUAGAAUACUUUAUGCUUUUCCUCUUAAUUAAGAAGCACAAAAUGUGUCAUUUAGGUUAGACUCUAAAGUAGAAAUGAUCUCAAGCACUAAGUUCUCAGCACUAUUAUUUCCUCAGAGGUCCAUGGUAUGAGCUAAUUCAUCUUAAAUUCAUUAAAUCAAAUGGGAUUUAAAUGGUAAAAUAUAAGAGAGACAUUUCAAUGCCAUGAUUACUCACUUUUUUUUUUUUAAUAAGAAAAUAAAUCCAGGGACUGAGGGUGUAGUUCAGUGGUAGCAUAUAUAAGGCCCUGGGUUCAGUUGCCAGCACAGAAAAAAAAAAAAGAAGAAAAAGAAAAAAAUUCUUGUUUCAAAAUCCCAUGGCCUGUAGAGUUGUUUCUUUUUUGGGAAGAAGUGGGAAAAAGAAUGACAAGGGAAUCUGCUGCUUUUUAGCUAAGCAUUUAAUUUUCUUUUUGAACAAUGUGUUCAUAUAUUCUCUUUUAUUUACCUUCAAUUUCUGUUAUUCGUUAGGACUAAGAGCAGAUUUUUACUAUAAAAUAAACAAAGCAGUUAAUCAGCUUGUGCUAAUUUUAUAUCUUUAAACUUAGAGCCGUCAGAUUGAAUUUUAGAGUCAAAGAUUAUUGUUAUUUUGCCCCAAUUCUUUGAAGGAUACUUAAAAAAGCACUCUUUCCAAAAGGUCAAGAGUUUAUAUACAUUUUUAAAAUGACUCAAAAGGAUAAGUUCUGGGCAGAUGUUACUCACCAUUUCCUCCUAAAGGAAAAGAAUUAGGAUUUUGAGAAUGCAGUCCUUCCCUUUCAAAUCAAGGAUCUUCAUCCUGAGUUUGAAAGGCAGAAUAUACUGGCUCUGCUGCUCCUAUAUACUUUUAGAGUCAUUGAUUUGUAGGUGGUCUCUUUUAUGGUGAUGAUCUGAAGAGACUUACAGAGUCCUUACUCCUACCCUUUUAGCAAGCAAAUGGACAAAUGAAGAAGAAAUGGAGUAACACACAGCUCUGCAGUGUUAGGAGAAGGUGGGCUUUUACAGUUAUCUGACAGGAAAAAGGAAAUGAGUGAGUAGGACCAAGAAAAUUAGUGGCAUUGUCAACAAGAAAUAGACAGCAAUAUCCUUAAGGUAGACAUAUUUUAUAUUUGGGGUUGAAGGCAGGUGAGUGAAGCAGAGGCUUCAUCAGAGAUGAUAAGGUAAUAUAGACCGAUGAAGAUUUAGAUAAUUAUGGAGCAGAGAAGAGUUUAGUUUUGAAGAGAGAGACAUGCUUUAAUUAAAAAUAGGGUUAGAGAAGUUCUUAAAGGUGUUAACUUUGCAGAGACAACAUCAGAAAAGAAAGUCGUGUUACAACAAAGUUGUCAGUAAAGACUUCUACCCCAAAUCAGCCUCCAUUAACUGAGAAAUUUAGGGUCCUUUUUGAUUCUUCUAAUUUAAUAUCUUUUUACAUCAUUAGCAAAACAACUUUUGAUCAAAAGACAAUGACUUACCUGCCUGUAAAUCAAACAUUAUACAGAAUGGUCUGGCUUCCUGCAGUUUUUAAUAAAAAGUCAAAUCUUUGGCAUUAACUUUCACUAACACCAUUUUGGAGCUACUCACAAAUCCACAGUCAAGGACAUGAGAUAAUAAAUGAAUAAAUCACAUUGUUACAUCAUCAUUUUUGGAUACAUUUUACUGAAGCAUAACUAAAAUAAGGCUAAAUCUUUCAGUUAUUUUGUUUCAUGAGUAUAAAAGCAUAAGAUAUUUCUUAUUCUUACUACUGGUGGUGCUCACUGUCAUUUAAGAAAAAACGAUAGGUAGUUAUUCUCAUUCUUAUUUGAAAAAUUUUUUUUUAUUUGAGGGAGGAAAGAAACUGUUUUGUUUCAGGUCAGACAAAGUUGUUUUGCUGAGAUUGGAAACCUUGGAAUUUGGUAUCCAACCACAUAAUCAUAUCCACUAAUGGACCCAAAUACAGUGCCAGCCAAGAACGAGAACACAGUUACAUCAUUCUAAUAAAAAAUCUUAUGUCAGACCUGCCAGGGCUAGUUCUAUGAACAAUUCAAAAACUGUGGUUUCAUAUUAAUUAUGGCUGCAUUUUAACUUAAUUCACCCACUAAUGCAUAUCUGUGCACAGACAAUGUACGGGUUCUGUUAGAAUCUUGACAAGUCACAAUGAAGGUGUAUCUAUAGUCCUUUGUUUAAAAUUCUCUCACUGAUUAGAUGUGUAUUGUCCUCUCAGAAGUUGAAGCAGAACCAUGUUAUUACAAACCAGAUUUAUGUCACAGCUCAUGCACAGUUGUUUCUUUACAAGUCAAAGCUGUAGUCCAUGUAAGCUUGGAUUAAAUGUUAACUGAUUAAAUAAUUGGUUGUUUUCACAGUUUUUUGAACACAUAUAAUCUUGAAUUAUUAGUUACAUAUAAAAAGAAAAUAAAAUGGCACAGAAUUCCAGAUGUGUCAGAUAUUUUUCACUUUUAUAAUAUUAUUUUUCUUAUCCCAUUUUUAUUAACUUCAUAACUCUUUUAUGGAGUGAUAUCAUUGUCACUUUAGAUAUAAUUUCCCUUUUGUAUUAUUAAAUUAUAAGCAUUUCUAUACAUUAGCUCCCACUGUUAUUGUUUUGAGUAGCUGCAUAUUAUGCUGUAUGUUGAUAUGUUGGCAUGACUUUGUUUAUAUAAGAGUUACUGAGGGGCCUGGGACUUGGGCUGUAGCUCAAUGGUAGAGUGCUUGCCUAGCACGGUUGAGGCACUGGGUUCAAUCCUCAGCACCACAUAAAAAGUAAAUAAAUAAAAAUAAAGUUAUAAAAAUUAUAUUUAAAAAAGAGUUACUGUGUGCCCUGAACACUUUUAUUAAUCUGAAAUUUUAUAAUGCUAUUUUGUUAGAGAAGACAUUCUAUUAAUGGUGGCACAUUUCAAGUACAAGCAUGUGUGUUUUUUACUUUUAAAUUGCUUAUGGCCAAAAUUCAUUUUCAGUUCAAUGAAAUAUAUGUCUGUAAGCUUUGUCAUCUGCCUCUUGACUGGUAGAUGAGGAGUUUUAAGUGGUUUUGCUUCUGGUAGCUCUGUGUGUGUAUGUGUAUGUGUGCGUUUCUUUUCAGAAGGGGAGGGUAAUGUCUUCUGUUGGAACAUGCACUCCACCCUCUUUGAUAAGGCUUGUGGUAAGAUUGCUUCACUACCCAUAACAGUCAUCUUCAUAGCAUUAAGCACAUAGCUCUUAGCACCCAUAAUGAUGUGUGGAGGGUGGAGUGUAUUGCAGCCAUAUUCACCUUUCAUUUGUGUGUUUGAUGUGGCAUUUAUAUUAAGUAGGAGUAAUUUUUUUUCUGAUUUUUUUUUUCUUGUGUCACCAGUGCACCUAUUCCAUUCUUCCAUCGCUGUGCUCCUGUGAACAUUUCCUGCUAUGCCAAGUUUGCAGAGGCCCUGAUCACCUUUGUCAGUGACAAUAGUGUCUUACACAGGCUGAUUAGUGGAGUAAUGACCAGCAAAGAAAUUAUAUUGGGACUUUGCUUGUUAUCACUAGGUAAUUGUUUUUCUCAUUAUUAGCUAUUGCAUAAUACUGCAGUAGAAGACUGUUCUUUUAGCCAAAAUAUGAAUACAACUGGGGAUACUUGUAAAAUGUUUCACUUCCCAUAAUCAAAAUAAUUGUUUCAGAUUAUAUAUAAUUAUAAACAUGUACAUAAAACUAUGUAUACAUGUAUAUAUAUAUCUGAAACUUAUUUCCCUUUUUUUCUUUCUUUGGGGAAAACUUAUUUUUCCAAACUUCGGUGACUCAGUCUAUGACUACCUUUAAUAUGAUAGCAGGAGGCUUCUUUUAAUGAAUCAACAACCCUAUGUUUUUGGUUAUGAUUCUAAAAGGUCUAUUUAUUUAUAAAGAGGCCACCUGUUCUCUUAUAUAUUUACAUCUAAGAAUAUAGAUUUCUUACUUUUGAAGUAUGUGAUUUACUUUUCAUUGCUACAGCUCAUAGUAUCAUUAUUGCUGGAAAAACUAGGAAAUCUCCACUCGUUAGCCACUGAGUUUCUAUCAAUAAAUAGAUAAUAUAAUUAACUAAAAAUUUCAUUUUCAAGGUGAAAGCUCACUAUAUUAGUCUAGAACUAUAUGAGGGCGUAUUGGAGUUUAUAGACCUUAAUAGUUGAGAGAAAUAACUGGUAGGAACCAACUGUUUCAUUAUGUAAGUUAAAUUAGUAUUGAUGCCUGUUAAUAACAAUGGUCACUGAGAAGACAAAUUAUAUUUCCUUCUUCCCUGUCAUUAGAGAGUUUUUCUUUUUGCUUAGGUAGUACUUGACUCAAUUGUAAUAAUGCUUUCCAUAUGAAAAUCUAAUUCUGUGGUAUUUGAAGGGCUCCCAUCUGUAUUUCGUUCCUGUAUAUUUAUUACAAAAGUGAGUACCUUAAUAAUAGUUCUAGACAGAGAUCCUAACCAUUUAUUUGGGUUUACAAAUGGCCCAAAGAAGCUUGACAAUUAGUGUAACUUUAUGUAAAAAAUACCUGGUUUCUAAAACAACUGAAUUCAUAAAACCAAAAGUAAAAUCCGAAUCUUAAAAAUAGUGACAAUAAUAUUGUGAAGCAUCAGAAUUCCAUUUUUUAUUAGAAUGAUUAUCUUUGGAGACUUAAUAACAUCAUAUAAACCCAAAAUACCUUUGCUCAUUUGUUUGUAGAUCAUUAAAGAUAUACAAAUUAUUAUUUCAGAAAUAUAUUUCCUUUUCAAGGGUUAAAUCAUCCCUUUCUUUUUUGAGAAUUCUACCUAUGAUUUUAGCACAUUGGGAGUUUGGGACAGAUAAAGGGGUUGGCUAAGUGACUCAAACUAAACUUUGCUCAUUUUUGAGGACAGACUUUUAAUCAGUUGAGAAAUGAGGUCAGAGGGAUUUUGGUCUCAUUAGUCUUCAGGAUAUUAUCCUGUAGGGUCAUACUCUCCCUUGGAGCUCUGGAGUUAAAGAUAAAAUGCCAGAUAAAGAUAAAAUGCCAUGUAGUAUUAACUGACCAUCAGAGAAGUUGGUCCUAAAAUGCACACAUCACUCAAGGCAGUAUAGCACUAACUUAACUGAUUUCUGUCUACAUGUGAUAAUUUUUCUUGUCACCAACAUGACAUGUCAUUCUCUACACUUUGUCUGCUGGCAUGUAUGUCUGCAUGUCUGAUGUUUUCCUCCUGGUGAGUCCACAACAGUCUUGUGCUGUUUUUGAGUCACCAAUUGCAUUUGCAUGAAUUCUUUUCUGUAGUUUAUAAACCCACACAGUUAGGUGCCUUUGGUUUCAAAUGAUGCUAUUUAAGUGGUACAAGUAGCAAAAUCAAAAUGCAAGAGCAGCCAGUUUCCUUUCUUACCUAAAUUGUGGUCAUGAAGUAGUCAAUAGCUACAGAUUAUUUCCCUGGGGUGGGGGGGAACAACAAUUAAAAAGCCUUCUCUUUAUAUUCUAUGUUGUCAAGUAAUAUUCUGCAUGUUCUCUAUUUAUCUUUCCUGCAGUUCUAUCCAUGAUUUUGAUGGUGAUAAUCAGGUAUAUAUCAAGAGUACUUGUGUGGAUCUUAACAAUUCUGGUCAUACUGGGGUCACUUGGUAAGUUAUUUAUUUUAUUGUUUUCAUGGUACCUCACUAAUUCCAUGAUAGCAAAUGGAAAUAUAAAGAAAAAAAUAGAAAUUUUAUUUCUACAGGCUAUAUCUUCUUAAAGCUUUUUUUUUUUUUUUUUUGCCUUAAGAAUUUCAUAACUAUCAGGGGUUGGGGGGCUGGGGUUGUGGCUCAGUGGUAGACCGCUUGCUUUGCACGUGUGAAGCACUGGGUUUGAUCCUCAGCACCACAUAAAAAUAAAUAAACAAAAUAAAGAUAUCUACAACUAAAAAAAUUUUUUUUAAAGAAUUUCAUAACUAUAUUCCCCUCUUUUUCACUGCUGUUACCAUUUGAAGUCUAGAACUUUCUCCUAUGUAUGUAUGUAUAGGUAGAUAUAAAUGUGUAUACACACACACACACACACACACACACAUCAUUUAGGUAAAACUUUUUAGCUGAACAUGAAACUCGAACUUUUAGUAAAAAUAUCUGCCCUCAUUUACAUUUAUAAUCCUAACUGCUAUCUUUGGUUUUACUGUUGUCAUCUGUUUUAUGUUUUACUGAAAUUUAUGCUUUCUUAUUUUGUUUUUUCCAUCUUUGCUAUAUGACUGUAUUUUCUCUGAUUAACUUCACCCUUGCUUUGGGUGAUAUGUUUUAUAUUUUUAUAUUUUUUCUUCUAUGAUUGGUAACAUGUGCUUUCAGAAAAAUACUAUGUAAUCAAGAAAUCUAUGAUUACUAAAGGCUAAAAUGUCACAUGUUGAGUUUUUCCCUGCCUUUUUAAAAUUUAACAUAAACUUUUCUUCCUUGUAUCCCCUACUCCCUUCUACUUAUGCCUACUUUUUAGCCUUGUCAAGUAAUCUGAGCUUUUGUAUUCAAGUUAUUAUUACAGUUAAAAUAUUAUUUUCACCAUUUUUAUCUUAAAAAAUUGUUUACAUUUGCAUUGAAAAGUUUCAGAAAUAUAUUCAUAUUUAAGUCUUCCUGGACUAGUUUUAGGAACUACUGGUCCUGUUUGCAUACACCUUAAUUCUUGGAUUCUUAACUUUUAAUUCAUCUUUAUAUUGACUGGAAUUCAAGUAAUCUAUUUAUGGAGGACUUGUGGGCUAUGUAUGUUCUCAGUUCUUGUUUCUUUAAGAUUGCCUUUUCCUUCACAUGUGAAUUUUGAGUUUGUUUGGUGUAAAAUUCUUCAGGCACAAUAUUGUAUCUGUACUUUUAUUUCAGAAACGAACUCAGAGACCAGUCUAAUUUUUUUUCCUUUACUCAUUGCAGGCUUCACCUACCUAGAUGUUUAUUUGAUUUUAAUGUAGCCUUAUAAUUUAAAGAUGGUUCUGAUCCUGGAUCUCAAGAUUAUCCAUAAUCUUUUGGGGGAGGAUCUUUUUCCAAUCUGAAAUUUUUUCUUCAUCUCUAUAUUUGAUUACCAUUUUUGUUUCAGUGUCUUUUUUCUUAAAGUAGUUGUUAUUCUUCAACUAUUGUCUUCCAUAUUAUCAUUUCAAUGUUUUUAUCAUAUUCUUUUAUAUUCAGGAGAGUUCUUCAAGUUUGUUUUCACAUUACUGACUUAGUUUUCCACAUUAUCAGUUCUGUCCCUGGCUUCCUACAAUGAGGAUCUGAAUUUUGUUGUCCCAGUUUUGUUGUAUUUGUAGUUCUUCCAUCUCUACCACAUUUGUUUUCAUUUCUGUUUAUAGCUGUAGUAUCUAAUUCUGUGUUUACAUGAACAGGUUUUAUAAUAAAUCUUAAUUUUGAAUCAUAACUCUGCCAUUUCCUACAUACGUAACAUUUGGCACAUUAUUUAACUUUACUAGAUUUCAGUUUCAUCAUUUGUAGACUUAAUAAUAACUACUUAACAGUACUGUGGUUAAAUAAGGUGAUAGCCAUAAAGUGAUUAGCUCACAUUAUAGCACCAAUCUAAGCAUUUGGUGAACAUCCCCAUGGCUGUAGUGAUCAACGUCCCCAUCCUCCUUGACAUAAUCAUCAUUAUCUCAUCUGUUUUCCUUGAACUUCAGCUUUCCCCAUAACUUUUUAUUUCAGUUUAUAGAGAACACAUUUCCUUCCAUUUUUUGAAUAUGUUACAUAGUUUUCCAAACAAUUUUCUUGAAUCUGCAGGAUUUCAGACAGGAAGAAAUUUUUUUCACAGACUCCUAAUUGUUUUGAAUUCUUUAUAUCUUCGACAGAAGAAAAGUUCAUGCUUGGUAUUUGUCAACAGGACAUGGGUUUUCCCUUUGACCUAUUAAUUAUUUAUGUAAAUCCAGAUGCAGGAAGGUCGAUGUGCAUGGAGCUUAGCCCAGUUUUUUUGUAUCUCCUUGGCAUUUAUCUUAUCCAAUGUAAGCUCACAGCUCUGCACUAAAUCUUCCUUCCUAAUUGUGGCCUACAAGGCCUUUCAGGGUGGUACAGUUCUCUGCCACCUCUUUGCCCACACCUCUAGCACUUUCCCCCUUGCUCACUGCAGAUGUCACAGUGGUCUCCUCCUUUCUCUAUACUAGCCAUGGUCCCACCUCAGAGUCCUAGAACUUUGCCUGUCACAUUUUUUCCUUAGAUAAGUUCAUAGAUUGUGCUCUCUCUCUCUCCUCAGGCUUUCAAUUCUCUUACACAGACAUCACCUUCCAGUGAGACCUUGCUUACCAGUGUUAUAUAAAAUUGCAAUGCCCUCCCAACACAAGCACUAUCCUUCUUACCAAAUUUUUUCCCUUAGACUCAAUAUACUGUGUUAUCACUUGUUUCCUUAUGUUUUGUUUCCCUGUUACUAUAUAAGCUCAUGAGCAAUGAGAGUGGAGACUUGGUUUUAUUUACUCCUCCAUCCCCAGAUAGAACAGUAAGUGCUUUAGGCUCUCAAAAUAUCUGCUGAAUGGAUUGAAUGAUGGUAUAUAAUUCAGCUUUCUUAUAUAGAGUUGGGCUUGCCUCCCCCUUCAGUCUGGUUCUCUGAACUAUGAGACAGCAUUGGAGAUGAAAUAAAUACUUAUCCCUGACUCCCACUGCUAUCAGAUAUUUCCUGUUUUUGCCUUUAUCCUUGGUAGGAACUAUUCCUUUGAUCUUCAUUUAUUCAUUGUGCAAACAUUGACACAGAAUCAGUGGUAUGACUAUGUAUCUAUCGGCACUAGGCACGAGGGUUACUAUUUACUUUCAGAGGUACCUGUUAACUGGCUGUCUCUCAGCUUCAAAGUCAAUGAUAAAUAUAUGUGGAGUUAGUUUAUUUGAUACACUGAAAGAUUUGUAAAUGCUUAAUGUGAAAGACAAUCAUGGAAUAAUUGGUAUUUCCCUAAAGCUGGCAAAAAGUGAGAGCCAUAUACUUCCCUGUUUAAUGAUUUGCCAUAGCAUCAGUGCCAUGAUGAUAUGCAGGAAAGGUCCAGAAUAUUGAGGAUUUAUGUCACAGAUUUUCUUUUGCUCAUUAUUGCAAAAACAAUUUUUUUUUUUCUCCAGGUGGCACAGGUGUACUAUGGUGGCUGUAUGCAAAACAAAAAAGGUCUCCCAAAGAAACUGUUAUUCCUGAACAGCUUCAGAUAGCUGAAGACAAUCUUCGGGCACUCCUCAUCUACGCCAUUUCAGCUACAGUGUUCACCGUGAGUACAGGCUCAGGUGUAUCUUUCAGUUCUGUUUUUAAUAGCAGGUGAUCAUCAAUGAAGCAGAAACUCACCUCUAGCCUUUGCAGUCCUAACCCUGAUUGCCAUUAGAUGAAACUUUUGUCCCACAGUAUACAAAAUGCUUUCAAGUCUGCCGGAGGCUUCCUUAAUUAACGAAUGCUCUUUUGAUCAACAUUUUGCUCUAUCCUGUCUGCUUUUUGAGAGAUUUCCACUUGGAAUUUUUACAUUAUCACUUACUAAGAAUAUAUUUAUUAUAGUCAUAAUAUACUUUCUAAAAACCAAUUCUCUUAAUGGUGUAAUAGUAUGUUGAGAAAUAUAUCACUAUUUACUUGUUCAUGAAUUAUUUUCCCAUUUUUUUCCUUUCAAACCUAUCUUUUAAUGAUGUAUAUUAUAUCAAAAAUAUAGGUGAGAUUCACUGCUCAGGUGUUACAUAGUAAAAUUAUAAAUUAUCAUGUGGUUAAAUAAUCUGUCUUGUAUCUUUAGUUCACUGUUAUCUCCUUUCUGAAGAAAGGGGUGGGGGCAAUCUAUCCAUUUCUAGGAGCAAUCCCAAGCAUUUUAUGAGCAUCAAAAAAAAUAAAUAAAUAAAGCCACCAUAGAACUGUUGUACCAAAAGAUAACUUUGUAAUCAUGAGUUAAGUACAGUUCUGUAUGCGAGCUACUAGGGGUAGGGAUAGGAGGGGAGGGAGGCAAAGGGUGAAUCUGCUGGGACUCCACUUUUAUGGAACUCUUGGUCCAGUAACAGACAUGAGAUACAAAUAAAUAUCUCCCAGACUUUUAGGGUGAUGGCAUAUUGUCCUCUCACCCUUUUUCAGAGUGACAAGAAUAUACCUAUUCAAAUGAAGAGUCUCAUCUUGACUGAUAAAUAAACCCAUUUUGAUGGUAAUGAAGGGUAAAGGGAAAGGUAGAGGAACUCUUGGCUUUAAUAAAUUGAGAAACUUCCUAUGGUUAGCUUUAAAGGACACUUUGUAACCAUAAUACAAUUGAGAACCAUUACAACUUCAAAAAGAGAUCCCAAUUUAAAGUGUUCUUGGGAUUCAGAAAAUGAUACUUCCAGGUUUAGGAUUAAUGAUACUCCCAGGGUUAAACUAAACAUUUCUACCACUUUCCAUUUGUUUCCACUGCAAAAUAGUAACUGGACCUUUCCCUCCCUUCUUCCCAUUCAGGUUAUCUUGUUCCUGAUAAUGCUGGUUAUGCGGAAACGUGUUGCUCUCACCAUCGCCUUGUUCCACGUGGCUGGCAAGGUCUUCAUUCACCUGCCCCUACUGGUCUUCCAGCCCUUUUGGACUUUCUUUGCUCUUGUCUUGUUUUGGGCAUACUGGAUCAUGACACUUCUUUUUCUUGGCACCACUGGUAAGAAGAUGUGUUGCUUCUUUCUCUUAGAGAUAAAUCUAAUUUGCAUUCAAAUAUUCUAAAACAUCAGAUUGAGAUGGGGGUGUAGCUCAGUGAUGGAGCAUUUUCCUUGCCUGUGUCCAGCCCUGGGGAUUCAAUCCCCAGCAAAACACACACACACACACACACACACACAAAAUCAGAGAGAGGACUAUUUGUAAGUUUGCUGUUAAAGGUCCAAUAACCAAUAGCAGUGGUAUAGGUCUUCAGUAAUCUACUUCUUAUUUGUGGUUUUUAGAGCAUACUAGCAGUGUGGGUCUAGACCAGGUAAAGUAUAAAAUUGCAGCUUAGUUUUAAGAUGCUCAAGGAUUUGAAGUGAGUUCCAUACUGGCUUAGCUAUCUGGAUCCAUUCUGAAACAAAUUAAUGAGUGUAGCACCUCUCUAGAGUUGCUUAAAAGCCCAGUUAGUGCCAAAGACCAACUUGCUCUUUGAGAUUUCCAACUUUGGAAAUAUCCUGAAUCUAACUAGGGCUCCUGCAGAUGAUACGGUUCAUAGUUAGACUCUCCGACUUACUGGUAGCUUUAUUUAAUAUCAAAGGCUAAACCUACAAAGAAUUAAUUAUGAGGAGCAGUGUGGGGAUAAUAAACUUGUGUGCAACUUCUCUUUUCAUUCACCACAAGGAAUAUAAUCUUAAUUUCUAAACAGUUAAUAAUUUAGAUCUAUAACUACUAUAAAAGUCCUAGCUCUGAUAACAUUUGAAGUGUUUGAAAAUUCAUGCCUAAAUAACAGAUAAUGUAAUAAAUAACAACUAUAUUCAAAUAGAACAACUUUGAAAAGCUUUAUAUGAUACCUUUGAGGAAAUCAAAAUGCUUAAUUAUGUGUUUAAUUUCACAUAAUUAACCCUUUUAAAGGAUCGUUACUUUUGUCUCUUAAUGAAAUAGCAGUAGAAGCAUGAAGUUUGUGGAUUACGGGUAGGGAUCUAUUGUUGGAAAUGAGAUAAACUUAUAUUUAAUAGCCACAUUUUUUGGUUUGUACUUUAUAUGCCGCCUUUUUCCUUCCUUGACAUUUUCCCAGGCAGUGCUGUUCAGAACGAACAAGGCUUUGUGGAGUUCAGAAUUUCUGGGCCUCUGCAGUACAUGUGGUGGUACCAUGUGGUGGGCCUGAUUUGGAUCAGUGAAUUUAUUCUAGCAUGUCAGCAAAUGACUGUGGCAGGAGCUGUGGUGACAUACUAUUUUACUAGGUGAGAAUUUGUGCUUGGAAAACUUGGGUUCACCUAAGUGCUCAUGUCUGCGGUGGGGAGGAAAAGGGAACAGGGCUACUUUCACUUCUUUAAAAAAAGUAACUGGAAAUGAAUAUGACAGUGUUGUAGCUGAUAAUUCUGGGAGGUAGGAAAGUAGAAGGCUAUUAUUUUAUUUUUUACCCUUUUCUAUAAUUGUCUCUUUAUCAGAAUAGCAGGUCAGGAUAUAAUUUAGUUUAAAAAAAAGUGAACUUUGUAAUAAUACCAAAUGUACUUUUGUUUUAUAUAAAUGUCCACCAAAGGACUUGUAAUUUGUUUGAGUCAGAAGUGUUGUGAGUCCCCUUUGCUGACUUCAGAGCUGAGUAUUAAAGCUAUAAUCUUCACAGUUUUUUAUUAAAAUGAGGUACCAGAUCUAUGUUAAACAUCUUUUUAAAUUCCAUUUUCUUAUUAUAUAAUUAACUCCUUCAGAAUUCAUUAAUAAAAGCUUUGAAAGCAUAGUUUUAUUUAACUUAAAGUCAUAGAGCAUAAGAACCACAUGAAACUAGCAUAGGGAAAUGAAACAUUAAUUUUACGUGAUGUAUCCAUAGCAUUUGCAUUAGGAAAAUAUUACUUUGCCAUUUUGUCAUAAAGCUGGAAUAAGAAUAAUGAACUGACUUUUCACUGCAUUGAGCUUCAAACCAUGCUUGUGUUUUCACCCUGGUCUGAGCCUUGUUUUAAUUAUUUUUUUGGUCAUUAAAAUAGGGAUAAAAGGAACUUGCCAUUUACACCUAUUCUGGCAUCAGUGAAUCGCCUUAUCCGUUAUCACCUGGGUACUGUGGCAAAAGGAUCUUUCAUUAUUACACUAGUCAAAAUUCCACGAAUGAUCCUUAUGUACAUUCACAGUCAGCUGAAAGGAAAGGUAAGGGGAAAAUGUUUUUUCUAUGGGGAUGUGCCGCACUUAACCUCUCCAGUUAAAGCACCCAGCAAUGCUAAAAGUUGUGUGUGACUGUUUUCUUCAGAGUCUUCACACAGUGGAAUCUAGUUCUUCCUCCUUGUUUCCCUUCAUGCACUCUGUAUGCUCUGGCAGAAUUCAUCAAAUCACUGGUCAUCAAGCGCAUCCUGUGCUUCUCUUGUGUUGACUCAUUCACUUUCCUCCUUAGAUCUUCUUCCCUAUCCGUUUUUUUGUUUUUUUUUGGUACCAGAUAUUGAAUUCAGGGGCACUCAACCACUGAGCCACAUCCCCAGCCAUAUUUUGUAUUUUAUUUAGAGACAGGGUCUCACUGAGUUGCUUAGCACCUUGCUUUUGCUGAAGCUGGCUUUGAACUUAUGACCUUCCUGCCUCAGCCUCCUAAGCCACUGGGAUGACAAGUGUACAACACCGUGCCUGGCUCCCAGCCCUUUGAUUUGUUUGUUUGUUUGUUAGUUUGUUUUUGAGAUAGUAUCUUGCUAAAUUGUUUAAGAUAUUGACAAGUUACUGAGGCUGGCUUCGAACUUGGAAUUCUCCUGACUCAGCCUUCCAAGCCACCAGGAUUACAGGUCCUGUUUUUCUUUUUAAUUUUUUUAUGAGGUGUAUAGUGUGAUCCUUUGAUACAUUUAUACAUUGUGUAAUAUGCAUGUCCAUGUGUUCAGCAUAUUUGUCACCUCAUAUGUUUAUUGUGUAGUAAGAACUUUCAAAAUCAUCUCUUCUAGCUGUUUUGAAAUAUCCCAUAUGAUAUUGUUAACUAUAGUCUCCCUGCUAUAUAGUAGAACACUAGGAGCUGGUCCUUCUAUCCAACAGUAACUUUACACCUACUGAUCAACUCUACUAGAAGGAAACAGGAGAUGCCCAUGACAUUGGUUUCUGGGCAAGAAUUUGUUAGAUAAGGCCCCAAAAGCAAAAAUUAACAAAUGGGAUUACCACAAACUACAAAAGCUUCUGCACAGCAAAGGAAACACAAUAGAAUGAAGAGACAGUCUACAGAAUAGAAUGAAAUAUUUGCAAACUAUACAUCUGACAAUGGGUUAAUAUCCAGAAUAUAUAAGGAAUUCCCUGUCAUUAACUGAGAAAAUAGCAUGCAAUUCAACAUAGUUUUGCUCAAAUGCUACCUCUCCCUGGAAACCUUUCCUGAUUCUCUCCAUCUCCCAUGCAAUAUUCAUAUUCCACCCCCCCCCUCUUCAUUUUCCACUGUAACACUUAGUAUUUUUACCAUAUUCUGUUUCUAACCUUAUAUGCUUAGUGUUUUCUUCUCCUGGUAGAUUGUAAGUCCCUGGUAGCUUUCCAUACCUCACUGUAUCAUAUAUGCAAUGAGGACUACAAGAAUGUUGAAUUAAUUAAAAACAAUUCAGCCAUUCUGUUUUCAAGAAGAUAAGGGUAGAUGUGGAGGUUUUGAAGUUAAUUUGUAAUUCUUAAAUUUUAUUUACAUUUAUUUUUCUAACAUUUGAAGUCUUCUAUAUGAUGGUUUGGUUGUUUUAUUUUUUUAAUUAUUUCACUUUUUUCCCUCUGUCCAGGAAAAUGCUUGUGCACGAUGUAUACUGAAGUCUUGCAUUUGUUGCCUUUGGUGUCUUGAAAAGUGCCUAAAUUAUUUAAAUCAGGUAAAAUAUUUUAAAUCUUUCACUUUCAAAAGUAGAUUGUUGUUUCUGCUCCCAAGAUUAAAUGAUUGAGCUUAACUGAAAGAUGUUGUUUUUUUGUGGUAUUAUAUUGUACAUGUUACUUGAUCAAAUAUAGACAUACUUGAAUCCUGUUCUUCUUUUUUACAUUACUAUGUGUUCUUACCAGGUUCAUUAUUAUAUUAAUCUUAAUUUCAUUUAUGAAUAAAAUGUCAUUAAGGUUUUUUUCUGAGACAUUUAUCUCUUAACAAUUCACAUGCUUUUUAAAUAUUAUCUAAGAAUCUUUACUCUGUCAUUCUUGAAUUAUUUUAAAUGUUGUUUGAAAGCUUUAGUUUAGUGUAAAGCUAUUGAGGCAUUUGUUUCUUUUUUGCAAUUAUCUACUAUCAUUCAAAACCAGUGUGUUGUCUGUUGCUCCUUUUUUUUUUUUUUUUGGUUCCAACUGCUAAGCACUGUGAUGUUUACCAGAGAAAUAUUAUCAAAGAAGUGCUGUUUCUAAGGUUGAGUGGAAUUGAUACAUAUGGGACACUUAUAGUUCUUGGGAGAGUAGGUUGACUCUCUGUCAUUCUAUAUUUGAGCAUGUAGGAUUAGCUGUGGAAUACUCCCCUUUCCCUCCCUCCCUGUCUCUCUCUCUCUGUCUCUUUCCCAUUCCCUAAAAAUCAAUUCUAAUGUAUUGAUGCCCUCAUCUAAUAAGCCAAAGACAAAAUUGACUUUCUCACCAUUUACCUCUAAUGAUUGAUUUUCCCACCACUUAGCUCUAGCAUUGCACUUUCUAUUCACUCCAGGAUAGCUGAAAGGAUGCCAAUCCUGGAGCCCUGGUAUUGAGCAUGCCUGGACUUUGCUUUAUUGGGCUGUAUGGUUAAUACAAGAACAUAGGUAUGACAUUUUAUUAGCAAAAUACAUAUUUUCUAUGGAUAAACAAGAGUUUGGAAUCUCAUUUUAAAAUAAUAGUAACACCCAUAACAACCUGAAAAAUUAUUCUUUGAAGUUUGGUUUGAGGCCAAGUUAUCCUUAUCAAAAAGUUGAUAGAUUCACUAAAAAUCAUCAUCACUACAUUUUAUAUCUGUCUUACCCUCAGAGAGGCCAAUUCCUGCCUCCUUGGCUCAGUUCCUACUACCUUUCCCAGGCACCCUUUGCUUUCGCAGUUUCCCAGAUGUGCCUGGAAUGAAUUCCUUCCAACAGCUGAUCAGCUCCUACUGAGCUUUAAUGACUAUGCCUGAGCAACACCUCCAAGAAGCUUUCCCUCAUCACCCAGCCCCUCCACAGCUUCCAAGACACCAGUUCAACCCCAUGAAAAUACUGGGAAAUUAGAAUUAUCUGUUCCUUCUUUAUUGUCACUUUAGACUUUCAUCUCCUUAAAGGCAGGAAUCUUAUUUUUUUAUCUUCCCAGAAGCUAACACAGUUCCUGGUACACAGUUCCUGGUCUUUGUUUUCUGAAUGAAUUAUGAGUUUUACUAGUGAAUAUUUGGUUUCAAAAAGACUAACAGGGUGACACAAAACUACAAAUAAGAAUCUCAAAAGGAGAUAUGCAGUUAUACUGAAGGAAGGAAACGUAACAUCAAGCUAAUCAGUAACCAGAUAGAUAAAAGAAUUUAGAGUUUCCAGCAUAUCUCUAAGCUAAAGGUUAGUCGCUGACUUAGUACUGAAGUCUUAUGAGGCUGGUCUUUCUUGUACCAGUUUUGUCCAUUUUGGAUCUUCAUUUUGUAGGUAUGAUGUUUGAGGUUUGAAAGGAAGCAUUGAAAUAGUAAUCAAACAAUGAUUUAGGGAGAAUUCCGAACUCUUAGUAGUUCUUUUGGGGAACAUGAAAUACUACAGUGUGGGGACUGCUCAUAAGAAAGGUUUCAUUCAAAAUGUGGUCAAUAUAUUAGAAAACUUCCUGCCACAACAGGUUGAGAGCAUAGAAAUGAGUUGCCCAUAGAAUGUUUUAAACCACCUUUCUAUGAAAUGUUUCCCAGCUAGGUGAGCAUCCACCAGCUAACUUUAUUAAGUGUUUGCCGUGUGCCGGGUUCUGUGCCUUAUGCUCCACAUGCAGCAUCUCCCGUUUAGAAUUCUGUUUUGUUUUUGGAAGAUGAGUAAUGAUGAGUUAAUGUCCCUUCAUGUUUCCUCCUGUCCUCUCUUUUGCUGUGUCUUCUGAGGCUUUCAGAAGGCUUGAGCGGGUGAAAAUCCAGACACAUGCAAGGCCUAGUUGAGGUAAUAUCAUGGACGAAACAGGCAGAGAUCUAAGAUAAUGGAGUUGGCUAGAGACCGUGGUUAAUUGGAGAGCUCAUGUUCCCUCUGAGGUAGACAAUCAAUGCACCAGUCUCACAGACUGCGGCAAUGUGAGAAUUUAUAGACAAUUUAUUUCUUUUCUAAUAUUUUUAGAAUUCCAAAAGUCUAUGUUUUGCCUCCUGCUAUUAAAAUGUUGAUAAAAAACAAACUGAGGGCACCAGAGUAAAUAGAUGUUAGGGCUACACAAUAUGUGUUAUCCAGGGGCCACCAGUUCGCUGCCACUGCUUUAGAGAGUUUACAGGAUAGUCGUAGAGAAGAGUGUUGAUAGGCCUUUUGUUGUUUAUAAUAAAGGUGCUAGAUUUUGCAAACACAGAGUGAACUGUGAACUGCUCUUUGUUCUGCAGGUGCAUAAUAUGACACAAAAGUGAUGAUAUAUCUAGUCUAACAGAAUUCACUUUAGGUAGAGAGAUUGUUACAACCAUAAUGUGUUUUUUUCUGGGCAUUGGAUCACGCAGGCCUUGUUUUAUUUUGCCAUUUGUAGAUAGUACCUUCAACAUUGGAGGGUAUCUAUUCUCUCACUUAUGAGCUCUUAAUUUUAUAAAGCUUUUCUCUACAUAGUGUAGAGCAGGAGUUACAGAGAAUGUGUUUUUAGUAGACUGCAUACCUGGUGCUACACUAAAUACUUUAUAAUACAUUAUCAAUUUCCACAACUCUGUGAGGCAGGCAUUAUUUCCUUUAUCAUACAUGGGAAAAUUAAAACAGGCAUCUUGUAACAGAUCACAUGACCUAGAGGUAGAGGAAGUUUCAAAUCCAAGUUUGCAGUUCUUUCCUUUAUGUCACACUGCCUUCCACCUUUAUGCACCUUUAUGUAUACACACACACACACACACACACACAAGUUCAGCAUAGAGAAUAUCCAAACUUUCAUCAAUUUUCAUAUCAAAUUUUCAUGUUUCAAACUGAGACAAGUAAUGAAUUUAAAGAACAUUUAAUUAAGGUUUGUAUUUUAGUUAGCUUUUUCAUCACUGUGACCAAAAGACCUGAUAAGAACCAUUUAGGAAAAGAAAAGUUAAUUUUGGCUCACAAUUUCAGAGGUUCAGUUCAUCAUCAGCUGACUCCAUAGCUCUGGGCACAAGGUGAGGUAGAACAUCAUGGCGGAAGGGUGUAGUAGAAGAGCGCUGGUCAGUUUAUGACAGCUGGGAAGCAGAGAGAGCUCCACUCACCAGAGACAAAAUAUAAACCCCAAAGGCGUGCCACUCCCCCAACCUACUUCCUUUAGCCACACCCUAUCAACUACAGUUACCACCAGUUAAUCCUUAUCAGUGCAUUAAUCCACUGAUCAGGUUACACCUGUAAUCAUCUAAUCAUUUCACCUUUGAAAAUUCUUGCAUUUUCUCACACAUGAGCUUUUGGGAGAAUACCUCAUAUCUAUAAGUGAUAACAUACUUUUGGCAACAUACUUUUAAUUCUCAUGAUCUUUAAAAAGGUCUAAGAACUUUUUUAAAGUCUAAGAAUUUGAACAAAACUUUUAUUAAACCCUUUGGUGUGGGCUUGCUGUCAUACCCUAUUUCAGUCCAUUUGGGCUCCAGUAACAAAAUAUCGUGAACUAAAUAUUUUGUCUACAACAGAAACAUGUUCCUCACAGGUUGAGAAACUGAGAAGUCUAAGAUCAGGGCAGUGGCUGAUUUGGUGCCCUAUGAGACCAAUUUCCUGGUUCAUAUAUUCCACCUUCUGGCUGUGUCCACACAUCGUGGAAGAAACAAGACAGCUCUCUAAGGCCUCUUUUCUGAGGGUGUUAAUCCCAUUGGUUCACCUUUACCUUCCAGUGCCAUCACUUUGAUGAUUAGGUUUCAACUUAUGAAGAGUUUAGGGGAGAGCUCAGGUGUUCAGACCAUAACAUGGCCCUCCAUCCCUGGUUCCAAAUAAGAAAGGAAUGUUUGUAGUUCACUUUCCUCAAUUUAUAAGAAUCCACAUAGGAGUUGCCCAUAUUGUAUUCUCCUUUUCUUACCACUGCUGUCCAACUUUCCCCUCUAAAGGGAGUCAUUAUGUAAGUAUUUUAAACUUUAAGAGAGUUUCUGUGUCCUUCAGUGAUGAAAGAAAAGGUGUGGAAAUUGUGCUCUGGGACAGGUGUCCAAUAGUCUUGAUUAUCUGCAUGGAGACCCUUUGCCUCAACAAUUUUUUCCACAAAACCAUAACUUUUCCUCUAAACUUUGUCAUGCAAAAAUACUACCAGGGGUCACUGGGGAUCAUGCAUUCUUUUUAAAAAGAUUCCUGGAUGAUGGUCAUCCUUUAUCUCACUUCUGGGAUUUGGGUGAUCUCAAGCCUGAGUGCUGCCUGAGAAGAUCUUUGGUGUGGGCUAAAUGUUGAGCUGAUGCUUCUCAGGAGCAGUUUAGCUCAGGUUAAGGAAGGCUGCUGAGAAAAUAGGUGGACUAUCAAAAAAUAGUCUGCAGAAAGCUCAGAGAACAGUUAUCAGGGAAAACCACUCAGAACUUCUUGAGAACCUUAGCCUGAACCCUUUUAGACUAGGAGGUAUAGAAACAGAGAAAUUUCUUUGUCCUGCUUGUGAUCUGUAGCACAUUUUUCUUCCUGAAGAGAUCAUCUUGACUUUUGUGUAUUUCACACAGCUCAUCUUCCUGCCCUGGGAGUAAGUGAAAGAACUAGCAAAAUAAUUACUGACUUUUUUUUCAGUUAGGUGGUGCACAGAAUGGCAGAAUUAAUGCCAAUAUGGUUAAAUUCCUGUAAGAGUAUCCUACCCUGGAACUUGCGGGUAGAGAAAAGGCAUUAUGGAAGCUUCCUUCCUGUCUACAAAUAAAUAGGCUUCUGCUCCAAAAACAGAUAGGAUUCAGCAGGAUGCGGGGGAAAGAAAGAAGCAAAGGGAAGAAUAAUAAUUCUCAGAUGAACUCAGAACCUUUUAUAGUUUAGUUAGAAAGGGUUAGGCCCCCUGCUGAAGUCAGCUGGCCAGAGAUAAGAGGAGAGAGAAUGGGGGUGCCUGUAUCUUCUUUUGCUUCUGUCUCCAGUUUCCAGGAGGCUCUUGGUGAACCUGGAAAGGGUAAACAGCACAAUGAGAAUGGGUUGUUCCUCAUUUGGAGUUUGGUUUAAAUAGGUCAUCCCAUUUCCUUGAGUCUGGACAUAAUGAUACUUUUAAUAUUAGGAAGUAUCUCAGAAUCGAUAUAAAUAGUAAAUAUGAUAGGGUAUUUUCUGCCUGAAAACCUGUUAUUAAUAACUGGUUCAUUAGUCCUAUGGAAAAUAAGGAGUUGACAUCCCUGAUCAUUAAAGAGCUCUGUCAGUUAAAUUGUUAAACUAAAGAAUUACUGUGGAAGAUGCUAAAAGACUGGAUGUUGUGGAGGAAGUUAUUUAAACCUGAAAUGAGCACAUGUGGUUUGUAUUUUUAAAAGGAUAAGAAGGUGGUCCCACUGUAAAUGAGAUUGAUAUUGAUCUUUGGUAGAACAGAGGUCAGCAGAUUUUUCUCUGUGAAGGACCAGAAAGUAAAUACUGUGGCUUUAUGGGCCACAUGGCCUCUCACAUCUGCUCAGUUUUGCCUUUGUAGCCUGAAAGCAAGCAUCAAGAGCAUGUAAACAAAUGAGCGGGCCUGUGAUCUAGGAAAACUGUAUUUACAAAAGCAGUCAGCAGGCCAGAUAUGGCCCGCAGGUGGUGGUUUGACCAUCCCUGCUCCAGAAUAAAUUGGUAAAUGGGUAUUUUUGUGAGUACUUAGGAAACUAGUGAGAGCUGGGAACUGUUCUGUGUUCUUUGAGAAUAGGUCUGGCUAGGGCAGUUCUUCUUCAGCGUUUUUUUUUCAGCAGGGUUACUGUUACACAAGAUCAAAAGUAUAGUUUAUUUUUACAUCACUGAGGCAUUUUGCAGAAUGUUUCAAAAGAAGUUUUUGUACCAGUUGGAAAAAAUGUGGAGCACUGAAGUUUUAUGUAGUUAACUGUUUGUUCCCUCCUAUCUAUAAAAGAAGCACUGGCAGAUGACAAUACAAAGGAGUAAGCAGUGAAUGAAUGCUAACAGAAAAGCUUGAUAGUAUGAUUUCUUAAAAAUAGUUUAUAUGUUAGCUUUUCAAAUAAAAAGACCUAGAAAUGUAAUAUAGUAACAUUCUGAUAGUAAAUUACCCUAAUUUAUACAAUUACACUGUGAUUCUCAAAGAAGGCUAUAAUUUUCUACUGUUCAAUUUCUGAAAAAAAAAAAGUUUAAGGACCACAGUUAGUGACCUGUUCAGUACGGUUCUCUUCACUUGGCUCUGAAAUGUAUUUCAUUUUUCAUCAGCGAAUUUUAUCAUCUAAUGGCAAAUUAAAUUUUUAACAACCAAAACAUCUUCAUACAGGUUCAUAAUAACUAACAAGCAUACAAUUAGAAUACUCAUAAGUUAAAGACUUUGUCUUCCAAGAUUCAGUAUUAAAAGUUUAAUAGGCAGCACAGUAUGAAAUAAACCCUCAAGUCUAGCAGUUUCCCAUCAAUUACAAUAGUUUGCCCAUACUAAUCAUUUAAGUCAGCACUAACCCAAAAAUUCCUCAGGACCAAAAGUUUUAAUCACUAAGUCCAUAUACUCUCUCUUCUGAAGACUCAGAUGGAUUUGAGGUAGUGGUACUUCUUUACAUUUUCCAGAAAUUAGCAAUGCAAUUCUACUUUCAGAAAAUAAAAUGUCUUGCAAUAAAAAUAAGAGUCUGUAACCAGUGGUUCAAAUAGACAAGGGCUACAGAAGCAAGUGUAAUUAAUGAAAGUUUGUCAAUUGGGACUUGGUAUUCUACAAGACAGAAUGCCCAUCUCAAUCUAGCCUAAGCAAGGGAAUGAUAUUAUUAUUAUUAUUAUUGUUAUUAUUAUUACUAUUAUUGUUGUUUUUCAGCAGCAGCAAUAUAUUAGCUUCUAUACUCAAAAAGUCCAGAAAGCUGGCUAGUUUCCCAGCUUUCUGGGGGAUGCAAAUACUGUCACCAGAUUCAAGUACCCAGAUUCUCUGCUCUUGACUUCAGCCUCAGUUUCACACUGUGACCUCCAAUAGCUUUUCCUGUUAGUUGGCAAAACAACUAUGCCCAUUAUACUUCACCCCUUUCAGGCAACCCAUGCCUGUGGAGGUGAAAGGAACCCUCUUUUUCCCAGAAGUCUCAGGGACCAUCUUUUUUACCUCAUUGACUCUGACUACUUAUGUAAUGACAGUCUGACAUUUGGCCAGGUGGGCAGAGCACACUGAUUGGCUCAUAUCAGUGACCACCCAUGCUCUGAGCUGGAGAGGGAGUCAACCCCACUUAGACUCAUCAGGAAGGGCUAUUUUCUCAAAUGAGGUCUGGGGUCCUGUUCCCAGGAUGGAGAGGAGUAUAAAGUGUCAGGCAUGAAAUAGCUGUCUACUGUAGGGCCAUGAGAAGCAAGAGUAUAGAGGAAAGCCACCAAGGAGAAGACGAUGGGUAUUCUGGAUAAAACCACACACUGAUCUGAUGCUCGUACUUACCGCUGCCAUUUAUAAAGCAUCACUGAAAUGGUUUAAGUGUGUCACUGAUAUUCAUAAUCAUGAACCUGAGACAUCUAGGAAAGAUUAAAUUAUGUUUGAUUUACUAAGAUGGGGAAGAGGUUAAUGGAUGUUAGAAAGGUUUGUGUAUGUUUUAAUAAAUAACUUUUUAAAGGGCCGAAACUAAGCUAACUGGAAAGCUCUUUUUAUCACAUCAGGUGUUUUUCCCCAGUGUUUCAUAUUUCUUUGUGCUCAGUCUCAAUUUGUACCUCAUGGAUUUGACUCCAAAGUACUCUUAAAAGCUGUGUUUUAACUAUGCAAGGUUUAUGUCUUUAAAAAGUCAGUUUAUUAUUGAAAUACUGUGUUUUCUUUUGUCCAGAAUGCUUAUACAGCCACAGCUAUCAACAGCACCAACUUCUGCACCUCAGCAAAGGACGCCUUUGUCAUUCUGGUGGAGAACGCUUUGCGAGUGGCUGCCAUCAACACAGUGGGAGACUUCAUGCUAUUCCUAGGCAAGGUAAGACCAAGUGUAUUGUCUGAGUAAACUUUUUACAAAAAUGUGCCUUUUAGUUUAAAAAUUCCCUACCUCCCCCACAAAAAAACUAACCCAACUAAAAGUACUUAAACCAAAGCAUGCACUUACAAAGUCUUUAAUAUGCAUCAGAUACUUUUCUAUGUCCUUUACAUGUAUUAUGUUUAUUUAAUCCUCACAACAAAUUUAUGUUCUAAGUACUGUUAUUCUUGUUGGGGGGACAGAGACACAGUGAGGCUAAGUAUCUUGCCUUACAUAUUUUGUGUGUCACCUUACAUAUUUUAAACAAUAUAGAAUUCAGAAACAGUGGAUUAAGGGUAGCACUCCAUCUGGAGCCCAACUUCCAGGCUUUCAGUCUUCACUCUGUCACUUACUAGCUGUUUGACUUGAGGCAAUGACAUAACCUCUCUGUGCCUCAGUUUGCCCAUUUGUAAAAUUAGGAUGAUAAUAGAGCCCAACUCCUAGAGUUGUGAAGAUUAGACUGGUUCAUACACAUAGAGUGUCUAGGACACUGCUUGACACAUUGUACAUUUUUAGUGAAUUUUAGCAGUUUUCCAUGACUGUUAGCUAUUGCUGUUGUUACUGUAUAUAAACCCUUUUAAAAUUGAACUGUUAGGGAAUAAGGCUUCUACUUUCCUUAUAAGUGUCUAAGAAGAGAAAAUUUAUUCCAUACUAUUAAAAUCUGCAAAAUAAUAAAUAGCAUUCAUUAUAAUUCAAUUUCAUUGUAGCUAUUAUUUCCAACCAUAAAAUAGAAAAUUUUUGAAAAAAAAUGAGGAAAGAAUAAGACUUGCAACAUCUCCACCAUAAUCUGCUGACUCUUACCUUACCAUUUCUGUAUAUCACCUCCAGUGUUACUUCAUGGGCUUUCGUCCUACAGUACAAAAAUCAUAACAUACAUAUCUGUCUGUCCUACCCUUUUUACUACACAGUGUAUCAUAUACAUUUUCUAGCUUGCGUUGAUAAUCUUCCUAGUUCCUCAUUAUCAUUAUGGUCCAUAUUCCAUCAAAUGCUCUUUUUAAACCAUCUCUUACUAAUGAACACUGAGGUCACUCCAGCUACUGCAUUUUUAAAAUUUUUUUUGAAAUAAAAAAAAAUCUUUGGUAUGGAAAACCAAAGCACUGUGUAGUGUGAAGUGAGUAGGAUUGCAGGCAACUUUCCUCUGAAAAGAAGAAGAAAUGACAGAUAAUUAUUUUUGAAAAUUUGUGAUUAAAUUUAUAUUAUAGCCAAUUUGUUCUUAUUGUGUUUUUACGUGGAAGAAAAUUUUUACAGUAAAGAUAGAAUGAAUUAAUCUGAGUUAAGAAUUGGGAACAUCUGACACUGUUACUGUUAUUGUUUAUGUGCUUUCUGUUUAAUUCAGAAAGGCUUCAGAUUCUUUAUUUUUAAACAUAUUUAUAAUCUGUCUCUAGAGCUAAGAAGGAGAUGAAGCAAAAUAGAAUAAAAAACAUGUAUGUACGUGGCAUUUUUUUUUUUUUAAGAGAAAAACCAUUAAGAAGGAAAGGGAGAAUAUUCUAGUAAGUGGCAAUACCAGUGAUGGUGGUGAUUUUCAUAAGCUCUGAUUGAGGCGCUUCCAGCCACUAGGCACUGAGCGAGGAGCUUUAAUGAACGCAGCACUGGCCCUCCCUGUGAGACGGGCUUCAUUUUAUAGCAGAGGAAACCAAAGUUCAGAGACAGAAUUAAAUUGGCCAGAUUUAGAGAACUGGGACAUGGCAGAACCAGAGUCCACUCAGGUUUGUCUGACUUCCGAGAUUAAUCACUGUGUGCUAUAAUUGCCUCAGCAGACAUUAAAUUUGCCCUCAAACCUUCCCCCCAACACUUUUCUUUUUCUUUCUUCUUUUUAGUCAAUAAUUUUGAUAGUGGUAAACUACCCCAGAAAGUAAUUCUAAAUAUUUAAAAAAGGGUAAAAAAAGGUGUUAUAUAUAAUAGUAUAAGAGUGACCAAUUGUAAAUAAUCUGAAGCCUAAUAGUAGGGAAUUGGUUAGGUAUAAUAGUCUGAUGGCUGUUAUUCACCUAUUAAGCCAUGUUUCAUUAUGAGUUUGUAGUAUGAAGAAGAAGUGCCUAUAAUAUAGUAAGUGAAAAAAACUGAGUAAAAUUAUAGUAAGACUAUCACAGUACUGUUUAAAAAUGUGUACAAGGGGCUAGAGUUGUGGCUCACUGGUAGAGCACUCACAUAGCAUGUAUGAGGCAUUGGGUUUGAUUCUCAGCACUGCAUAUAAAUAAAUAAAAAUAAAGGUCCACCAACAACUUAAAAAAAUAAAACCUAAAAGUCUUUAAAAAAGAAAAUGUGUAUAAGGACUGGAGAUAUAGUUCAUACCUAGCAUGCAUGAGGCCCUGGAUUUGAUCCCUAGCAAAACCCUCCCCCCCCAAAAAAAUAGUUAAUUAAUUAAAAUUAAAAUAUGCAUAAGAAAAAUAAUGAAAAUUAAUAUCACAAAUGUUAACAACAACUACCUUUGGAAAUAAGGAUAACUCAAGCCCCUUCCCUUAUUUUACCACAUUGAGUGUGCAUUCUUUUUAUAAUGAAAAAAUAUAGAAGAUAAAAUAUAAUGUUUUAAAGUUGCCUUUGAGUUUUUCAAUAGUCUAUUACUUGUUGGUCAGAAUUUUUCCUAUAGAUUUUUAAUAUCCUUUUAUUCAUUCAACAAUAUUAAGUGUUUACUAGUAAAUGCUAUGGGCUAUUCUGGGUGCCAAUUAUAUAUUAGUCAAUAAAUUUGAUUUAAAACUUGUGGAAAAGGAAAUUAUAUUCUUGCUUUCACUUGGUAUUGUAUUUGAACAUUUUCUGUUAUACUGAAAUUUUUCUAACCAUAGUUGUACAUCUAUUGUUUCAUUUAUUUAAUCUAUCCUCUGGUUUGUUUUGCAGCUAAAAUGUUCCUAAUAUUUUACUAAUAUACACUGCAGUGAAACAUCCUUGCCCACAUCAAUUCUGGCUUCUUUGAAUCAUAAAAUCCUACAGUUGGAAUUAAUUGGAGUUCUUGGCAUGCAUUGCUAAAUUGCUUUCCAGAAAGAUAUAAACAUGAUAUUAAUAACAUCAUUGAAAAGGACUUUAAAAACCAUUAAAGAUUAAUUUUUAUUUAAAAAAAAUCCAAAAAGAAGAAAACUAAAAGGAAAAAAAUACCUUCUGGUUUCUAACAUACUAAGAUAAGAUUAUUUAGUUUUCCCUUUUUUAGGAAUAUACUUCUGAUUAUAGAAUCCAGUAAAUCUUAUGAAAAGAGUUUCUUUUAUUACAGUUGAAUGGCUGCUAGUGUGCAGAAGUAUUUUCUGAGCAGGAAGCCAUAGUGAACAUUAUAAAAGAUAAAUGCCAGGAGCCUCACUAUUGAUACUUACAGCAACUUGAAUGAAUCUUGAGAGAAUUAGGCUAAGUGAAAAAAAAAUCCAAUUCCCAAAGAUUAAUACUGUAUGAUUCCAUUUGUGUAACAUAUUGAAAUGACAACAUUGUGAGAAUGGAUCUGUGUUCGUCCACAAUAGGGAUAGCUGUAAAAGGGCAGAGAGCAGGAUCCCUGUGAUGCUGUGGGUAUUCAAUCUGUAUCUUGACUGUGUCAGCCUCAGUAUUGGUGGUGAUAUUGAAGGGAACUGGGUGAGUCAUACAUGGAAUCACUCUGUUACUUCUUACAGUGGCAGUUGGAUUCACCAUUACCUUAAAACUUAAAAUCCAAUUUUAAAAACUUUAAAAUCCAAAACAGAACAAAAAAGUAAUGUCAUAGGUUCCAUUUCUAUGGAGCACCAAUGAUUUUUAUGGAAGAGUGAAUUAGAUUUAGAAGAAACCAUAGGUCCUCUAGGUUUGCAUAAGAAAAGAAAUUUAUAAGCUCUUAAAUAUUUCUAAAUCCAAAAAUAUAUUGAUAUUUGCCCCCAGUAAAGCUAUCCCUCCAAAAAGACAAAAUGUCAUUUUCUUCUGUGUAAAAGUAUUUUACCUCUAUCUGGUAAAAUCUUUCCUCACAUUAAUUAUACCUUCUAAUUGACAAGUUACUUGACUUGGAUUAAUAAAAAUGAGAAUGUGGCCGGACACGGUGGCACACAUCUGUAAUCACAGCGGCUUAGGAGGCUAAGGCAGAAGGAUUGAGAGUUCAAAGCCAGCCUCAGCAACUUAGUGAGGCACUUACCAACUCAGCAAGAUCCUGUAUCUAAAUAAUUUUUUUUUUAAAGAGAGAGUGAGAGAGAGAGAAUUUUAAUAUUUAUUUUUUAGUAUUUGACGGACACAACAUCUUUGUUUGUAUGUGGUAAUGAGGAUCGAACCCAGGCCGCACGCAUGCCAGGCGAGCGCGCUACCGCUUGAGCCACAUCCCCAGCCCUAAAUAAAAUAUUUUAAAAAGGGGCUGGGGAAGUGGCUCAGUGGUUAAACACCCCUGGGUUCAAUCCCCGAUACCAAAAAAAAAGAGAGAAUAUGAAUUAUUACUUAUAGGUGCUAGUUUAUUGUAAACAAAAUGUUUCAAAAUACAGGUUCCAAGAUGAAAGAAUAUCAUAAAUAUAGGACUUAUGGUGGCAAAAAAAGAAAGGGAUGGAGGGACAAAUAUUGCCAGGCAUUGAGUUAAAUGCUGUUGUAAUCAUGGGAUAUGUAUAUUGUUGUCUCUUUUGAAGAUGGAAAAAUAGGAUCAGAAAGGUUAAAUGAACUUGCUUAAAGUCACAAAGUUAAAGUAAUAACUCAAAUAAUUCAAACCUACAUCUGUAAAACUCUAAAACUAGCAUCCUCUCUCCUUCCUGAUUCUUACACCCUACCCUGUAUUUGAAUCUCUUCUGCUGUAUCCCCAAUAACUUGUCCUCUAUAACAGGAGUACCUCAACUUUUAAAAUCACAUGCCCUAUUAGAUAACGAAUUUGAGCACAAUUCCCCAACACAUUUACCUUUAUUUAUUGGUGACAUGUACACAGCUCCUACUAAUUGGUGCAUUAUAAAGCAUACUAAAAAAGGAAAUUUUAAAUGUAUGAGAAAUAGAAAUAGAAGUUCCAGAUGAUUCUGUUGAAUACAUGUUAGAGCACAUGUACCCCAUCGUGGAGAUCACAGAUCUAGACCAGCAUUUCUUGAGAUAUAUGCUGUGUACCUUAUCAGUGCCUGAGAUAUUUUUCAAAUGCAUUUUGCUGGGCUUUAUUUCACAUUCAAUGAAUCAGACUCUUGGGUUCAGAGUCCAGAAAUCUGCAUUCCUAGCUUCUCUAUAGUUUGAGAACCAUUAUUAUAUCCUGCUUCAAUAAAUGCAUGACAUACAUUUCUUUGACUUUUUUACCUAACCAUCACUGGUUCUUGAAGUUGUUUCUCACAUGACAUAAUAUCCAGGCUUCAAUCUCAAUUUUUGUCUCAUCUACUUUGUUUGAGCCACACCUUCUUCCUAUAGUUGACUUUAGCAUUUCCAAUGUGGUUUGACUUUUAGGAGCAUCAUAAGGGCAUAAAGAACCCCAGCCCUCUAAUAGGGUAGAUAUAUAAAACUUAAAGACAGUAUAAGAAAUAACUUAUUCUAAAAUUGAAACCACAAGAGGGAACGCAAAUGAAUGUAAUUAACCAUCUGUGAAAACCACCCCAGAAAAUAAGCCACUGUAAGAGGUGAUUCAUAGGUAUAUUGCCGUCCCUCCCUGGUGGUCUAGUGGCUAGGAUUCAUAAGUAUAUUGCCAUAAAAAUGGUGGGAGGGGUCUUCCAAAACUUGGGCAAACCCAGAUUUGCCCCAUAAAAGUAUCUGAGAGGGAUUGAUUUAUAGUUGAACCAAUGUAUUUUCUAAUGCAUUAUAACUCAUGGUUGAGAUAACAGUGAAUGAGAGGUGCUUUUAUGUUGAUAAACAGAGGGAAUAUGUAGGAGUUUGCCUGUCCUAAGCACUAGGUAAGGAAAAGUGGCUGUGAGUCUAGAGUACUCCUUCAUUUCCUUUAUUUAGUGUGUGAUGCUAGGGUAAUUAAAGGGCUAAGGAAGUGUGUAUCUAGGAUUCAGUACAAUCCAUUACUAGUAUCCAAGUAUUUGCUAAGUUUUUAUCUAGAAAGAGCAGUGGUUGGCAUUUUAAGUCCUUUAUUGAAUGGAAUCUGUUCUUUUCCCUGCUCUGUGACCUUGCACACAUUGGCUAGAAUCUCUGAGCAUGUUUCACAAUCUACCAAGUGGGAUUGCUGUUUACCAUAAACUAUUAUUAAGUUAUUGGAAAGCUUAACUAAAAUGUAUUUAAAUAACCAUAAAACACUGAAAAUGUGAUGUAUAAAAUGAUGAAAUAUCAUAAUAGAGUUUUCUGACAAUAAACACAUUAGUUAUUUCUCUUAUUUUUCUAGCAUGGGUGUUUUUGGCAACCUUUUCUUCACAAUUCAAAUCUAAACUUCAUAGAAAGUUUUAAAAAUUUGCCACAUAUCUACAUAAAGUAAAAUACAAAACAGAGGAAAUUUUCUAAGAAUAGAGAUGUUUGUUACAGCAUCAUUUAUAUCUUAAAACAAUGUAAAUCUCAAACAAGAAGGAGAAUGAGUAAAUAAAUUUUAAAUCACCCAUAAGGUGAAAUUAUGUAGUGGAGUAUUUAUGAAGCACUUAUAAUGAUGCUAUAAAUAUUAAUGAAGAGCAUUUUGAUUUGUUUUUAUAAUAGGAUUUCAUAUAUGUAAGAAUACCAAGGAAAAAUACAUACCAAUACCAAUGUCAGUAGUUUUUUGCUGAGCGCUAAGAGUAUGUAUAAUUUUUUUAAAUAUGCAUAUAUUUAUCUUAAAAAUUGCCACAGAUUCUAAAGAAGGACCAGCAUAAUAUUUGGAAAAUUGUGUUUUCUUUACCGUAAACCAAAAUCAUUUAAAGUAUGAUUUUUAAAUUUGUAUUCUAUGAUGUAUAUAUAAAUAAAUGUACAACUGUGUAUAUGGGUAUUAUGAAUUAUUUUUUAAAACUUUUUUUUUAAAAGUUUUGUUUUUUAGUUGGACACAAUACCUUUUUUUAUUUUUGUGUGGUGCUAAGGAUCGAACCCAGCACCCUGCACAUAUUAGACGAGUGCUCUACCAUUGAGCCACAACCCCAGCCCCAAAUUACACUUUUUUACCUGAAGUUUGCUCCCAGUGCGCUCUAUCAAUGAGUUACAUUGCCAGCUCUUUUUAUUUUUUGAGAUGGGUUCUCACUAAAUUGCUGAAGCUGACUUCAAACUUGGGAUCCUCCUGCCUCAGCCUCCCAAGUGGCUGGGAUUACAGGCGUGCACCACCAUAUCCAGCUGUACUUCUUAAUCUGAGAUGGCAUGACCCUUUGCAACCAUCCUUUAUAACAGUAAAGAGAAUUUUAAGUUUGCAAGUGAUGAAGAAAUGGUGGUUUUCUACAAUAGAAUAUUAAGUGUGCUCUUUGCUGUCUCUGCUUCAGGUGCUGAUAGUCUGCAGCACAGGUUUGGCUGGGAUUAUGCUGCUCAACUACCAGCAGGAUUACACAGUAUGGGUGCUGCCUCUGAUCAUCGUCUGCCUCUUUGCUUUCCUAGUCGCUCAUUGCUUCCUGUCCAUUUAUGAAAUGGUAGUGGAUGUAUUAUUCUUGUGUUUUGCCAUUGAUACAAAAUACAAUGAUGGGAGUCCUGGCAGAGAAUUCUAUAUGGAUAAAGUGCUGAUGGUAAGUACUUCAAAAAUGCCCUCUGCUGCUGGAGGAACAGAAAUACUAAUAAAAAUAUUUUGCAAAUCAUUCUCCAUAUUUAAUUCCCACUAUAUGCAACAGAAUAAUUCAGAAUUAAAUCCGUAGCACUCACUCAUGAAUGAGACUAUGCAUGAAGAAAUCAGGGAAGAAGUCCUUCCUGGCACAAAGAUCAUUUCAGAUCCACCCAGCUGAGCCAUACUCAUUAGUGGUCCUAAAUACACACUGUCCUAGACUCUGAUGCUACUCUCUGAAGUUAGACAGAUUUGAAUGGACUUUUAAAUUUGCCUUGUAGCCCUUGAAUUAGAACACUGGGCCACUGCUGUUCUAAGUACCUUUUCCUGAAAUGGGGCUUAAGGACAAAAAUGUCUUAUUUGCUAGUACCUGUCCUUCACCAGUCACCACCUUUCGAAAUGCUAUUGCUGUCAACCCUAGUUAAAAGUCAUUGCCCUAAAAAUACUAGUCUAAACUGAGGGCAUUUCUUAAUGAAUACAGACAACUGACUUGUGAUCAAUAUGUUGUUUUGUAUUUUCAUAUUAGUCUACAUCUGAAUCUUUACACAGAUACUUUAUUCAGAUGUUUUUUACAGUUAGGUAACCUCUGUAGAUCCCCUAAACUAAAUUCUGAAUUAAUUCCAUGUUAAAAUGGUUUAAGUACUAUUUUCUUCAGUGUUAAAUGAUACAAGAUUAAAGGUAUUUUUUAAUAAUGAGGUGAAAUAUUCCUUUCUCCAAAAUAGGUAAUAUUAAAAAGAAAAUACUAAAAUAAUAACUUAUUUUCCAAGAGCAUGAUUUGCCCAGUUAAAUUGAAAAUAAGUAUAUUAAUAAAUGAACUAGAUUUGUUUCAAUAGCAAAAAUCCAAAUGCUUUAGCUGACCUAUUUGGUACUAAUUAUCACUUUUACUGAGAAAAUCAUCAACUAAAUUUUGGACAUUUUCCUAAUGCCUAAAUUAAUUCUAACUGGUUGUUUUCAUAAUGGAUGUGAUUUAGGAGCACUGCAUCUCUCUUGUGAUUAAAGCAUUUAGAAAAUGUUGUGUUUUUUUUUUAAGCUACUGAUCAAAAGCAGAGUAAAAAAUAGGUUUUUUUCUGUUCAGUUUUCUCUGUAUGAAUGAUAAUGAUAAGGAUGAGGAAGUGUUCCAUAAACUUUGACAGAAUAGAAAUGUUUCCUUUGGGGCAUACUUCUAUUUUAACUACUUCUGACCACAAGUUCUAGACUCUUGCUUUAGGAAGUGAUGUCAAAACCAGGUAGACAUUUUUUAAGUGUCAUAUUUAUAGUUUAGGUGUUUAAAAAAAUGUAGAUUAUGCUCAGCAGUAUUAUUGCUUUUACCUCCUUGGGUCUUUUAAAAGUGGAGACUUAUGAAAUAAAUUGUUCUUUUUUCAUUUAACCUUAAUAUGGAAAAAAAUAGCGCAAUAUUCUAAGUAUAGAAAAAUAGUCUCUUAAAAAUGUUAGGUGUUUUUUCUUUCCAGAGUAGAACUAAUGCUAACUCCUGGACCCUUGAUGAGAUUGCCACAGUACAUGGAUGGAAAGCAGAUUUUUUUUUUUUUUUAAUUUUUUAUUGUGGGUUGUUCAAAACAUUACAAAUUUCUUGACAUAUCAUAUUCCACACUUUGAUUCAAGUGGGUUAUGAACUCCCACCUUCACCCCAUACACAGAUUGCAGAAUCACAUCAGUUACACAUUGGAAAGCAGAUUUUUACGACAGCAGAUUACAAUCCAUCCCUACAAAUUUAGCAGCUGUCAUGUAUAAUACUAUAUGUUAUCUACUGCUAUACCAAGAUUGAGUCAAAUAUGCAAAUGUUCUUUAGAAUUCAUCUACUGACCAAAAUCUGAAACUAUCUGAACAUUGAUGCCAUGUGGUCCAUAUUUUGCAGGAGUUUGUGGAAAACAGUAGGAAGGCAAUGAAGGAAGCUGGUAAGGGAGGCGUCGCUGAUGCCAGAGAGCUAAAGCCGAUGGUAGGUGGAGAUGAGGAGGCGGCCGCCCUCCGAGAAUUUCACUUUCACUUCUUCUCUAUCUCUGUCUUCACUGACUGCACUUCUUCAGGAGAAGCUUUUGUUAUCUGUAUCACGCAGGAUGUGCUGCUUUUUCUGUUUGUGUGCUUACCCAUCACUUGGAUGGCAGAGUUCUUGUCACAGCUGAGACCACUUUCUGUAAAAGUAAGCUGAAAGGAACAGCAUCUUCUCCAGUGUCAUGGGGCUAGGGGGGACAGUUUUGUCCCUAAGAUGCAACUGCUGUUUCUCUAUUUUUUUUUUUUUAACUGUCAAUUUUAAGUUUUCAUCCAUCUGAACAUUUGGGUGUUCAUUUGAACUGACGGUUUGAUUUUUAUCAUUUUGAAAAGUGGUAGUACCAAUUCCUUUCAACUUGCUAAAAGUUCAUAUUCCUCCUUUUUAUAAAUAAUGUUCUGUUUACAUUGUGGUCUUUUGCCCUUUGCUGAUUUUUUUCUUCUGUUGCCUGGAUUGUACCUUCUUUGUUUCUUAAGCUAUUUUUCUUCCUUUUGUUCUUUCUUUCUUUCUUUCUUUCUUUUUUGGUAGCAAACAAGGCUGUUUCCAUCAACACCCACAUUCCCUCUAAGUAAGACUAUCUGGUCUUCUCCCAGUUUACUUGUGAAAAGAUUGAAUUUCUCUGGCAAUUUUAUACAUAUUCCCACUCUACUCUAAUUUGAAAAAAACAAAUUAAAGUUAAUCAGCAUGCAAAUCCUGAGUUGUUUUUGCUAUAGACAUCCUCACUGUGGCCUAACCACAGAUGUCUCCAGCAGGUAUGUUGUCCUGCUAAUCAGGACAACAGCAAAGAUGCUGCCUACCCUGUGGUGGAAGGGAGGACUCAGGAAAGCUUCUUUCCCCCUGUUUCUGGGUUGUCCUCAUUGCUCAGGAAAUAAAGAUUUCAAGCCUAAAACUUAAAAAGACAUACAUAAAAUCUUAAAAUAUCAAUUUGCUUUUCCCUCCUCUUCUGUCUUUCCAGUGAUUGAGACUUUGAUUAAAGCAUUCUCCAGUAAAGGGAGAAAUAUUUAGAAGCUGAGAUUUAACUAAUUUGGCCACAUCCUGGUAUAUAUUUCCAUAUUAUUCUUUAGUAAAUGAUAGAUGAAUUGUGGUCGACUAAAAUGCAAAUAUCCCUUUUUUUUUAACCCCUAAUUUAUAGGCAAUAAUCCCAAGAGAAUGGCCCAAGUUAUGUGGCAUUCUGCCAGAAACCAAAAAUUUUAGGAAGAGUUGUUUUCCUAAGAGUAUUUUCAGUUUUAAACCAGUGUCUUUUAACCCAACAAUGCAUUUAAAUCUUCUUUCAGUUUUUGUUUUCAUUUUAUGUUGUUCAUCAGUUCAUUGCCUACCAAGGAAUGGCAAAAACCCUCCUCCACUGUGUCCCCAGAUACAUCGUUUCUGUGCAUUGUUCUUUUGAUGCUUCAGACAUUGCAUUAUUUUGGUACCUAAGAGUGAUGUUUUAAGUAGUUUUAAAAUUCCAGAAGAGAGAAAUGUGAAAUGUUGCUCACAAAGUAGGUUUGUUUGUUUGUUUGUUUGUUUGUUUGGGGCCCUGGGGUUUGAACCCAGAGGCACUUAACCACUGAGCCACAUUCCUAGCACUUUUUUUAAUAUUUGAUUUUAAGUUCGAGUCUCACUAAGUUGCUUUUUGAACUUUCAAUUCUGCUGCCUCAGCUUCCUGAGCUACUAGGAUUAUAGGUUUGCACCACCACACCUGACCAGAGUAGCUUUAUUUUUUAAGCAUUAGUACCAUAUCUUUCUUCUCUCUCACACUCAGUAUGCAUGAUUAGGAUUGACCCCUACCAUCACUAUCCCCUUUGUCAUAAAGAAUUAUCAAAGAAACUGCCCCCAAAGUUUGGGGCUUAGUAGACUGUAGAUUUGCUUAUUUGUAUUUGCUCACAUUAUUCUCUUAGAUGAUAAGUUCUGUGGAAGAGUAUCAUGCCUAUUUUGUAAUAUGUCUAGAAACACUUCUGCUGUCUGCCUUCUUCUUGAAUAUGGGGUAUUUUAACUUAGGGUUUAUUUUUAGCCUAUAAGAUAAUGUUCAGGAAAGUGAGGUUUAAAUUUUUCCUUUUGACAGGGGAUCAUUGAACUAACUAGGAGAACUGCCAGUAUUCUUGGAAUUUUUCUUAAAAGAGCCUCACAAGUUCAGAAAGUUUAAAGAUCUAUCAGGUCUUCCUACAGUUCCUUAAAAUUUAUUUUAGAAAAAUUUACCAAACGUGAUGAAGAGGUUUAGGAAAAUCUCGCCGUCUGCUAUUGUAUAGGUUAGAACUUACAGGGAAAAAGGAGGAGGAGACCUGGGCUCUAUAGGGACAUAGGCCAGAAAAGGAUGCUGUGCAUAUCUCCGAGAUGAUCCUAAAGGAAAUGUGACCUUCAACAUUCAUAGGAAUUUCAGCCCCAAGAAUACAGGGGCAGGGAGAAGGAGUCUCAAUCCAUUUUGCUCUUUUACUGUCUGUAACCAUGUGUAUCUGUAACAUCAUUCAUGAUCUCCUUUUAAUGGUAAUUGUCUAAGAUUAUACUCUGUAUGACUUUGUUUUCUAGGCUUCGGGAGCAAGUUCUGCUUGAACCUAGCCGACGGUUAUGGAACCCAUUGACAUUCCAAAACAAUAUAUACACAUAACUAUGUAUUUGUGUGUGUGGGUGUGUGUAUAUAUGUAUAUGUAUGUGUGUAUAUAUAUGUAUAUGUAUAUACACACACACACAUAAUCAGCCAAAAUCAGAGAAAAGGAACAGGGAUUUAAUACCUUUUUUAUGCUUAUUUUUGUCAAACAUGUACUCCUUUCAUACGGGUGGCUUUUACAAGGCAACUUCCGUCAUUUAAUGUUUUCAAUUGUAAUUGUCUUAAUGGAAAUGUUAGAUUCAUAUCUGAUUAACAUUUUUAAUAACUUAGAGGAGAUUUUAACUUUAGUCACUUAAAUUAGAUAAAAUUAUUGUACCAAAUUCUUGUCUAAAGUUUAUUCAGGGGUGAUUUCCCUGACGUGUGUAUAAAAUAAAGAUCUUAUUUUACUGAGGCGUGAGUCCUAGUGCCUAGGACUCAUGUGCUUUCAGAUAAAUAAGCAAUUUCUGCAAUCAGUUUUCCCCAAUCAAAGAAGCCAUGUCAUUUUACUUUUAGAAACAUAACAGGUGGACCCAUUAUGGGAAUUUUCAUAAUAGCUCAUACAUUUGUCAGCCAACAUUAAAAAGUAACCAACUCCUCAGGUAUUUGUAGUUUACCCUAAUGCUUCUAUAAAAGAAAGUAGGAAAAAAGAAAAGGGUAGAUAAUCUUUCUUAUGCAAACUCUUUUCUUACAUUUUGUCUUUUUUUUUUUCCCACAUUUUAGUAACAUCCUCCACACAUUUGUGUGCCUGAUUUGAAAGGAAGCUGGGGCACCCAGCAAGUUUAGCCUUUAAUUUUAUAUGUAUUGAUUUGUAGAUUAACGAAUGCUGGGAGGAAUAAAAAAGGGAUAGAAACCCGGAACAUAAAGCAUUGAAAAUUCCAGUGCUUGGGCUUCUGCUUCAGAGGAAACAGUGGCUUAGGGUUAAACGGCCAUUUUAUUCAAAUGCUUGCUAUAAAAUCUGAAAAAACACUGGCAGGUGCUCCUCUCCUUGGCAAUCCAUUGCGUAUCCAGAGUUCUACAAUGUUUAACUAAAGAAUUGGUUAAUAUUUUGAUCCUCAAGUGUGAAUGUUCUUUAUGUUUGGGAGUGGGCUUGGGGUUUGGGGUUUUUUUUUUUUAAUUCCUGAAGCUUACCAGAUAUGAAUGGCUAAUAUUCCAUUGUUCUGCUUAUUGUAAUGGUGAAUGCUUUAAGAAAAAAAAGUGUAAUUUGCUAAGAAUAAUUCAUGAUCUGUUUAUGCGAUAACUCCUUUUUGUUACAAUUUUUUUAAAAAAGGCUAUUUUUGUUAAUGUAAAGUAAAUAUUUCAGAGCAAAUUUUUUAAACUUAUUGCACUAAAUACAGGCUCUGUACAAAAAAACAAAAACAAAAAAAAAAAAGCCUCAGCAUUUUAUCAUUCCAUGGAAGGAGAAUCUUUUGAAAGAAAGCAUUGCCUCCUAUCAGAAUUAGACAGCGAAGUAGACUGGUAUUAUGGAAAUGCAUACAAUUAAUGUCACUAGGGCUUAAUAAACAGCUGUUUGCUAAUGUGCUUCCUUUCAAAGGGUUGGACCUUUAAAUUGCUGCAAAAGGUAAAUUGUAUUUUUUUUUAAGUAUCUGUGUUCUUUAUCUAGCUAGGCUAAAAUUUGCUAAAUGCCUUGGUUUCUUUUUCAAAGCUCAUGUAACAUUUCUGAUUUUUCAGAAUAUUUGCAAUAAGAAUCUGGAUUUUAAAAAAAACAACUUAUACACACAAUUAAGAGUUCAUGUCUUAGCAAGAUCUGGGAAACCAACAUUAUGAGCGUAGCUAUUUUGAAAAAGUAAUUCUCCAGAAGUUAACAUUUAACAUCUAGUGUCGCCAAACAGUGUCACUGUACUCUUUUAUAUCAUUUGAAAUGGAAUAAAUAUAAUUAUGUAACUAACAACUGUCCAAAUAGGUGAGAGAGCAAAUCAUGUAAGAAAAUUCAGAAUACUGUCUGUUCCAUAGCCACACAGAUUUUGGACAUUCAGAAAAUUGGGAAAUAAAUUUAGAGUUGGCAAAAGUCUGGAAGAUGGGUAUCAAAACGGAAGACAUUUCGGGAGCUAGCUAUUUUCAGAGGUCUUCCUCCAAAGUGACCUGACAGAAGUCUUGAACUUGGAAACUAGGUUCUACUCACUUGGACAUCCCUGCAUCAUGGACUUUUGCUGCCCCCUGUUUCAUGUGCUCCCAAUAUCAGCUAUUUGGAAGCCACCAGGAAUGCUUUCUAAUUAUCAUUUGCAACUAGAACUGUAAUCAGAAAGAAAUUUUGUAUUUUUGUAUAACUUGAUUGUGUGCCAUUUUAUAUAACAGGUCCUGUUUUACAAAUAAAUUUUGUUAUUACUAACAUUGUGUUUAGAAAUUAUGAUCUAUGUGUAACCAUGUCCUUUGAGUUCCAAAUUAAUUUCUAGGCUGUUUUCCCUAAGUAAAUUUGUGUGCCAUAUAAAUAUAUGCAAAUGUGCAUAUAUAUUACACAGGCACACAUAGAGAGAUAUUUGAUAUAUCUCUCACUCUCACAUGUGCUUCAUUCCUUGAUUAAUUUGAUAAAGCCUCCUAGAGGCUUUUCAGCAAUAUUCAAAUGUUUUGCAGUUAUGUUCAGAUAUUUCUGCUGCCUCCUUCAUUCAUUGCAAAUCAUUCUUCAGCUAGCUGUGGGCUGCCUUAUUGCUAUUUGCUCACUGCCUCCAUCUUCUGCCCAAGUGAGAAGAAUAGAUGAAGAUCAGAAAUUAUCUGUGAAAUGUGGAUACCUGAAAAAUUUUAUAAACCAUUGAUUCUAUGUUGUGGUUCAUGUCCUUUUCUGUGAUGGUUCUACAAAACGGUCUAUAGGAGUCCUAUCUCUAGAGUUCUAGUUAGGGUCCCCUAUUGUAAAUGGUAGUACUGUCCAGAGUGUCACUGUGGUUUCUACCAUCAGAUAGUUAAUACUCUGGCAUAUAGUUUAGACCUUCUAGAUUACUUCCUCAAAAAUAAACUAUGCUGUAAUAUAAUAGGGAAGGUAAAAGGUUCAAUUUCAGUGUAAGUCCAAGAAACCCAUCUUCAAUUGGAGGCUUUACCAGUGCAAUAAUUAAAAAAAAAAAGUAAUUUAACAAGGACACUGAGAUUGUAUAAUCUUUGCAUGAAUGAACAGAGUUCAAAGUAGAUUGUUGAUCUAAACCACUUAGUGCAAUUGUUAAUGUUUAAGAUUAAAGUUUUUAUCCUGUCAUACAGGAUAAUUAAGUCCUACGUCACUGGAACUUAAGUAGCUUAACUGUGUGUUGGUCCUAAACUUUUUCCAUAAUGGUUAAGGAGGGGGGACUUAUUGAGUCUAUUUAAAAAUUAUGCUGGAAAUAUGUUUCUUCUUUACAGAAAUGAUCUCUUACUCUUUUCUUCUCCCCCCAUCCCUCCAGUGAAGGGCUUUAAGCCCCUGAUUAUAAGUUCUUCCAACACCAUUGACCUUGGUAUCUGCCAAGGGCUCUCUUGCCUUCCCAAGGCAAUUUCAGAAUUUAACCCAGUAGUAAGCGAUGAGGAGCUAACCCCUUUAUCCUGUUCCUGAGCUCCUUUAACACAGAAUAAUACCUCUCUUUCCCUCUUACUAAAACAACCACAGGAAUUGCGUGCCCCAGAUAUUUGCAAGGCCAUAUAGUACCCCUGAGCCUUCAAACAUUUCCACCAUGCAGACUCACUCACUACUUACUAAAGGCUACUUCAAGAGGUUUCCUAACAUGCAAAGUAGUAUUGUGGGAUUAGUUCCAAAACCAGAGCUGUCAGUUACAGUGAUUGAACAAUUUAUUUUAUGUUGCUUUUGUUCAGAAACCUUAUCAUUUGAAUUGGAGUUUCCAAUAGCCUUAACAUAGCCUCUAAGAAGUUUCCUUCAAAAAAUGUUCACUUCUCAAUAAGUAAGUUUGCUAUCGCUUUCUUUGGCUACUUUGAAAAGAAAAAAAAAAUCUUCAGAGUCUGGAAGCUUAUCAGUGCACCUGACAUGGUUAAUAUUUGUAUUCUUUUUAUGUAUUUCAUCUGACAGAUAGAAAUGCUUACUGAGAGUUAAGAUGUGGUCUGUGAAUAUAUAUUGGAGAAUUGUGGGUUCAUAAGUAAUGCAUAAAGCAGAAAUUUGUGUAUGCUAUAUUCAUAGCACAGAAUCCUUUUGCUUUAAAUGUAUAUUCAUAUAGCUCUGUGUACUAAGAAAUGCGUGUUAGCCCUUUGGAAAAAUAGGCAUUGUUCAUAAACAGUGACUGUUUUGGGAAUUAACUCAUCUUUGUUGAGUGGCACGCCUAAACUUUGAAAAAGCAGAAACCUUGGGUGUAUCAAGAGGAAGUUUAAAGCUAGAAAUCUUUAAAAACAAAACAGAAACUAAUCAUAUUUUAUAUACUAAUAAAUUUAAAAUAGCACACUUUUCCCAUUCAGAUUUCACAAAUUUUAGCCAAAUUAUUAUAUUCCACAUUUUAAUUCAAGAAGACAAUUUUAACCCAAGAUUUAAAUCUUUGAAAAUAUCUUUCUUAUAAAAAAACUUCAAUGUGAAGUUUUUAACAUUGUGAAUUUCUGUAUAAAGCCAUUCUUUUCUAUAAAAAUACUAUAGAGCCCUUUCUUCCUCCCCCUCUUGAUUUUUAUAUGUAUAAAAAUAGACAAAUGAUGAUUCAGUUUCAAUUUUAUGUGAACAACUGCCACUUUUGUAAAUUACAUGGACAGAAUUUAAGUUUGGUAUUUCUAAGGGAAUUCAUUAGAAAAUUUGCUUAAAAGAUAUGAAAUUGUUAGGAACCCAACUAUUAGGCUAUUCUUCAGUUUUGAUGCUUUACAACCUAAAUUAUUUUCUCCAGACCAGAGAACUCAGAAUAAUGAAGCUUUUAGUUGUGUUCUAAUCAAGAUCCAGUCGAACACAUAAAUAUUAAUUUAUAAAUGUUCAGAAUUUUUCCACUUAUAAUUGCUAAGACCUGAAUUCAAUAUUUAAUAUUCAAAAGCAGGUACAUUUGAGGGGCCAUUUGUCCCUUCCAACUUAUGAAAGCUGUGGACUAUCUUUCUCUUAAAUGCACAUAGCACAUCUGUUUUAAAUAUUUUAAAUGCUCAUGAAGCGGCUAGGUGUCCACUAAAGAUCCUUUUAAGAUGAUACUUUUCAUCUCUGGUCUGGAAUCUUUUUAUAACUUAAGAUUUUGUAUAAUUUAAUACCAGAUUUGGAUAGAGAAACUACCCUGAUCUGAAUGAAUAACAAGAUGGUCAACACUGAAUUUUCACAAAUAGUAAGAUGUCUUGCCUUAGACGUGUGAGGGUCUGUGUGUUCUGGGGGUCUUUUUGCAAGAUACCAAAUUUUCAAUGAACAACAAUAGAAAAAAAAAUCCAAGAAGUAAUUAAUAGAAAAUCUUCGUAAUUAUCCAUCUACUUAAACACUUGCUUGUUUUUAUUGUAGCUCAUAUAUGACAUUAUGCGAUAUAGUGUCAUCAGUAUAUCACUGUCUUAAAAUAUAUCUUUAAGUAUCACCCAGAAUAGUUGAAGAUGAUGAAAAAUUAGCAAACUCAAGUGUAUGGAGUACAUACUUGCCAAAAAUUAUGAAUGGAAAAUUGGAGUAGAUGCUGGGAGUAGAAAUUUAAAAUGUGUUUCCCCAGCUUCUCCCACCCCAACUUAAAUCAAGGAGGUGUUUACCCUUUUUUGAUUAUCUUCUCUUUAGAGCAGCCUUGAACCACUGUGCCAGUGGGGCUGGGCCUCCACUCCCCAUGUCCACUCAUCUUCCUUCUCCAGGGAAGCUUGUGGAACUCUCCACAUCCACAACUUACCACUAGGUGAGUGUGCUGCAGCUACAAGGCAGCUCUUCGGGAAGGGCCCUUGAAUGAAGAAGGCAGGAAGCCUUAAGGGAGUUUGAAGUUCUGUUGAGAUCUGAUUCCAGUGGAUCAUGGUUUACAUAUUAGACAUCAGACCACUCCCUACCUUCUUAGGCGGAAGAAAGCAGAGAAAAUUUCCUAACUGGCUGGUUAAAGAAAAAGGAGAAAAUUCAGCUUCCUGUCCCCUACACCUCUAAAAAAGAUGUAAUGAACUUUCAACAACAGCAAAUGGAGAGAUACCACUGGUACAAGUUUCUGUAUGAGACAGAAAAGGGCCAAUGUCCAGCCUAAAUUUGAUAGGUCCUUUUGUCAUAGACAGGUAUGACUUUUAAAGAGAGUAUUCUGACCUUUGUGUAUGAGCCUUAUCCCCAUCCUGCUAGCUGGAGAUGUAGUUUGAUUCAGUUGUUGCUCAAGAACUAUGUGUUAAAUCACUCCAUGUGAGUUAAGAUCAACAUUGAAAAGACUUAGAAUAAAUGGGCAGAUAGAAGGGGUGCCACUAAAAAAAAAAUGUAAGGGACUUCUUUAUUUAUUAUGCUGAUAAUCAUGUCAGGACUUUUUCAUAAAUUGUGUUAGAAUGUGACAAUAAUAGAAUAGCUUUGAAGACUAGUGGUUUGAGAUGGGGACUAUUAUGUAAAUUUCCCCUACCUUGGUACCUGUAUUCUAUGCUCAGAACUUCUUUUUGACCCCUCUUGGUUUUACUAGUUUUGAUUUUUGGAGGUAAAUCAUGUAGGGAAUGUUCUCUUUUUUUCUGCUGGGUUGUCCUAGUAGUACUAGAUUCUGAUGUUUCCUAAUUUCUUUCUUCCCUUACAAGAGUACUGGGAGUUCCAUAACGAAAAGGAGUUUCAAUUUUUACUGUCAGAAUAUUCAUGACUACUUAAUACUCUUCUAAUAGAUCUUGUACCUAAUGAAGUAAAUUCAAGUAGAUUAUUAGCUGAUCUCAUUACAGGAGGAAAAAAACCUUCCUACUAACAAAGGUGAAAGCAAGUAGAAAAGUGUCCAGAGUAUCUAACAGGAUGGCAGGGGCUCAGGAAAAACAACCAAAGACAAAAAAAGCCUUUCUUCUAAAGACCAAAGGCCCAGCUUCCACAUGCUGGUUUGGCAUAGCCUUUCCAAACUUAACUUUAGGACAGAACUCUUAGGAUAAGGCAACCAAAUUUUAAAGACCAGUCAAUAUAAUGGGGACCUGCUACUGCUCUCUCAGGCACUGUGUUUUCACAUCCAGUGUCAAACCUGGCCCAUUGUAUGGGGUAAUAUAAACAGAAAAUGGCACAUCGAGCUCUCCUGAUGUGUAAUCCAGCAUGAGAAGUACAUUGUGGUGCCACAUAUUCCUGAUGCCCUUUUGUUCAUUUGCCCCCCAUCUGCAUCCUAUUUCAGAAUGUCAUAAAUCUUCAUGUCAUGUCCUGUCUUUGUCCAUUACAAACUGGAGGACUGCAGCUAAGCCUUCCAUAAAGUCCACAGUGUGGGAUCAUUUACCUUAGGAUUAUGUGGAUUUUUUUUUCCUUGUUACAGUGUCACUACACUGUAUGCAUGUGGGGAAACAACCAUGUAGGUGCUUGAACAUGCCCCCCACACAGUCAUAGCCCUGGUGUUUGUGACUGUCGUCGUCGACACAGUGCAACUCUACAGAUGGAGCAUUAUGCUCUCAGAGGACUUAAAAAUAUGUAUAUUAAGCAAUUAACUUUCUGGAGUUAUCAAAUCUUGCUGGGAAAUUAACUUCUAAGAGCUCUGAAUUGGAUGGCGUUCCAUCUGGCUUCAGAGUACGAUGAGCUUAUAUGAAAUGGAGCUUUGAAAUGUUUUUCUUGUGCAGAAAUAUGAACUAGAAAAAAAAAGUGCUGAUUUAAUGCUAAGUUUUCUCUGUGUACUGACUCAGUUGCCAGAAUUAUAAUGAAAACUGUAUUUUAGUCUAACAAAUGUAUAGAAUUUUUUAUGUAAUAAAUAAAAUUUUAUAGGAAAGAAUGUCA